CGUCAAUAUUUUAUAUUAAUUUUUUUAUAAAAAUAAUAAGACAAAAAACAAAUGUUGGCGUGGCUUAACAGUGACCGCACAAAACAGAAGGGUAUGAGGAGGGUACAGGGAUGGGAGGGCAGACAAUCCAUCUCCUUUCUGAUAUUGGCAUAAGGUGUCACUUUAGUAUUUUAUUUUGAAAAUCAAUAUAAAUGGUCUCUAAGCUUAUUUAUCAUAAAUUAUUUUGGUCAUUUCAUAAAAAAAAAUCUUUUUUUAAAUUGAGAGUAUUUUUGUCUAAUCGACCCCUCUACUUGUUUUUUUAUUUAACGAAGAUUUUUCUCAUAAUGAAUAAAAUGUUUGACGGUGUACAAAUCCAGUGACCACUUGUAUCAAUUUUCAAUGUUUGAGAUCAAAGUGAAGAGUUGUGCUAAUUUCAUUUCAUGGACUAUUUUUGUUAAAAAGUCAAAAGAGAAUGUGAUAAAAUAAAAGGCAAAUUCAAAUUAAAUACUAACUCUAAUAAAAGUUUUAACGAAAACUAUUAUUUUCCCAUCUAUUUGGAUUAAGAAUAAAUUUUGUCCCCAUUGCACAUGACUCAUACUUCUAAAAACGUGUUUUUUUUUUCAAAGCAUAGUAAUCAAUGUCAAUGUAAUGAAAUUUUUAAAUAGAAAGUAUGUCACAUCCCCGCCUGGUACCCCAUUACAUCCCGGCUUGACUCUACUGUAACACGAUAUUGUUCGUUUUGGGCUUUGACCAUGCCCUCACGGUUUUGUUUCUGGGAACUCACAUGAGAAUUUCCUAAUGGGCCUAAAUCAAGGCGUGCUGGCCGUCACGCCUUGAUUUAGGUCGGGAUGUGUCAAAGUAUAGCCCAGACCUAGCAAUUCCUGACACAACCCGAUACGACACGACACGAAAUUAACAGGUUUUCGGGUCGACACGAUAACGAAUCGGGUGGUUAUCGGAUAACUCAAUAAGCACCUGUUAAGAUAACGGGUUGGUUCGGGUAUACACGUGGGUAACACAAUACACGAUAAGCAAAAUAUUAAUUUUAUAAUUUUAUAACCCUAAAAAAAUACUAUAAUAAUUAUAUAUAUUAAUUUAACAAUUUUAUACCCCUAAAAACUAUAAUAAUUAUAUAUAUACAUAAAUUUUUAAAAAUGGUGACCAUUGGAUUGGCUGAUAUUUAAUCUCAGCCAUCCAUUGUGCAUUAGGUUGGAGGCUAAUAUAUUUUUAUAUGGUAUAGUACUAUUGUUUUAUUUUUUUUCAUAAUUAUUUUGGUAAACUUCUCAUAAUUUGAAUGGUUUUUAAUGUUUGGUUUUUCUAUACUUAGUUUAUGCGGAAGAUAGUUCUGAUGUGGAAAACCUUACUAAAACAUCAUCAACUUAACUCUUGAAGGCAAUAGAUAAAGCCAAAGUUCCAAUACAAUUUCCUCAUGAUGAUCGAUGAAAAUUGGGGAUUUUGUAAAAUGAAUAACAUGCAAGCUUUGAAUUCCAUUGGCAAUGUUUAAACUUUUGAGAAAAACUUCACAACCUUGAAAACAAAAACUCUUUCAUUUUGCAUAUUCUUGCACAUUUAAUAGUUUGUAAUAGACUAUAGUAGUGUAUGAAUUUUUUUUAUUAGGCUCUUAUUUUUUGAGUGUAGAUGUAGUACUUAAACGACAAAUGUGUUUUAAUGUUUUGAAGUAUUAUUUAUGUGGUAAUGCGUGGUAUGUGCAAAUUUAAGAAGAAAAAAAAUAUUUUUCUUAAUAGGACAUAACAAGUAAAGUAACCCGAUUUGUUAAGAACCCAUUAAGAUAAUGGGUGUGACAUGAUACGACCCGUUAAGAUAACAGGUGUUAUAAGAAAAUGACACAAACACGACAGACACGACCCGUUUGCCAGGCCUAGUAUAGCCCCCAUGUAUUUUACAUAAUUACUAUCAUUGCCCCUAUAUUAUUCUCUUUGACAAUUAUUAUAUCACAUUAAAAACCAUAUCAUUUUUUGUCAUUUAACAUAUUCAAAAUAAUUUAUAUAAAAGUUUACCAAACACUCAGACAAUUUUUUUUUUCUCAAAGUUUUUUUGUAAAAAGUUCUUUUUUUUUUUUGUUAAAAGCAGUAAUACAAAAAAAAAUUUACCAAACACUCAAAAACUUUAGUUUACAUCAAUUUAUUCUCACAACAUAGCAGAAACGGUUUUUUAAAAGCACAACAAUACCAAAGUAGCCCUUAAUAAAUCCUCAUUUUCUAUAGGGUAGUGUUAUUCCCACAUUAGUUUUACCUCCCACACGUCUUUGUUAAUUUUUAUUUAUUGAUCUUCUUCAUUCAUUCGAUUCGACGAUCAAAAACGGAAAGAAAUGCAUGAAAAGUAAAAGUGAAAGUGUGAAUAGCACAAUCAUUUUUGUACCAACCAAACAAAGAGAGACAAAUUGUUUUCUGAUAUUGCAUAACUUGUCACUUUAGUAUUUUAUUUUGAAAAUUUAUAAAAAUGGUUCUGGAGUUUAUUUACCAUAAAUUAUUUUAGUCAUUCUAUAAAAAAUCUCCCUUAAAUUGAUGGUAUUUUUGUCUAAUCGACCCCUCUACUUGUUUUUACAUUUAACGGAGAUUUUUCACGGAAUGAAUAAAAUGUUUGACGGUGUACAAAAAUAGUGACCACUUGUAUCAAUUUUCAAUGUUAGAGAUCAACCACAAGCUGGUGGCCCAAUGGUAAAUAACGGAUUAUGAGGCUUCCUUAAAACUAAAAACUGGAGGUCUUGGGUUCGAAACCCGUUGUUGGUGUGGAAGCCAGACUUUUGGUCAGGAAGAGGCUAAAAUGCCUAUGUGAGUCUUACUGGCCCCCGGAAUGGGUGGAUUACCAUGACUUGCCACCAAUUGUCCCCAUUUUGAAAAAAAAAAAUGUUAGAGAUCAAAGUGAAGUUAUGCUAAUCUCAUGAACUAUUAUUGUUAAAAAGCCAAAAAAGAAUGACACACCCCGACCGAGAUCAAGGCAUGCUGGCAGUCACGUGAGAGUGGCGUAGCCAUGUGCAUAGUGCGGAAGCAUUAAGAAUAAGAAAUAUACGAAUAAUUAAAAACUGAAACUACUAGAGUGCACUAGAAAACGAGAAGUGUUAGGAGUAAGAUACAAAAGUAAGUACUCCUAAUCAAUGCAUAGAAAGUCUAGGUGUAGUCCAGUAGGACAAGUACUAGUUAUACGGUACCAUAAGAUGUCCUACAAUUAUUUUGAUAUGUCAGAACCACCGAAAUCCUCAAGGCCACCAACAACAAGCUUACCUAAAACCUAGAGGGGCACAAAACAAAAAACGUGAGUAGGCAAAAACAAAGGUUUUACAAAACCAAUUCAUUUAUCAACAUUUCUAACCCCUCGCUGUAAACAUGUAUAAUUUUUCCCAGAAUCAGAAUAUAAGCAUAUACAUAAAUAUAUAUGUAAAUAUCUCAAUCCAAAACUUGUUUCACAUAAUCAUAUUCAUAUGUAUGUCAUGCCAAGAUAUAACAGUAAGUAAUUCAGGUGAGAAUAAUUUCAUAGAAAUGUAAUGUAUUAGCCGGAACUCCUGUGGUAGUCUGUACGGCUGAAUUCAUAGCUCAAAAGUCAAUCUAGCCGGAGUCAAUACAAUGACCUAUAUGGCACUAUACUGCACAGGAGUCAGAACCAAAUGAAAAUGUAUGUAUGACAAUACUGGGUGUAAUAUAAUUAUGCUCAAUACUAUUCUUACAUAAUAGUUGGGCGAUAAAGCGCCGGUCACCUACGAGUCGGAACCAUAGUAAAGGUCUAUACGACAAGACUGUGCACCUAAAUUGGAUCCGAUAUGAGCAUAUGGUGCGGGAGGUGACAUUAUAAACAGGCAUGUGUCAUAUCUCUAGCUAAAUCACUAUCACCCUAGGUGCAGUUUUAUGAGCUCAACGUUAUUCAAUUACAUAUCACAUCAUCGAUAAUUCACAUAACCAAACAUAACUCACCUGAGCUUACCUGAGCGUCCACAGCACCACAAUUAUAUAUAUAAUGCAUCAUAUAUCAAUUCAUAUACGAAUUAUAAAUUUAUAUGCAUGGCAUUCAAGGCAUACUCUUAUUUAAACACAUUUUCUGGGAAAAUAUCACGUAUAUUAAUAUAUACUAAAAACCAAAAGCCCACUCACUGGUAUGUCGAUGGGUCGUAGCCCCCGAGUCGCCCUUGAACGCGCUCGUCCUCAGGAUAAGUCUCACCUAUAUACGAAUUAACUAUAAAAACAUUAUUUAAAGCACAUAGGCAAAACUAGUUAAUAACUUCUCAUACAAUACUCAAAUGAGGUGUUUGAAUAUACCAAUGUGAUCUACACAACUCCACGAACAUCCCCAUAUUUUUAGAAUAAUUUUCUAACCACCCACGCGCCGUCACGUGCCUGGCACACCAACGACAACAGUGACGCCGUUAGGACUAUUCCGUUAAAUAGUAACAAAAACCGUUAAAGUUAACUGACGCCGUGGAAUAUUCCGUCAAAGUUGACAGAAUAUUCCGUCAUCCCUAACCUCAAACCUUCGGCAACCGUCGGCGGCGUCGGAAACUGGGCAAAACUUGCAACCUUGAUAUCUUACUCGAUAUUCAACCAAAUUUCACGAAUUUUAUGUCAAAAUGAAGCUUAUAACAAUUAGAACAAUCCCAUACUAGUUUUAGGACCUAAAUCUCACGAAAUUCGCCAUAAAACUCUUCAAUAUUCUGGCCAAAACCUGCAACUCGUCUUUCUCACUAUUCCAACAUCCUAUUUCUUCCAACGAACCAUGAACCACUCCUAGCCUCAUGAGGACCUCCUUAAGCUACCUAUAAGCUCCAAAUUCCCAAAAACAUAAGAUUUUACGUUUGCAUGAAUAGUGCCAUAAUCGGAGAUCGAGGAAACUAGGGUUUUCGAAGGAGUCCUUACCUAAAAAUGGUACCAUUCAACUCAUAUGGACCUCAGGAGCACAAUGGUGUCCUUUAAACCUUCGAUAUGCAAGUUUUCUUCUGAAUUUGAUGUUGUCCGUACAUGAGUGAAAGAGAGAGAGAGUGAGUCCGAGUGAGGAGAGAGCACGGGAGAGAAGAGAGAGGAAGGGUGUGUGUGUGUGAGUGGUCCACGUGGUUCACCAACCAAAACCACAUAAACUUAGUCCAAUUUUUGUCCAGAGAUUAUGGAGAAAUGCAAGUUUGAACCCCCUAUCAUGCAUAAUACACACCACAACACUCACGUUCAAGGGUAUCAUAGUCAAUUCACAUUGUUGGAAUUAAAUAUUCGAGACGGGUUGUGACAAAGAAUGUGAUAAAAGAAAAGGCAAAUUCAAAUUAAAUACUAACUCUAAUAAAAGUUUUAACGAAAACUACUAUUUUUCCAUCUAUUUGGAUUAAGAAUAAAUUUUGUCCCCAUUGCACAUGACUCAUACUUCUAAAAACGUGCUUUUUUUUUCUUCUCAAAACAUAGUAAUUAAUGUCAAUUUAAUGAAAAUUUUAAAUGGAAAGUAUAGCACUUAUGUAUUUUACAUAAUUACAAUCAUUGCCCCUAUAUGAUUCUCUUUGACAAUUAUUAUAUCACAUUAAAGACCAUAUCAUUUUUAGUCAUUUAACAUAUUCACAACAAUUUAUAUAAAAGUUUACUAAACACUCAAACACUUUUUUUUUUUAUUAAAAGUAGUUUUACAAAAACAAGUUUACCAAACACUCAAAAACUUUAGUUUACAUAUGUUUACUCUCAAAGCACAACAGAUGUCCCCCUUUUGCAAAAAAAAAUGUUAGAGAUCAAAGUGAAGAGUUAUGCUAAUCUCAUUGAUUAUUUUUGUUAAAAAGCCAAAAGAGAAUGUGAUAAAAGAAAAGGAAAAUUCAAAUUAAAUACUAACUCUAAUAAAAGUUUUAACGAAAACUACUAUUUUUCCAUCUAUUUGAAUUAAGAAUAAAUUUUGUCCCCAUUGCACAUGACUCGUACUUCUAAAAACGUGUUUUUAUUUUUCAAAGCAUAGAAAUCAAUGUCAAUUUAAAUAAAUUUUUAAAUGGAAAGUAUAGCCCCAUGCAUUUGACAUAAUUACAAUCAUUGCCCCUAUAUUAUUCUUUUUUACAAUUAUUAUAUCACAUUAAAGUCCAAAUCUUUUUAGUCAUUUAACAUAUUCACAGCAAUUUAUACAAAAGUUUGCCAAACACUCAGACAUUUUUUUUUUGUAAAAGUUUUUUUUUUUUUUGGUUAAAAGCAGUUUUACAAAAAUAAAAAAGUUUACCAAACACUCAAAAACUUUAGUUUAGCAGUUUUUUUUAAAGCACAACAAUACUAAACUAGCCCUUAAUAAAUCCUCAUUUUCUAUAGGUAGUGUUAUUCCCACACUCAUUUUUACCUCCCACAUAUCUUUGUUAAUUUUUGUUGAUUGAUCUUCUUCAUUCAUUCGAUUGGAUAAUCGAAAAUUGAAAUAAAUGCAUGAAAAAACAAAGAGAGGCUAAUUUACCCGCGAGAGUAGUAGGAUAAUGACUUCCUCUUCCGUUGUUAUCUAGCAUGCAGUUUCACGUGUAAAACCUUAUUUCUUUUGUGUGCGGCAGUCACUUGAGAGUUGAUAGCAUGAAAAACAAUAUAUUUGCUAAAUUGGAAUAUACAAUUCAACAUCGUGCAACCCUCCAUUUAUUUUCUAUUAACGUCAAUUGCUUCUACAUUCUAAUUCAUGGUUUCUGUUAUUUUGUAGACUUCUUUGUUGUGAUGUUGCAGUUUUAUCUAUAAGAAUUUGUUAUGAGGAUAAAAAAAAAUAGGAACUUGGGAUUUUGCUUUGGCUGGUGGAUUGGUUUAAAGUCAUUUAACUUGUAAUUAUAUUUCGGCAGUUUAUUUCGAUUAGACAAACAUAAUUUUUAUCGUUCAAAAUAAGUUUGUGUUAAAAGGAAAAUUUGUACGGUGAGGGUAGCGAGGAACGGCGAGAGAGAAAGAAAAAGCUCAAUGGUUGUGAAAUUGCACAGCUUCUCUGCAGUCUUUUGUCUUUAUUUAUACUGCUUAGAUAAGUUUUACUUACUUCACAAGUAAUACGAGUUAUAAACAUAUUAGAUUUCUCAAAUCCUAUUGAAAUCAUAUUUUUAAAUUGACACAAUCAUAUUCCGAAACAAAUAUUACUAUAACAAUUAGAAAACUAUCCUCAUUAUCUGGUUUUUAUUUUUUAACAUCAUCAAUUAGAUCGUUGAAGUCAUCAUAAUAAUUUGGUUCACAUGCAAGUAUGCAAGUACAUUUGAUUAUAUCUUUGGUCAGAGGAGGAAACCAGUAUUAAGGAUAGACAAGAACUUCAGUAUCUAGUUCUUUAUAGUUUAUGCAGAUCGUAUUAAGUUAUUUUAUCCUCUCUACAAGUCUCUCCGCAAUGUUUUUUUUUGGUCAAUUUACAUUAUUAUUUUGAAAAAUAAAAUCGGGAUGCUUCCGAAGGCCUAAACAUUGAACCCGGAUCCUUGUUGGAUCCUCUUUGUGAGGAUCCUGAGGAUUCGUCGAUCAUUUUGUUCAUCGUAUAUCGUGCGGUCAGAAUUUAUCUAAAAUUAAAUAUAAACAAUACUUGACAAAAACUGACCACACGAUGUACGAUGAACGAACAUGAUUCACGGAUUCCCAAAAUCCUUGCCAAAAAGAUCCGGCGAGGAUCAUGUUGGCUAAACAUUAUUGUGUUUUCAUAUUACUGAUAUUUUAAACAAAAUUCAUCUUUAUAGAAAGAGAAAGUUAAACUUAAGUAUAAAGAUGAUAAGUAAGUGGUGGAUUGUUCUGAUAGUUAGGUCUUCUACUUCAACUCAUUGUAUCUUGAGUUCAAACUUUCUCAUGUCUCUGUGAGUGUAGAAUAUCUACUAAAAAAUAGAGCGUUGUAGACAUAUUCUUCUUUCUAAAUUGACGAAAUUCAAACACCGUAGAAAAUUCACUUAACAUAAAUAACAAAUGAGAUGUGAUUUUCACCCAGAUUUUUCAGUUUUCACACACUUAUUUUAAUUAUGGCAAUGAAAUCCAAUAAGUCAAUUGAAAAGAGUGGACAACAUUAAGUAAAACUGUGUGAAGAAGCUAAAAAUGAGGUGUGUGUUUGUCAUUCCCCUAUCAAAUAUAUGCAACAAUCUGAAUACAAAAUUAUUAUAAAAUUUGAAAUUCUUUCAUUGUCACUAACAUUCAAUGGCCUAAAUUGAUUUAAAUUAAUUUUUUAAUUGUCGCUCCGUAAAUUCAGAUUUUUUUUUACGAAGAUAGAAAUAUAUUAAAGACGAAUGGAAAUACUUACAUCUUGAGCACGAAAUUGAUUAUGUGUUUACAAACGCGAACGUUACCGAUAUCAACCUUUGCACUAGAAGCUCUAUAUCGCCAAGAAUACAUUCAAUACUAAAGUCAUGAGACACUUUCUUCAUGAACAUCUGAAUUAUCGCCAUAACAUCAGAUUCUAUAAUCACUUGAUCAAACCCAUGGUCAAUUCAAGCCAACAAAACAACACGAAUCGCACAAGCCCAUAGUCAGAUUAUUCAAUAUUCUUACAUUACUGCGUUGCAUAAAAGUAAAAGAACAAAAGAUGAAUGAGAAAAAGAAAUUGCAAAUCUCGAGACAAGAGUUCCAUCAGUCUAAAGGUACAUGCCUUUGUCACAAUGUCUUUUCUCUUAUUUUCUUUCCAUCAGCAAUCCUCUCCCUUCUCCAGCCGCAGUCGGUUGCUUGCCGGCGGCCUGCCGCACGUGUUCUUUCCUGAUUUCUGUUGUCCAUCGUAAAUGCAUCUCACGUCAGGUGGCAGAUUGUCUGCUCUCUUGUCUGAAUACUUUUUUUUUAUUUUAUUUUUUUAUUUUGUGCGGUCACUAUUAAAUUACGUUAAUAUUUUAUAUUAAUUUUACUUAGAGAUAAUAAAAUAAAAAACAAUAAGAAUAUAAAAUGUUAACGUAACUUAACCGUGACCGUACAAAUAGAAUGAUAUGAAAAGAGCAUUCGGGCAAACAAUCUGCCUUCCUCACGUCAUGGUAUGAACAUCCUUCGGCCCGUGUACAUCCACGUGUAAUUCCAGUGAAAAAAAGCUGAUAAGUAGUUUACUGCUGAUCAACAGUUGAAGACUGAACUUUUUUGGGAAAUUGAUGGCCCCACAGUAGAAUACUACGAUACUUUAACAUCAGUUCUUGUAUUAACAAUGUCAAAAUUUUUAUAAAUAAUCUUAAUUUUGAAAGAGUUUCAUUAUCUUCUAAAAAGAGAAAUGUUAAGGAUAUUUUAAAAAAUGAGAUUCUUUAUAAAUUUUUUGUCAUAACUUAUAACAUAAUUUAAUGUUAAUUUUUAUGCCAAAAACUUAAAUGACAGAUAAUUCACAAAAAAUUCCCUUUUUAAGAGAGUCUCAGAAAAAUGUUAAGGAGACUCUCCAAAAAAUAAGAUUAUAUAUUCUUUGUAUAAUAUUUUAUAAUAUUAAGACGAAAAUUAAUGUUCAAAUUGUGAGGAGUAUAGUAGUAUUCAUGAUGUCAUUGAUCCAUUAAAAAAAGUACAGUUGUCUCAUUUAAUUUCCAGACACAUCAAAUUCAAUCAAUCAAAGGGUAAUGAUUAUGGGAGGUCGAUUGUCUGCCCUUGUUUUGGUGCUAUUCUCAUCCUAUUCUAUUUGUGCGAUCAUGGUUAAGCCAUGACAACAUACCUUAAUAUCCAAAACCUAAUAAUCAUGGACCUAAAUUGUCUGUCCUCCCCCAUUCCAUAUCAUUCUCAUCCCCUCCUAUUUCUGUAAUCACGGUUAAGCCACAUCAACAUUUUAUAUUCUCAUUAUUUUUUAUCUUAUUAUUUUUAUAAAAAAUUAAUAUAAAAUAUUGACGUGACUUAACCGUGACCACAUAAAUAAAAAGAGAUGAGAAGAGUAUAUGAUGAGGAGGGCAGACAAUUCAGGUCUAAUGAUCAUCGCACAAAUUAAAUUCAAUGAUAUGUAUUAAUUUAUUUUUAAGAAAACUAAUGAAAAUUGUUUGAAAACUUUGAAUUUUAACUGUAAUGAUAAAAUAAAAGGUAAAUGAAUAUUACCAGAAUUAAUUUUUUAAUGUAAAAAUAUGAUUUUUCGUUAAAAUGAACAGUACAAAGAAUUUUUUUUUUUCUUAAAGUUUCCUUUAUGUUUUUUGAUCCACCACACACUAAUCAAUAGCUUCAAAUUUUUUUAUACGCCGAUCAAUAGCCCAAAUAAAUUGAUUCUUAGAUUUUAGACACGAAAUUCUGUAGCGGAUCGAAUUCCGAAAAAGAAUGGGAUCAUCUCCCGACAAAGUUGAACUGCAAUGCACCUUGUCACCUUCACUCUUUAAUGCACCACUCCAGGUACUCUACUUGUGCGUCUGUGAGUCUGUGACACGUUUAGGUAAGCAAAAAUUUCACCUUUAGUCCAAGCUAAAACGAACUUUUAAAAUUUUAGGGAGUUUCGAUAGAGUGACGAAGAAAUUGUUCACAAAAAAAAAUUAAGGGAGAGGAAUUAAAAAUAAAUAAAAAACUAAUGAAAAAAAAGUUAGAAAACUUUGAAUUUUAAUAAUAAAGAUAAAAUAAAGGGUAAAAUAAAUAGUAACAUGAUUGACUUUUUAGUGUAAAAAUAUGAUUUUUCAUUAAAGUUAACAGUACGGAGAAUUUUUCGUUAAAAUUCUCUUUAAAAUAUGCUCUAUGAACAUUACAGUUAUAUGUAUGAGGAAUUUAUAAAUAACUCAAUAAGUAGAUAUUUGUAAAUUUCUCAUAUGUCUUUGGUAAUGCUUAUGUGACGAAUUUGUAACCCUUCCUAUCUAACUUUUUGUGAUAAAUUUUUCAUUACUUUGCCAAAAUCCCAUGAAAUUUGGAAACUUACCAUCGAAACAUACCCUAAAGAAAGAAGAAAAAGAUCGAUUUCAUUGGUGUGGGAGUUUGCAUAUAUGUAUUACAUCGGCCUUGUAGCCAAAAUAGUCACUGAGAUUAACAUAACUCAUCACUUUGAUAAUUGAGAUUGAAAAUCGAUAUAUGUGGUUCUUGAGUUUUUCCAUCAUUAAUCGUUUUAGUUAUUCUGUGAAAAACCUCCGUUAAAUUAAUGGUAUUUUUGUCUAUUCACCCAUUUACUUGCUUUUCUAUUUAACGGAGAUUUUUUACGAAAAUACCAAAAUGAUUGAAGACUUACAAACUUAGAGACCACUUUUAUCGAUUUUCAAUAUCAAAGACCAAAUAAAAAGUUAUGCUAAUCUCAUAUACUAUUUUAACUAAAAAGUUUAACAUUUUCUUAUUUUGAAAAUGAGUGAUAAACUUAGUCACUCAUGCGCGAAGAUAUAUGUGACUAAUUGCUUGAUCAGUCAUCAAAAGAAAAUAAAUCUAGCUAUACAUUGAUUAAUGUUAGUUUUUCUUGUUCCUUUUUUCAUACAGCCAUUACUCCAUUUCGUGCCCAAAAUGUGAAAGUUUGACGUAAUUUUAUGUUAUGGACUUUAAUAAUAAGGGAAGUAAUAUAAGCCAGCUUAAAAGUGAUGAAUGUGAUUUAGAAACAAGCGAAAUCGCCAAUCAAGAUACGUUUUCACAGACAAAGAUAUAGUGGCAUAUGCAAUGAUUUGGAAGUUGGAACAAUCUUCCUUUCUCUACGUUAUACUAUUAUCUUUUGACCAACAUUAAGUUAUUAACGACUUAAACAGACAACUUCGAUUGAGAUUUCAAACACGCAUAGUAGAUAGAUAAGUUGGAAAUAAAUAAAUAAUUUCGGGAUCAACUUUAGAAUUUUAAUUCAUUGAUCAAAAAGCGAUGAUUUGUCAGUUGUAUACAAAAGAUUAUGGUUAAUAUUCUUAGUUAAACAUAUCAAUGCCUUAAACUUGGUCGGCCAAAACUUAAUCUAAAGUAUUUUAUAUGUAAAACGAUUUGAUUAUAUAUGUCACGUCCUUGCAGUAGCGGAUCUAGAAUUCAAACCUUUGAGAAUUCAAGUUUUAAAGUUCCAAACUUUUUAGAUAGAAAUAGAGUACGAGAAGUGCAAGAAAAUUCAAUUUUAUUCACUAAGGUAUUUCGUUGAACACUUAUUUGGUUUGUUAUAGUUAGACGAACCAAGUUACACACAUAUCUUAACAUUCAAAGCAAUCCCAUAAUUGCUAUUGAGAGAAUUCGUUGAAUGUUUUCGACGCAACUUGCUAGUGAAAUUUCGUCAAACACUUAGUGGGCACUAAAAUGACAUGUACUAAACAUUCGAAUGAUCAUCAGAAGAAUUUCACAUGUAUAUUUCUCAACUUUGAAUGAUCUUAAAAUCAUCUUGAUCCCAAUGUACAUCCGCAACUGCAUACAUGAUACAUCUAACCUAAUCUACUUUAUCAAACUCGACCCUUAACAUAUAUUCAAAAGUGUAUAUAUUAUAUUAUAUACACAUAUUUGGACUUUGGAGGAAAACUGAGAAGGGGUACGCGAAUAAUGUUCCUGGACGUGCAUUAAUUGGCGGCACAAUUUUCGUGGCCGGUGAGAUCCUAAAUCUUGAUCAUUCAACAGUACUCAAAGAGAAACUAUUAUGUUUCUGCAAUAUGACACAUGGUUUUGGUUUAUAAGUUAUUGUUUUGAUUUGCUAAAUAAUAUGAAUAUUAAUCGACUAUGCUUAUCAUAAGAGCUAUACCUUUUCCAAUGUUCAUAAAAAGAUAAGAUUACUUGUAGAAUGUCUAUAUAGUGUCAAUAGAAUGAGAAUUCAUUCCUUUCUAGACAAUUUUCUAGAAAAGAUACAAUGCGAUGAAUGUCUAUAGAAUGAGAAUUCAUUCCUCUCUAGACAGUUUUCUGGAAAAGAUACAAUAUGAUGAAUGUCUAUAGAAUGAGAAUUCAUUCCUCUAGACUCAAUCUUUCAACGUCAAAAAAAAAAAAUUUCUUAUUUCAUGUUGUAUAGUAUUAGUAAAUAGAUUCACACAUUACAAUGAGAGAUGAUUGGUAAUACCACGUGUUAUUAUAACAAUAUCGAUGUGAUGUCGUCUAAUAUUAUUAUAACAGGUGAAAUCAUACACUAUGUGACUUGACCCUAUAAAAAUUUCUUAAAAGUACAAAGGAGAGUUUUAUUAAAUUAAAAAAAAAUGAAAAUUUAACGAAAAACUUCCGGUACCGUUCACUUUAACGAAAAAUCACAUUUUUGCACUAAAAAGUCAAUCAUGAUACUAUUCACUUUACCCUUUACUUUGUCCUUAUCGUUAAAACUCAAAGUUUUCAAGCCAUUUUUAUUAGUUUUCCUUAAAAAAAAAAGAUGAGGGAAUGCACAUAUCUCGCCCCUUACUAAUAACUUAUCUUCACAGUUUAAAUUUCAUAAUCAUAACCAUUAAAUAAUCAAGAUCAUUCAUUCAAAAUAUAUUUGAAUAAGAGAUCGUUUAGUUAUCCGAAUGUAUAAAAAAAAAUGAACAGUUAAACAUGAAUAUGUUACUUGGUAUUCACACCAUCAAUUUGUUCCAAAGGUUUGGGUGGAGAUUUAAAUGAUUUUUUGUAGAGAUGAUCUUUUACAUGAAAAUUAAGAAAUUGAAUGCUUCCGCGUGUGAAAUUUAUACGGUGAAUAUUCGUUAUUUGUAAGAAGUGAGAUGUGCAUUCCCCAUGGAAAAAUGCAAGUAUAUUCCAAUAAAAAAAGAAUUAAAAGAAAAAAAAAACUCACUACAUUGGGCCAUUAUUGAAGCAGGUAAUGGGCCGUGCACUCUUUUGGUUGUAUGAUCCCCAUUUCCAUGGGCUUGUUGGCUGACUUUGCAAACACGAUCAUAGUUCGAAAGUGCAAAUAAACCAGACAAAUAUGACCAAUUCGAUCGUCAAAGUUGUAACUAUGAUAUCUCAGAGAGAGUUGCACUGAAACACUUUAUGUAAUUUAAAUAAACAAAAUUAACAAACUGAAUAAAACUUUUCAGAAUGCUGUGUUUGGUAAAACUUAAUGUUUGGAGGAAUUGAUUAUGGGUCAAAAUUUUUAGAAUACUACCAUGUAAAACUUGCAUUGCAAUAAAACAUGGCUUAUGCAGCGACAGUCACUCAUCACAUAAAUAUGUAAACUUGUAAACUCAAAAUCCUAAGCCAAUUUAUAGCUCUUGAUAAAAAUCAGAGUACACAGAACAUACGAACAAAUGGAUUAACAAACCAUGAAUAAUUCUUAACUAAAUAAAACAAAGAAACAUUACAAAAUUGUCAAGAAGGCCACAUAACCCGAAGUGACUAUAUCUUGUUAGACUUACAUCCUCCACAGUUACAAAACAUCCUAUUUAUACAUAACUAAAUCCUAAUCCUAAUCGGCAAGGAAUCCAAAUCCUUAUUAUGCAAGAUAACCUUAGGACAUAAAAUACCCAAAAAACAACAUAAUAAUAAGCCAAGCAGGGGUUCAUUUGGAAGUGCUUUUAAAUUAUUGAAACUGCUUUUUAGAAAGAAAAAAAAAACGUUUUGGUUUCCAAAACACUUGAAGUUCUUAUAAGAAGUACCAAUUAUGUGUUUUUUGCAAGAAACACACUUCAAGUGAUUUUUCAGAAUUCACUUGUAUUUUUACUAAAGAUUAGUUCCAAAAAUACUUUCAAUCAUUUUAAAAACACUUCCAAAGUAUGGCACCCUAACUUUUCCAACACCUGAAUGUGAAGGAAAUGGUGGGAUUAAACUGAAAUUGGGGCACCCUUCACAUUCAUGGAGUUUGACCAAAAAAGAGAGAGAAUGGAUGAGUCCAUUUUCUUUGAGAGUCAAAUGGUUGAUCAUGAGAGACCUGGUGCGUGGCAUUUCGGGGCCUUGCUUCCAACAAUUAAGCCCCAGUUUGGUAGUGAUGUGCUUUAAAAAAAAGCUAGGGUGAAAAAAAGCUAGAGGGAUUUGAGGUGUUUGGUAAAUUUUCCAAAAGCAGCUUUGUUUUAAAGCUGAGGGUGAAAAGAAGCCUAAAACCGGAAGCUGCUAUUUGCAGCUUCCCAAAAACAGCUGCGGCUUCCCAAACCAAAAACACGGGUGAACAGUGUAGGUUUAAUGAAUUUUUCAAUAAUACAAAAUUGCCCUCCUUCCUUAUACAGUCUCUCCUCUCCGCCUCUCUCUCCUUCUCGCCUUCCUCCUUUCUUUCCUUCAGUCUACUCUCCUCUCGCAUACCCGAACCAAGAAACCAGAUCUCUCUCGUUCUCUCGUUCCAAAACCAGCGUUCUCCCUUGUUCUCUCGUUCUCCAGGUUGGUUUGGUAAGUUUCUCUUGUAAAUUUUAUUUAUUUAUUUGUUUGGAUUUUUAACUUUGGGGAUGGGAGAGGGAAAAAGGGGUGGGAAGAGCAAAGGGAUGAGGGUAUGGGUGUCGGGAAAAACAAUUGGGGAUGGAGGGUGGGGAAAAAUUAAUUGGGGAAGGUGAUAUGGGUGGGAUGCUGAGUUCUUCAACCAGAUGUCGGAGAUGCUACACCAGUGUCUUCAACAUAGGAGCUCGCGAGCGAGGGAAGUGUUGACCCACCAUCACCUUGAUAACCACACACAAGAAACACUCCCCGCCUGAAAAGUUACCUGCGAUAAAACAUGUACACUGUUAUAGGAUCUUUGUCACUCACAAAAGAGGGAAAAUGUGAUAGGUAGAAAAUUUUGUUUUGUGGAAAAAAAUAAUUGGGAAAAAAAUAAUUGGGGAAAAAUUAGGGUUUGUGGAGGAAACAAGAAAAAUUGAGAAGGUCUGCUUCUGAUUUGGGUUCAGGUAAAGGAUAAUUUUUUAUAAAGCUUUGCUCUGGUUCUAAUCUGUGAACUGUGCUUUUGAUUUGUCAUCCCUUUGUCAGUGUUCGUAUCGUAUCUCUCUGGAAGGAAGUGGGUUUCUUAGGACAUCGCUGAGGCUGUACUCGAACAGGUGGAUUAUUUUUGUCUUGGUACAAAAUUCGGUUUUCAUGUUUUUGAUAAAUCUGUUUUGUGAUUGCAUUUAAAUGGUAUUUGGUUUAUGUGUUUACGUAUUAGUUUGCACUUGAAAUGAGUUUUCUUUCAAGCAUUUUGUAAUUUUCGUGAUUAUAUUCGAUUAGUGGUACAUAUCCUCUCGUGAAACCUAGGGAUUAAAGUAGAAGACCAAAACUUGAAAGAAUGAAAUUAGGGUAGCUGAUUUCUGUUAAAUUUGAGCAUGGAGUGAUUGAAUGAUUCAAAAACAAAUUAAGCAGGAGUAAAGAGAGAUAAAGAAUGAAAUAGGUAGAAGUGGUUAGGUGUUUGUUGGUUAGGAUUAGAUAAAGAAUGAAAUAGGUAGAAGUGGUUAUAUGUUCUGGUGUGUUCAUCUUCUUUUCUUUUAGGUUUUUUGGUGUUUGUUGGUUUGGCUUUCAGCUCUUACUUGAAACAAGGUUUUUUCAGAGAUUAGGAUUAGAUAGACUACUUGUUUCAUUUCUCAGUCUUCUUGUCUACUAAAAAAAUAAUAAUAGUCAAGUGAAUAUUUUUAUCUUAUUGAUCAUGUGAAUUUUCAUGUAUUUUUAUGGUUGAUCUAUGUGUUAAUGAAUUUUCAUGUAUUUUUAUGGUUCAUCGUGUGAAUUAUUCAAGUAGUCUAUAUCCAAAAGAAGCUUUAUAAAAUAACUGCAACAAUUCAUAAAAACAGCAUUGUCAAAACAUUGUCGCAUACAAGGACCUUCUCCUUUUAUAAUAACGAGAGUACUUCCAAACUGACCAACCAUCAACUAUUUAAAUUCAUUAUAUUGAAUAAAUAUCACGUAAGGAAACUGAUUGUGCUUUAACAAAUAUCUUCUUUCUUUCAAACUUUUAUCGGCACAAAUCCACCUAUCUUGUAACCGCAUACUCUAAGAGAAGUUAUGUCUAUUUCUUUCAAACCAUUUUGGAAAUACUAACUGCUAAAUGGUUUACCUCGUUGUGCCACAGUACUUCAUUUCUGCAAGCUUCAUUAAUGCAACACUGAAAACACAUCAAAAGCAUGUAUCAGAGAUCUCCCUAAGAUGGAUUAUUAAGAAUAUUAAUGAACAGUAUAAAUCUGUGCAAUUUUUAUGUGUUAAUGUAUUUUCAUGUAUUUUUAUGUGUUGGUAAACCUGUGGGGUAUCCAUAUAAAUAUGUGCAAUUUAAUCCUGUGAUUAAUGGUCCGGUUUUUUUCCCAAACUGUGAUGUAAUAUUUUGUAGUUGUAUGUGGAUCGUUUAUUGGUUAUUUCUUGGUUAUAUUACAAAUCAGUAGUUGGUAUCAAUGGCAAAGAAUGGGGCAUCUUCUUCAAAUCCUAUUGCUACAUGGAAUGCCCACAAUAUAUCUAUAUUUUGUGAUAUUUGCAUCAAGGAGGUUGAGGCCGGACAUCGUCCGGGCACUCACUUUGACAAAGAUGGAUAUGCAAAUAUUAGAGCUAACUUCAAGGCAGAGACAGGGCAUGAUUAUGAAAGAAAGCAACUGAAAAAUAAGUGGGAUGCACUUAAAAAUGAGUGGAAGUUGUGGAAAGAGCUAGUUGGUAAAGAAACUGGCCUAGGGUGGAAUUCGAGCAAGGGUACCGUUGAUGCCUCUCAGGAGUGGUGGAAUAAUAAAAUUCAGGUUUGUGUAUUUAUUUUUUAAUAUGUAUAUGAUAUCAUGCAAUAUGGCUUAACCAUAUUCUUUCUUAUUUGUAGAUAAACAAAGAAUAUGGAAAAUUCCGAAAAAAGGGCAUUAGUCCUGAGAUGGAGGACAAGUUAGAUAGCAUGUUCUCGAAUACAGUUGCUACCGGUGAACAUGCCUGGGCACCUUCCUCUGGAGUACUACCACCAGAUACAAGAGAUGAAUCUAUAGGACAAGUUGAUUCAGAUGAUUCAGAUGAAAUUGAGACCAUGCAGGAUAUAAGGCAAGCUAGUAGGAAGGGAAAAAAAGAGCGGCUAAGCAAGGAGAAUUGCAAAACAAGAAAGGGAAAAAAAUUGGAGGUGCUGCAAAACUUUGUGGUCAAAUUGACCGUCUUGUUGAAGUUUAUGAAACUAGGAGUUCUGCAAACUCAUUGAUGUCCAAACUGCAUAUAGGAAAUAGUAUUUCAGAAGUGUUAGCGACUGUUGCACAAUUGCCUGGUUGUGAGUCACCUAACGAGUUAUGGUUGUUUGCUACAUGUUUAUUUUGUAGCGCAGAGAAGCGAGAGGUGUUUGGCACGAUAAAAGAUCCUGAAGUCCAGCUAACUUGGUUGAAAUAUAUGUUCAACAAAGAACAAUAGGGAGCUAAAAGCCUAAAACUAUGAAUUAGGACUAUAUGUGUGGUUGUACUUUGCAUUAAGAUUAUGUAUUGAAUGUUACUACAUGUUUAUUGAAUGUUGGAUUAUAUGUUGAAUGUUGAAUUAUGAUUUCUUGUUAAACGUUGGAUUAUGACUUGUUCUUGAAUGUCGGAGUAUGACUUCUUAGUGAUUGUUGGAUUAUGACUUGUGGAAUGUUGAAUUAUGUGUUAGGUUACAGGUGUAUAUUCAAUAUGAAUACCUCUGAUGAUGAUGUUCAGGAUUUGGAGGAUGGUGUAAUUAUAUGAGCUGCAGCGAGAGCUGUUGAAACAUAUUAUUUAAAAUAUGUCCACAAAACUCCGUGUAUGAAUUCUUCCCAAACAGGUAAUAUUUGGUUGAUGGAAGUACUACAAGGAAAUCAUGUGCGAUGCUAUAGAAUGUUUAGGAUGAACAAAGAUGUCUUUUAUAGAUUAUCCAAUGACUUGCAAACUAAUUAUGGGUUGAAAGGUUCAAGGAAAAUGAAUGCAAUUGAAAUAUUAGGAAUGUUCUUACAUAUGUUGGGACAUGGUGUGAAAAAUAGAUUAGCUCAAGAGAGAUUUCAACAUUCUGGUGAGACUGUUUAGUAGAUAUUUUGGUGUUGUGUUUAGAUAUCGUAUGUAAAGAUGGCAAUAGAUAUUAUCAAACCGAUGGAUUCUGAGUUUCGUGGCAUUCCCUAAGAAAUAAGGAGAGAUACAAGAUACAUGCCUUAUUUUAAGGUAAAUUUUGACUUGUCUUCUAACUUAUUUGUAAACUAUAAGUGUAGGUUGACGAUUUUCUUCUAUGUUAUUAUUUUUAGGAUUGUAUUGGUGCCAUAGAUGGAGUACAUGUUGAGGCUUCAAUACCACCUCCGGAUCAAGUUCCAUACAUUGGUAGGAAAGGAAUACCGACACAAAAUGUUAUGGCUGCAUGUAAUUUUGACAUGCAAUUCACAUUUGCUUGUGCCGGAUGGGAAGACACUGCACAUGAUACAAGGGUUUUUUUAUGCGUGCUACGGAAUCCAAAUUUAAACUUUCCAAAGCCUCCAAAUGGUAAUCUUCAUACUUAUUUAUAACAAUUUACAUGCUUGCUUUGUAUAAUUAUUACAAUACAAAACAAAAUUUUCAAUUUUCAGGAAAAUAUUACUUGGUAGAUGCGGGGUACCCACAAAUGAGAGGUUAUUUGGGACCAUAUAAAGGUGAAAGAUAUCAUCUCCCGGAUUUUCGUAGGGGUCCCGAACCAACGGGUCAUAAAGAGGUAUUCAACCACAUGCAUUCUUCUCUAAGGAGCAUCAUUGAACGAACUUUUGGGGUAUGGAAGAAAAGAUGGGCAAUUUUAAGGGAUAUGCCUAAUUACCCGUUCAAUAAGCAAGUGAAGAUUGUCAUUGCUACAAUGGCUCUUCAUAACUACAUACGGAGGUAUUCUGAAAGUGAUCGUCAUAUUGAUGACCCCAUGGACUAUUGUGAAGAGAGCGAUAGUAGUGAUGAUGAUGAUGAAGAAUACCAAAAUUAUCAAGUUGAAGGAUCCCAUGAGAUAGAAGCAUUAAGAAAUAGAAUAGCAGCAAGUUUGAUGAAUGCAUCUAAUUAGACUACUUUCAAGUACAUUAACAAUAUUGUACUAAUGAAUCCUAGUUAUUCAGUCUAAAAUAUUUCAAUUGAAGUACUUUGUCAUACUAAUUAAUAUUUAAGAUAAAGUUUAUAAAUAUUUCUUUUUUAAAAAUAAAGUAUAUUUAAUAAUUCACUUUUAUUUGUUAAGAAAAUUAAAUUAAUAGCGCAUAUAGUAUUAUACCCUUUUUUGUCAUUUCACACAGUCACAGCUGUUUUACAUAAAAGUUUACCAAGCACCUUUUUUUCCAAAAGCACUUUUACAAAAAUGUUUACCAAACACUCUGCUGGCUUUAUUCACAACCGCUUAUUCUCACAGCAGCUUUUUUUCAAAGCACAGCAAUACCAAACCAGCCCUAAAUUUGAUAUUUGAAUGGUGGUACAAAAAUGGAGCUGCCAAUGUCAUAUUAUCUUUCUAAUUGAUGAUCGCUCCCAUGCUGUCUGUUCUUCAAUUGUCACAAUUAACUUGGACAACGUGGGCUUGAAUGUUCAAUUGAGUGGUGGACCAAUGAUAAUUUUGGGUAAAUUUGCAUAUUCAAUAUAGACUUUGAUUUGACAAAUUUGAAAAAAUAAUCAAAAUUUAAAUCUAAAAUUAUAGCCACUCUUUCCUUUUUGGAAAAAGGCGGAAUUAUAACAAAAAAUUUAUUUGAAAAUACUAAUAUAACCUUAAUACUCUUAAUAACAAAAGAAAACUAGGGUUUGAAAACUUUGAGUUUUAAUGAUAAGAAUAAAAUAAAGGAUAAAGUGAAUAGUACCAGGAUUGACUUUUUAGUGUAAAAAUGUGGUUUUUCGUUAAAGUGAACGUUACCGGUGCUUUUCGUUAAAGUUCCCAAAUAACAACUCUGAACUUCUCUCCUCUCGUCUCCUGCAAAAUGGUUAUGGCUUCUUCGGCAACUUCCAAUCUAUUCAAGACCAUAUCAAUGGCAGACGCAUGCCUAGUCUACCUCCCUUACCUCUCUGCCGCCAAACCACCAACCCAUUUCUCUCAAUUCUCUCCAAACCCAUAAAGCUCCACCUCUCCUACACUCCCUCUUCGCUCUUCUUGUCGCAGCGGUCCCUUUGGAACAAAACCCACUUCCGUUGUCGCUUUCGUUGCCCAGACCUCGGACUGGGUUCAAAGCUAUUUGAGAGGCUGGAACUGUCGAGGUUGCUCACGUGAGGCUUUGAAUUUCUUUGGAUUUGUUUUGUUAAAAGCUUUAGUCAUGAAGGGCAUUUUCGUAUUUUCAUAUUAUUUUUUUUCUAGUCAUAAAUUUAAAAUGAUGAUUAUAAUUCAAUAUGUAGUUCAAUUUUUGAUUAUUUUUCUAAAUUUCCUUGGCAAAUAGGAGAUUAGGAUGUGAUGAUGGACUUAUGGUUCAUGGUCGGGAAUAUACCAACUUAGAAGACAUUUAUUUGAUCGUAUGGUAUGCAUGUUGUUCGCUUCAGAGUUCAGAUGUGCCCUUGACAUUGAGCCACAUCAGUGGCGAAUCUAAGAUCGAACACGGAGAGUUUCAGUAUUAAAUAUUUAAGUUUUUUAUAAUAGAAACAUAAUGCAAAGAGCACAUAAAAAUUUUCAUUCACUAAGGCAUUUUGUUGAACAUUUUGUGGGCUUAUUAUUAUCAAUCGAAUCAUGUUGUGUACAUGUCAACAUAUAUCGGCAUAUACUGAAGCAAUUUAAUAAGUGUCAUCUAGAGAAUUUGUCAAGUGCACUCGACGGAACCUAUUGAAUACUACCGAGAUAUGUCUAGCACAUUACAUCAAACAUUUGAUAGGCACAAAAAGAAUUCAUACCAAUAGUCAAAAGUCCACAAAAACACCAUCACAUGUGUAUCCCGAGGCUCGGUGUGGUAGUCCAAUGUAAUUGACUAAUUUGUGGACUUAAGGUUUUCAUAUGAAUUGGAAAAUAAGAUUUCCACUACAGACUUGUUGCAAAAAACCUACAGGCUACAGAGCACAUAGACCAAAGAAACCAAAAUAUAUAAAUAAAUAAAUAAAAAAUAAUAGUCACUCAGUACUAUGGUCUGUUGAUAUUUUUUUUUACUUAGAAAUGAGAGGUCUUAAAUUUGAAUCCCAUGGAUAACGAAAUUAGGUUAUCUAUUAUAUGACUUAGUCGAAUUCUCAUCCUCUUUAGUGUAAAAACAUUUAUGCACUUAAAAAAAUAAAAUAAUAAUAAUAGUUGUGAAAGCGACACCACGACGCUCCCCAUGUUCACGCGUCCUGAUGCCGUUGAUUUCCAUUUCGUCUGGUUCAUUAGCACCAAGCACCGCCGCGAUGGGGUCCCACCGCGCAGAUUAUUAGCCUCUCUGCCAUUAUGCCCCAUCAAGAUCAAGGUUCCUCUCAUGCUAAGCUGUCCUAAUAAUUUCCAACCAUAUGUUGUGGUUUUUCAGUUAAUAAUUAUGUUUAUUGCAAAUAAAAAAGGGCAAUUUUUACCCAAAAAAAAAACAAAAAACAUAUAAUAACUAGCCUUAUUUCAUUAAGUGUGGCCAACUGUAUGAAUAUUAAAAUGUCAUUAGCUCCAGGUCAUAUUUUCUUUUAUAGUUUCUUUCCAAGCCUUCUUAGGCCGUCUUCCACGAUUUUGGUCUUGAGUUUUCGUCUCAUAGUCGCAUAUUCUAACCGAAGCAUCUGAAGGUUUUCAGUGCACGUGUCCAAACCAACUUAACCGAUUUUAUCUCAUCUUAUAUUUAAUUAUUGUCAAUCUUACUUUAUCUCGAAUAUCCUCGUUCUUACUUCUGUUCUUUAUUGUGUUCCCACACAACCAAUGGAGCAUUUUCAUUUUCGCUACCCUCCUUUUUUUUUUAACCGAAAAAACAAAAAUAAAAAUAACGUAGAAGGAAGCUUAAUGGAGGCAAUGACACAAAGUGCCUUCUUUUCUAACAAAACUUUGGUAAAGAGAGUGUAAAGUUUAAAAUCAUUGCAACUUUUUUGAAGAAAUCUUUUUUUCUUCUUUCUUCGUUAAAGGCUUGAAGCCUAAGGAAAGUUUAAAGUGGUGGAGAUUGCAUUAUAAUCCUACAUAUCGUAUAUUGUUUUAGUUUAUUGUACAUGUCAAUGUAUAUAAUCAUACAUAAAAGCAGAAUGUCAUCAUAUGUAAUGACGUAUCCCAAUUACAUCAGCUAAGAAAUUGAUUUCUCUAAAGGUAAGUUUCCAAGAAAACAUGUGUAAAAGACGAGGCAAUUCAUCGAAUAUAUUCAAUAAUUGCCUUUAGUUUAAAAGAGACUAUAACUUUUGAAAAAAAAACGAUUAUUAACCGUUAAUGCAUGGAAAUUUUAGUGAAGCAAAGGAAGUGGCAUGUGCUGGUAAUAUAAGUGCAAGAAAGGGUGGUUUGUGUAGCUCAAAUCGAACUUGAUUCUGCCUUUUUUACCUCCUUUCACAGUUUCACUAUAAAGAAGCCCCCACCAAAACCAAACCUUGGGAAAGUACCAUCUCUUGCUCCCAUGGCAAAUCUCACCUCCCUCCUCCUCUCUCUCACCACUCUCCUCUCUCUCCUCCUCCCUUCUCUCUCAUCUAAACUCACCAUCCCUCUCUUCCCAUUCCCGAAACCACCGUCCACCGAUCUACUCCAAUCCCUCAACUUCCAUGCCGCCGCCUCCCUCUCCCGAGCCCACCACAUCAAAAACCCUGAAAAAUCCCCCCAUCCUUCUCCCUCCACCCAAGUCCCCCUCUUCCCCCACAGCUACGGCGGAUACUCCGUCUCCCUCCGCUUCGGUACGCCGCCGCAAACCACCUCCUUCAUCAUGGACACCGGCAGCAGUCUUGUCUGGUUCCCCUGUACCAAACGCUACACUUGCUCCCAAUGCCAGUUCCCAAACAUCGACCCCACAAAAAUCCCAACUUUCAUCCCCAAAUUCUCCUCCUCCUCCAAAAUCGUCGGCUGCAAAAACCCCAAAUGCGCUUGGAUUUUCGGCCCCGAAGUCGAAUCCCAAUGCCCGAAUUGCAACGACCCAACUCGCCAAAACUGCUCCCAAGCCUGCCCACCGUACAGACUCCAGUACGGUUCGGGCAUAACAGCUGGGAUUUUACUUUCCGAGUCCCUGAAUUUUCCCGAGAAAAUUAUCCCUGAUUUUCUCGUCGGUUGCUCGUUCUUCUCCAUCCGGCAGCCAGCCGGAAUCGCCGGAUUCGGCCGCGGAACGGAAUCGCUGCCGACCCAAAUGGGGCUCUCCAAAUUCUCUUACUGCUUAGUCUCCCAUAAAUUCGAUGAUACCCCACAAAGCAGCGAGCUUGUUCUGUACAGCGGCGGCAGCAGCGCCGACGAACCCACCGUUUCUUCGACCCGAAGAAACGACACGAAAGCUCAGCGCUCGAGCUACACGCCGUUUCAGAAAAACCCAAGUCCUCCAAACUCUGCAUUUCGCGAGUACUACUACAUACUGCUCAGAAAAAUCAUCGUGGGCAAGAAACACGUGAAGAUUCCUUACAAGUUUCUCGUCCCCGGAGCCGACAGCAAUGGCGGGACGAUCGUGGAUUCCGGAUCGACCUUCACGUUCAUGGAGAAGCCGGUUUUCGAAGCCGUGGCGCAAGAGUUUGAGUCACAGAUGGCGAAUUACACGAGAGCAAAGGACUUGGAAACCAAAACGGGAUUGAGACCCUGUUUCGAUAUUUCAAAAGAGGAGAAGUUGGAGUUUCCGGAAUUGGUUUUCCAGUUCAAAGGGGGUGCUAAGAUGGAGCUGCCAUUGACGAAUUACUUUUCGCUGGUUUCGAGCUCGGGGGUUGUGUGCUUGACGAUUGUUACUGAUGGGGUUAUUGGUUCAAAGAGUAGUGGUGGACCUGCCAUUAUUUUGGGGAAUUACCAGCAGCAGAAUUUUUUUGUGGAGUACGAUUUGGAGGGUGACAGGUUUGGGUUCCGGAAACAGAACUGUAAAUGAUGAGGCUCCGUCACAUUAGACCGAUUUACUUGAAACGGCUACACCGUUAUUGUAACGUCAGGAAAAAUAAAGGGUGCAAAACAAGUUUUUGUGCAGUGACGAGAAACGAUGAUGACAAGUUGUAGAGAGGAUAAUAAUUGUGUUUUUUUUACAUUAGUGAUAAUUUUUCACGAUGGAGAAGAAGUUUUAAUUUGCUUUCUCGAUUGCAGAAAUUAACCUUAAAUUAGUGCUUCAAUCUGCAUUGUCAAGCUUCACAUUGUUUUCAAUAUGCAUAAAGUCCUCUCCUUUUUGUACAUGACAACUCAAUGUGUUUAGAAGUGUUUUUAAAAUGAUUGAAAGUAUUUUUGAUGAAAAUAUUUUUAGAGUAAAUUCUUAAUAAAAAUGUAAGUGAAUCUCGAAAAAAUAUUUGAAAUGUUUCUUAUAAGAAGCACAUAAUUGAUAUUUUUUACAAAAAAAACAUUUAAGUGUUUUUGAAACUCAAAAUUAUUUUUUCUAAAAUAUUUUCAUUCAUUUAAAAAAAAAAAAAAUACUUACCGACUGCCGCACUAACUUUACUGACCUGCCAACAAUCCAAUACAAUAAGGACACCUUUAACACUCCAACCGAACAUUCUUCUUAUCCCUCAUCCAACACUGAAUCCCUCUUCUCCGGCGACCCACCUGCAAACCAUCUCUUCUCCGGUGACCCCAAUCCCCCUUUCAUGCGAUCCACCCCAAUCCCUUUCUUCUACAGCGACUGUGAUCGUCGUCUUCCGUUAUGGACGACGGCGACCUGUCGUCAUCAAUCCAGAGAGUCGAUCUUACCAUUUGAUCUCAAUUAGUUUGUGAAAGAAUUUGCAAUGUUUUUGCAGGUCUGGUGGCUCGUUUUAAAUAUAGUCCAUUUGAUUAAAUUCAAAUGUACACACAUAUCUUCAUCUGUAAAUUAAUCUGUUUUCCCCGAAUCCUUUUUCUUUCUGUCACUUUCCCCUAAACUUUCUUGUCCCUUUACUCUCUGGUCAACAAUCCUAUUCAUUAACCUAGUUUAAUCUAUAUUUUCAUGCAAUUAUUGAUUAACAAUUAAUAAUAUGCAAAACUACACCUUGCAAUUGCAAAGCUAUUUUCAUACCAUAUAUUUUAUUUAUGUUUGGACGAAAUUUUUUUUCAGUGUGCCAGAAACACAGCUCGGUACAUCAAAUAUAAUAAUACAAUUAGUUAAAAACUUCAAAAAGCUCAACUAAUUGUAUUAUUACACUUUGUUUCCAGACCGUAUUCUCAGCACACUAAAAAAUCUCUCAUGUUCAGACAGCUAAGCAGUCAAAGUUCUAUUGUAUUAUUUCCUUUAACAGUCCAAUAUUUUAAUAGUACCUAAUUAGGAUUAAAGAAGAUAGGUAUGUAAUUAAGCUAAGCUAGACAAGUAGAAUAUUGACACAUGUUUAGGCCAUCUCUAACCGAAGGUUGGUCAGAUGGCUCGUUUUAACCCUUUGACCCUCUAAGAUAUUAAUAUUUUGAUGAACAAUACAUGACCAUAUUUGCCUCCAUCUCCAAUUGAGGGCCAAAGGGCCAUAGGGUUCGUUGUAGCUCUGUCACAAAAAAACCAUUUCCAACCGAGGGCCAAACAUAAUUUAUUAUUUAAAUUUAAAAACUACAACAACUUAAAUUUAAAAACAACAACUUAUAUUUAAAAACUAAAAAUUAAAUUUAAAAACAACAUUGACUUAAAUUUAAAAACAACAUUGACUUAAAUUUAAAAACAACAACUUAUAUUUUUGAAAGAGGUAAGAAAAUAUGAGAAUUGAAAUGGUGUAGGAAUGGUGAAAAAUUUGUGAGGAAUGGUGAAUGAAUGGGUUAGGUAUUUAUAAGAAAAAAUGAGAUUUUUUUUAAAAAAAAUUUGGCCCCAAAAAAAUAAAAAUUGAAUCCAACGGUAACUGGCGUAAGCUAGCCAUUGCAUUUAAAAUUUGGCCUAGCAUUCUUGUCGGUUAUAUCCGACAGAAAUUCAAAUUUCUGGCUUGGCCCGGGGCUGGUUGGCUAGCUCAUUUGGGCCAGCUGGUCGGCCCUUUGACCUUUUUUUGUCUGGUGGGGCCCACGAGCCCUUUGGCCUAGCUCUUGGUUGGAGACGAUUUUCGGACGUUUUUCGGCCCUCUGGACUAAUCAGUUGGAGAUGGUCUUAGCUGCUCCCUAGAUCACCGGCAAUUGCAACCUUUUCAUCUUAACUCCACAGUUGGCAAAUUUGUUGUUUAGGUGAGAGUUUUAAAGUUAAUCAGCUGCAUAUACAUAUAUGAGCUGCUCCGUCCGACACAUUUGUGAAAUUCACAUUACCUAAAACAUGAACUUUCUUAGUUGAACCAAAAACAAAACAUGAACCUCAUUACCCUAAUGUAAUUAAACCCGAUUUUGAUCCGAAUCCGAUUAAGUACUAGGGAAUGAAUUAAGAUUUUCAAUCUGAUAAUCUUAACCAUGUUUGGAUAAGGAACCUUCAAAGUCUUAAUAUUAGGCUCUAUCAUUAAAAAAAAAAACACUACAAGAAAGAAUAACCAUAAAAACUCUUCACACGCUACAAAUUUCAACGUACAUAAAGAUACCUAAAUUGUACACUACAGAUUCUUGAUUAGAUUUAUUCUUUAUAUCUUGACGUGGUGUCUAAUUUUAAGCAUUCGCUCAAAAUUUAUCAUCUUUCUCACAUAAAACGUACAUAUGCAGUUGUACGUUACACACAUAAUUCAUGUGCAAGCGUUUGAUAAUUUGAGCUACUCAGGUCCCAAAAAUAACCAGGCCAGGGUGGAUCCCCAUACUGUUUAUUAGGCUUAGUAACUCCUCAAGGAAGAAAGCAGACACAUGGAUAAGUAGCCUAGGACCACAACAAUUCGAGGAAGCAUAGCAGAGUGGGUCAAAUUGUUUGAUAUAUGAUGAGGAGGAUGACCAUAGCCAUCUAUUUCUCAUCCAGUCCAUGUGCUUAGUGCAGGAAGUUUUUAAAGGUCAGAUUUUACAUUUCUCAUAUGAUUUCUUCCACCGUUUUUGGUGCGUAGUCAUUUUCUCAAGUGCUAAUAGGAGCACUACAAGACUUGGAUGUAGGGGAAUGAUGUUAUCUUUUUACCAGUAGGGGAAUGGAUGUUAUAAACUUAUAAGUUAUAGCUUGGACAUUUUUGGAAGAUUUUGAAAUUAGGUUUUUGAAGACUUCCAAUUGCUUUUUCUUAGACUCUUAAAAUGGAGAGGAGCUUGAACACAGUGAAAGGAUUUUUUUUAAUGCAACAAUAUAUUUACACAAAGUAAUGGGAGAGUAAAGUGGUAUGAACUCGCCAUUCACGAAUUCGAACGUAAGAAACUCUCACUUACAGAUCGAUGCAAAACUUGGCUAGUUUUUAAUUUGAAAAUUUUUCAAACACCUUUUUUUUUUCCUUCUACACACCUUUAUUUAUUUAUUUUUAUUGAUUUUGCUCUGACUUAUUCAAUCUAAAACGGUAAUAAAUAAAUAAGAGUGUCUAGGGAAGAGAAAAUGAGGGUGUGAAAAUUGCUUCCCUUCAAAUUUCCUCUAGAUUUUUCUAAGAAAUUGUAAAAUGCAGCUAGCUAGACACAUAACCAAUAAAGAAGGAUUUCCUUAGUGUGAUUUAAAGGAAAGAAUGUUAUGAACGUAGUGGUUAAGGUUAAACCUUAUUCAUGUGGGGAAGGUCCUACUUCAGCUGCUAGCUGGCAUACAUAAAAUUAUGGCAGAGAAAAAGUCCCAUCCCGUUGAAAAAUACCAAAGUGAAAAGUAAGUCCCGUAAGAAUACAAAAAUUCGGUUUUUGUUCAACUUGUCGUGGAGGAUAAGUGAGAUAUUUGAAGAUUGGAAAGACAUGCACGUGAUUCAAAAAGAACAAAAGAAAUGAGUCACCAAAUAAGGACCCGACCUAUGGUUUGCUUUUGGAAUCUCCACUCACUAACCAGUAUUUGCCAAAUGAAGUGUUUUGUGGGGUGCUUUGGUACUGCUUGCUAAGCAUAUGGCAUGUUCGAUCACCUUCUCAUGACAAGAAAGGACGGUUUGAUCCAAUAAUUAAUCUUUUUUAGCUUGUCUCAUCGCAUCAGUCAAACUUCAUGUAAUGUUAUAGGCUGGCCUGCAUAAUCAAACUCCCUCUGAAUUGUAAUUGGAUUAUGUUUUACGUAAUUGUCGUUUGAUUAAUUCAUGCAUGCACGGGUAUAGAGAUUGAUGUACGUUAAGGAGAAUGUAUGUAGAUAAAAUCAAAAUAUCUAACUCAAAAUUAAUUAUAUACAAUUUACAAGACUUUACUUUCCUAAUGUAAAAUAAUUCACAGAAUCUCCUACAAAGUUUUGUUCUUGGACAAAAAAGUUUACUUCUAACCGGCGCUCGUGAUGUACAAAAGAACAACCUAGCUAUGGCAUUAGUUCCUUACAAUUUUGUCACGUGAUAUAUUGGGACCCGGAUGCUGCAUGUUUACGGUGAGUAUUUAAAUAAGUUGGAGCUAUACGGUUGAACUCACGGAAAUAUCAUAGAAGUUUCCUAUAUAUAUACAGGGAUAUUUGUUUUAUCCAAAUUUGUAGCUUGGCUUUCAGUGGUGUAUGAGAAACUACUGUAUGUUAGUAGACUUGGCUUUCAGUGGUGUAUGAGAAACUACUGUAUGUUAGUAGAACACAACGAUGUGGUAUUAAUAUUAUAUUUUAGAAUACAAAUGCAUUUUUACUCAUAUGAUAAGGUAUGCGUGAAUUAAUUAGUAACGUCACAUAACAAAAUUGUAGUAUCCUACUAAAUAAUUUUUUUGCUACUUGGGAUGAAACCGGAUUGUACAUUUCUGCCCGGACUUUUUGACCAGAUAAAAUAAAAAAGAUCUUGACCUUCCAUUGUUCGUACAUACCAUACACCAUAACAUGGUAGAGUUUUCGUGUUUCAUUUAUGCAGGCUAGAAAAGUAGCAAAGGUUAUAUAAACUUGUUGUUCCCGAUUAUGCAUGAUUAGACCAUCUCCAACCUUUAGAGUAAAACCUAAAAUUUUUAGCUCAGAAAAUUUAGAUUUUAACCCAAAAACAAUUUUUCUACUCCAACUCUUCUGGCUUAAAUUUUUUAGCCAGAGUUUAUUAAAAAAUAAAUUAGGGCUAUUUUUUUUUAAAUUAUGUACACUAUCCAAAUUUAAUUUUAUGAACAUUUUAAUCUAAAAAUAUUUAGAUUAUGAUAAAUAUUGAAAAAUCACUAAAUUUGGGUGAAUUUUGAGUUAAAUAAUUAUUUUAACCAUUAGAUUUAAAUUUGACAUGUUAGAUCUUUUUUUAUACCGUUGGAUUUAAUCAUAUUAGAUAUCCGCCGUUGAAUUUAAUGAAAUUAUAAAUAUAAAACAAAAACAUUAACUAAAUUAAAUGUAGACCGUUGGAUAACCAACGAUCCGUUUGAAUUUUAGCCGUUGAUCAUCCAAAAGAGUCGUUGGCUCACUUUUCUUGGCCGACAUUUGCUGGACACACCCAUGUGGGUGGGGGCUGCCCUUUGCAGUAAUGAUAAAUGUUGGAGCACGUCCUUCAUGUGGCGCGAGUGGUUUUGGGUGCUUGUCAUCCAACUCCCUCUCUUCCACUCUCACAUAUGAGCUCCACCACUAACCUUGGCCUAAAUCUUUACCUAAAUUUGGCUUCUUUUUUUUUUUGGUUUUAAGACUUAAUCCCAUUUUAGAACAAGGGUUGGAAUGAAAUUUGGGAAGGGGGGGGGGUUUGGGCGGUGGGGGAAUAGAAGGGAAAAUUUAGAACUUACUCCAAGGGUUGGAGUUAGUCUUAUAGUCUAGGUAAGAAGGUAAUUUGAGCAGGCCGUGAAGGACGGGUGAGGUUUGAGUAAGUUUUAUACUUAAUUGUUAAGAAAUAAAUCAUGAAAAUGAUGGCGAAUGUUGACCAUCUUAUGUUUAAUGUUUUGCUUAAUCAAGGUGACUGAGUACAUUUUAUGUUCUUCAUGGAUAUUUGGCAUAAUAUACCAAAAAGAAAUGCCAAAGGUGCAUGAUGGCGUUGUUAUUGGGAAAGGAAGUCACUCACUAGUGGGUCUUACUCAAGGUGCUCUUUGUUGGAAAUGUGCCCUAAAACCAAUCAUAUGAUGAUACUUUACAGACAUUUCACAUGUUAAACUAAUAUAGUUUAAUUUAAAGGGCAAAGAUUAUUGUUUGAAGCCGUCUCAUAUAAAUGUUAUACGCUUAAACGAUAAGUCCAAGAAAUAUGUAAUUGGGAGAAUGUGAUCCAAAUAAGUUAGAUUCAUGAGACCAUUCUUUUUCGUAUACAUAUCCUAAACGUUCCUGAUCAUAAGAUUGCCAAUUGGGCAUUGACAGUCCGUUAAGAUAAGUACGUGUUAUGUCUUCUCUUAGGGAGAGUGACUGGUCUCGAGUCAUUGGUGUGACUGACAUCAAGACAAGCAUGUAAGUGCUCAAUAGAGAAUGAGUCUACUGAACACGAUCAACAAGGAGUUCUCAUACUCAUGUCACAUGAGAACUCAUGGUUGGGAUAAUGCAAAGUAGUCCUUUGACCUGAGGCAUCAUAGUUGUCUUGUGGUUAGGUCCUUGAUCUUUGACUAUGUCAAAGUCACUCCGUCAGAGGGUGUCCACGGCAUAGUUGGGGUUAAGCCACUUAGCCAUGGAGGCAAGUGAAUGCGCAACAAGGGUUGGAGUGAAAUUUGGGAAGAGAGGGGGGGGUUUGGGCGGUGGGGGAAUAGAAGGGAAAAUUUAGAACUUACUCCAAGGGUUGGAGUUAGUCUUAUAGUCUAGGUAAGAAGGUAAUUUGAGCAGGCCGUGAAGGACGGGUGAGGUUUGAGUAAGUUUUAUACUUAAUUGUCAAGAAAUAAAUCAUGAAAAUGAUGGCGAAUGUUGACCAUCUUAUGUUUAAUGUUUUGCUUAAUCAAGGUGACUGAGUACAUUUUAUGUUCUUCAUGGAUAUUUGGCAUAAUAUACCAAAAAGAAAUGCCAAAGGUGCAUGAUGGCGUUGUUAUUGGGAAAGGAAGUCACUCACUAGUGGGUCUUACUCAAGGUGCUCUUUGUUGGAAAUGUGCCCUAAAACCAAUCAUAUGAUGAUACUUUACAGACAUUUCACAUGUUAAACUAAUAUAGUUUAAUUUAAAGGGCAAAGAUUAUUGUUUGAAGCCGUCUCAUAUAAAUGUUAUACGCUUAAACGAUAAGUCCAAGAAAUAUGUAAUUGGGAGAAUGUGAUCCAAAUAAGUUAGAUUCAUGAGACCAUUCUUUUUCGUAUACAUAUCCUAAACGUUCCUGAUCAUAAGAUUGCCAAUUGGGCAUUGACAGUCCGUUAAGAUAAGUACGUGUUAUGUCUUCUCUUAGGGAGAGUGACUGGUCUCGAGUCAUUGGUGUGACUGACACCAAGACAAACAUGUAAGUGCUCAAUAGAGAAUGAGUCUACUGAACACGAUCAACAAGGAGUUCUCAUACUCAUGUCACAUGAGAACUCAUGGUUGGGAUAAUGCAAAGUAGUCCUUUGACCUGAGGCAUCAUAGUUGUCUUGUGGUUAGGUCCUUGAUCUUUGACUAUGUCAAAGUCACUCCGUCAGAGGGUGUCCACAACAUAGUUGGGGUUAAGCCACUUAGCCAUGGAGGCAAGUGAAUGCGCAACAAGGGAUCUAUAACCUUUAAACUGUUUGAAGAAUAAUACUCUAUGAUAUGAUUAAGAAUCUCUGGCUAGAGUAUGAAUGAGAUUUAGGAAAUCGUUCCAAAUCACAUUCAAGGUAAUCAUAUAAGUAAGAGAAUCAUAUUGGAUAGUAGACAUGAAUAAACUAUCACACCAAACAAUGUGGUCAAGAGUAUUGUAUUAGAGAAAGACCGUAUUGCAUUGUAAUCCUAAACUGAAUAGGUUCUCCACCUCUUCUGAUUAGCUUUGGUAACCAUGACAUACUGCUAGGUGUCACUCAUGGUUUGUGGAAGCCUUAAACGUGUAUAAUCACUAAAGAGAGAAUUGAAAGUAAGUUUCAAUUCACAAUGGAUUUGAAAGAGUUCUAAUCGUCCACUGCCUCGCUAAAAGGAACCUAAUGGAUCGUACACCGUGUAAGGUAGAGAUUGAAGAAACAACGGAGAUGAGUAAGGAUAAUUAAAUGAUUUAAUUAUUUAUGGCAAUGAUUAAUUAAUAUGAUGAUUAAUCAAACGAAUAAGUUCGUUUUAGACCUCGGGUUAGUUUUGGGCCUUAAGGCCCAAUGGGCUUCGAAUGUCAAGCCCAUUAACUUAAGUUGUAUGACAACUUAAUGAAUAAAGAUUCAAGAAGGCCCAAACAGCCCAAUAGCCCUAAGAUGGUCGGCCAUAUGUUGAAAGAAAGGCCUUUGGUUCUCUAGGUCACUUAAUUGAAGGGACUAUAUAAAGAACUUUAUAGCCAAAAUUCUUUUAGGGUUUUGCUUUUGGAGAAAAUAUGAGAACACAAUGUCUCUCCCUUUCUCUCUAGGAGGCUGGCCCCCUUGGAGGAGAUUAGCUAGCAAUCUUCCCUCCUCCAAGGUCACUCAUCUCUUCUUCAAGUCCUACCUUGGUGUGGUAUUGUUUUUCAAAGAUUGUUUUGUAUUUUUUUCCUUAUGUGCAACGUAACUCUACAGCCAAAAUAUAAGGAGGCUAUCCCUCCUUCCUUAAUUUAGGAAAGCUAACAGCAGCUUUAAGAAAGCUGACAGCAGCUUUAGGAAAGCUGACAGGCAGCUUUAGGAAAGCUAACAGAAGCUCACUAUACAAGAAGUGCUAAACACAAGAAACAGCAGCUUUAGGAAAGCUUACAGGCAGCUUUAGGAAAGCUAACAGAAGCUCACUAUACAAGAAGUGCUAAACACAAGAAAAAUAAAAGACAGCCUUGUCCAAGACUUCCAAUACUCCCCCUCAAGCUGGAUCCAUAAGAUUGAUGGAUCCAAGCUUGGACAGAAGCCUUUGAAACUGAUGAGAGGCCAAGGGUUUGGUGAAUAUAUCGGCCAACUGAUCGGAGCUUCUUGUAUAAUGCGUCUGAAUUACCUGCAACUGUACUUGUUCACGUACAUAGUGACAGUCUACUUCAAUGUGUUUUGUCCUCUCGUGGAACACUGGGUUUGAUGCUAUGUGCAUGGCUGCUUGGUUGUCACAAAAUAAGUUCAUAGGUUGAGUCGUAAACACACCUAAGUCGCACAUAAGUCCCUUUAGCCAUAUCAGCUCACACGCGAUUGAUGCCAUUGCACGAUAUUCAGCUUCGGCACUUGAUCUUGCGAUGACAGUUUGUUUUUUGCUCUUCCACGUGACCAAGUUUCCACCUACAAAGGUACAGUAACCAGUUGUGGACUUGCGAUCGAUUGCAUUUCCUGCCCAAUCCGCAUCGCAGUACCCCAUGAUUUGGGUGUUUUCAUUCUUCUUCAUGAUGAUGCCACGACCCACGGACCCUUUUAAGUAACGUAAGAUCCUUUUGACAAGGUUCAAAUGAUCAAUUGUGGGAGCGUGCAUGAAUUGACUGACGAUACUCACUGAAUAUGUGAUGUCAGGCCUGGUGAUUGUUAGAUAGAUUAACUUACCAACCAGUCUCUGAUAGUGGCUGAUAUCUGAGAGUCGCGUGCCCCCCAAGUCAAGUUUGAGCUUGCUAUCGAGAGGAGUAUUUGCAGGCUUAGCAUCACUCAUUUUAGCGUCCUUGAGUAGGUCCAGGAUGUAUUUGCGUUGAUUAAGAAAUAAUCCCUUGUGAGAAGUUGCCAUCUCUAUUCCAAGAAAGUACUUCAACACCCCAAGAUCUUUAAUUGCAAAUCUUUGUUGAAGUGACUGUUUGAGUUUGGAAAUCUCUUCAGCAUUAUCACCUGUAAUUAUUAAGUCAACCACAUAUAUCAACACAACCAAUUUGCCCACAGCUCCAGUGCGAACAAACAAUGAUGAAUCUGCAUUGCUUCUUGUGAAACCAACGCUAUUAAGCACUGAACUUAGUUUGGCAUACCAAGCUCGUGGAGAUUGCUUCAGUCCAUAAAUCGAUUUGUGCAAUUUACACACUAAAUCAGGCUCAUGGCUUUGAGGAUGCCCUGGUGGCAAAUUUCAUAUAGACCUCUUCUUCAAGAUCACCAUGUAGAAAGGCGUUCUUCACAUCCAUUUGGUACAUGGACCAACCCUUAUUAACAGCAACGGACAAUAGAACCCUAAUUGAGUUCAUUUUUGCAACAGGUGCAAAAGUUUCUUUGUAAUCCACCUCAAAUGUUUGUGUGAAUCCCCGAGCCACCAGCCUUGCUUUAUGCCUCUCAAUUGAACCAUCUGAAUUAAACUUGAUCUUAUAGAUCCAUUUGCAACCCACUGCCUUUUUUCCUUUUGGAAGUUUGGUGAUGCUCCAGGUUUUGUGUAGGUCUAGUGCUUUGAGUUCUUCUCUCAUUGCUUCUUUCCACACAUCUUGGUUGUUAGCCUCAUGAAAGUUUUGAGGCUCAUUGUGACUUGAGAUGGUGCUAAGAAAUGCAGCAUGAGAUGAAGUCAACUUUUGAUACGACACAUAAUUGGAGAUUGGAUGCUUGGGAUUGUAUGUGACAAAAUCUUGAAACCUUGUAGGAGGUUGUCUAUUACGCAUAGGAUUGCGUCGUGGUGCUGGUACAGUUGUCUCGUACUCGUUCAAAUUUUCAGCCACACUUUGAAGAUUAUCUUGGUUGUCGUCAUCAUCAUCAAGCAUAGAAUCAUCAGGAUGAAUGCCUUCAUUGUUACCUUCGGUGGGUGGUGCCUGUGGUUCAUCAUUAUUGGAACCUCUUCUUGUUGAAGCAUUAUUGAGCCCGAUUCUUGGUAGAGGAAACACAUCAAAGAUACACUCCCCCUGACUUGUGGUUUCAAGGGACUUGCUGAAAAAAGGAUUAGUUUCAUGGAAUCGAACAUCUUUAGAUACAAUCAUUUUUCUCAGCUGAGGAUCAUAGCACUUAUAUCCCUUUUGUGUUGAUGAAUAACCAAGAAAAAUACAUUUGAGAGCUCUAGGAUCCAAUUUAUCUCGAUGAUGUGGUUGAACAUGAGUAAAGCAGACACAACCAAAGACUCUAAGAUGUGAAAGGUCAAUUUUCCUUCCUUUCAUGACCUCAAGAGGAGAUUUAAAAUCUAAGACUCGGCUAGGAAGUCUAUUGAUGAUGUAGACAGCAGCCAUGACUCCUUGGGACCAAAAUCUUUUUGGUACAUUCAUUUGUAACAUUAAUGCUCUGGUUUUUUCAAGGAUGUCACGAUUUUUUCUUUCGGCUACACCAUUUUGUUGAGGUGUGCCAACACAACUUGUUUGAUGCAUGAUGCCAUGAUUGCUCAAAUAUUGUGUCAUGAUAUGGGACAUGUAUUCGGUGCCAUUGUCAGAUCUUAAGGUUUGAAUUUGAGAGGAGAAAUGGUUCUUAACAAGAUUAUUAAAAUCCUUAAACACUUCCAUCACUUCACUCUUAGACUUUAAAAGAUACAACCAUGUAGUUCUAGAGAAAUCAUCAACAAAUAUUACAUAAUAUUUAUAACCGUCAAAAGAUUCACACGUUGGUCCCCAAACAUCUGAGUGAACAAGUUCAAACAACUUACUGGCCCUAGAUAAGGAUGAGUUAAAAAGGCAAUCUAGUGUCCUUAGAUAAAUGGCAGGUUUCACAUGGAAUUAAAACCUUCCCUAAGUUUGGAAACAAAGAAGACAAAAUAGGUUGAGAAGGAUGAGCUAGACGUUGAUGCCACAAUUGAUUAUUUUGGGAUGAAUUGGACUUGGCUUGAAACCCUCUGGAACUGCUCUUUGAUAUGUAAUAGAGACCAUCUAGAUAAAACCCUUCACCAAUCGUCUUCUUGGUGACACAAUCCUGAAAAAUGACAUUGUGAGAAGAAAAGAUGGCUAAACAAUUCAAGGUAUUGGUGAUUUUUCCCACAGAUAGGAGUUGGAAAGGAAAAGAAGGAACAUAUAAGGCCACUGACUCAAUUUUGUCCGACAUUAAGUUGAUUUUUCCCUUUCCUAAAACCUUGGCACUUUCACCAUUUGCAGUUGACACUUGAGAAGGUUUUGAUAAUUUUUCAAACUUAUGAAACUUAGAAACUUGGUUGGUCAUAUGAUCUGUGGCACCCGAGAAUCAACAACCCAAAAAUCAUGCAACAUAUUUACAUUAAGAGCAGUUUUGAAUGAAUUCAUGAUACCUUGCAUGUCUUCUUGAGGUAUGUGUUCAGUGUCUGCCAGGAAACCAGCAAACUUGCCUAGCAAAGCUGUUGAGUUUCCAUCUUCAAAACUGACCGUUUGAUCACUUUCAGUCCCUCCUUUCUUGCUUCGAAGAUACGCUGCAAACUCAUUUAUGAGUGCAGCCGGAUUUGCUGUGAAGCUCUUGAGUGUGUCAGACCUAUUUGAGGUUGAGGCAGAUGCAUGGUUGGCUCUGUGUGUAGCUCUGUUCAGCUUCUGAAAGCCCUUGUUGUCCUUCAUAAAAUCAGGUUUUAAUUCUGGAUGUAAAAUCCAGCAUGUCUCCUUAACAUGACCGGUAUAGUUGCAGUGUUGACACUUCAAGUGUGGAUUCUUCCCUUUGUAUUUUCUUUCGUUGGUUAGAUAGGCCCUAGCUUCAGAUACAUUGGUCUUUGUACCAAUGUUCAUGAAUUUCCUUCGCACUUCUUCACGUUGGAUUGUUGCACAUACACUGGUGAAGGAAGGCAGUUCAGUGUUCAUGAGUAUGUGGCUUCGUAGGUCUUCAUAUUCUGCAUCGAGACUUGACAAGAGUUGGAAUAUUUUGUCUUCUUCUGCCCUCUUCAGUAUCACAUACGCUUCAGUUGUAUGGGGUCGAUACGAUUCCAACUCAUUCCACAUGCUCUUCAUGCUGCCUAGAAGUUGUACAAAGGGCUUUCCUUCUUGUUGCAGGUUGGAAAUGUCCUUCUUUAAUUGAAACACACGUGCAGCAUUGUUCUGACUGCCAUACAUUUCCUUGACAGUCUCCCAUAGCUUGAAUGAUGAUUCAGAAUAACUGAAUAUUUCAGUUAGUUUACGUUCCAUGGAAUUUAGGAGCCAGGACAUAACUAGCUGAUCCUUGCAAAGCCAGGUUUCAUAAGUUGAAGAGGAAGCAUCAGGAACUUCGAUGCUUCCAUUUAUGAACCCUAACUUGGACCUUCCACCUAGGGCAAGACUUACUGCUCUUGACCAAGGCAAGUAAUUAAACUCAUUCAACAAGACUGAGCUUAAUCUUUGAUUAGGGUUGACAUCCAUCUCAGACACAUUCAAGGAGGAAAUGACCUGUGAACUUUCAGCUUCAGACCCAGAAGGAUUUUCUUCCGCCAUAUUGAAGGUUGAAUAAGAUCGGAUGAUAGUAAUGCAGAAGCAGGUUAUUUUCCCUGCUCUGAUACCAUAUUGUUUUUCAAAGAUUGUUUUGUAUUUUUUUCCUUAUGUGCAACGUAACUCUACAGCCAAAAUAUAAGGAGGCUAUCCCUCCUUCCUUAAUUUAGGAAAGCUAACAGCAGCUUUAAGAAAGCUGACAGCAGCUUUAGGAAAGCUGACAGGCAGCUUUAGGAAAGCUAACAGAAGCUCACUAUACAAGAAGUGCUAAACACAAGAAACAGCUGCUUUAGGAAAGCUUACAGGCAGCUUUAGGAAAGCUAACAGAAGCUCACUAUACAAGAAGUGCUAAACACAAGAAAAAUAAAAGACAGCCUUGUCCAAGACUUCCAAUAUGUGGAGACUUAGAGGUUCUCAACUUUAGGAACUUGGAGAAUCCUUUCAACCAUCCUCACCCAAGAAAUCCAUGGAGCUAAGAAGUAAGGAAUGAAGGCCCUCUCCUUGGGUGAUUAGCCUUUGCUUAUGCAAAGAGGAAUCAACAAAGGUAUAAGAUUUCUCAACUCACUUUGUUCUUGAGUUGAGUCUUGGUUCACCCUUCUACUAGGCUUUGAAUUUUAUGGGUAAUGUUUUGUUUUUUAGUGCAUACAAGCAUGAUUCCGCCUUUAAUUGUUAAUUGCAUGCCAUAGAUGUUGCUCAAAUGAACAUGUUUUUCACAAAAUUUCCUUCACUCUUUGCUAGGUCAAUUCAAGCUCCAACCUAAUCUUGAUUGUAGUCUGAAAGAUUUUAGUUAGUUAUCUCAAUCAUAAAAUGAUAAACUGAGGAAACAGAUUUUUCACUAACAAAAAUGGGGACAUAACAAAUCUGAUCGUAACUAUAUCGCAGUCUCUUUCAAACCACACUAAUUGGCCAUUUAUAGUCUAUUUGGACGAGUGAUUUCCAAGUAAUAUGUAAGCUACAUUACUAAGAAAUGCUUCAUAAUACAUUAGAUAAAGACAUAUAAAUUAGUCAAUGCAAAGAAUUGAGAGAAAUUUGUAAAUGACUAUGUGAAAUGAGUCAUUUGCCCCUCGUUCUUUUUUGUUUUUAAUUUUUAUAGAAAGAGUCAUUUGAAUUCCUUUGUUUAUUGGCUUUGUGAUGUUCACUAAUACAUUUUCGAUCUCUAUCUAAUAUCCUGUAAUGCAUAUUUCUUACUAAUUUUAACCUAAACCUUCUUGUACUAAAAAAUCCCUUGUCCAGACACUCUCCUCAAAGAAAAGAAAGAAAGGAUAUUGCACAUCCACAAACUUUUUUUUAGGUGAGACUCAGAGAGCAUGAACUCAAUGGGUCACCAAAUUCACUAUCCAAGGUCGGGCAAAGUGUUAAGUCCAAGUUUAAGACCCUCCCAAAUAAAAGGGUCAGGCUAAAACAAAGCCCAUUGGGGUCCCGGCCAGGCUGCGAACCAUAUGAUGCCCAUGAACAACCAAUGCACGGAAUUAGAUUUUUUUUUUCUUCAGCUGUAAAUGGAUCUAAUGAUUGAGUGUUACAAAUUCACUUAUAUUAAAAUACGAGUUUGUGAUAACAGUAUGAAUGUGUUCACAUCUAACCAAAGUAUAGAUGAACCCAAAAUCAACAUUAAACAGAUGAGUAGAAAAAUAUGAAUAAUGCUUGUGUUCAGCCAUGUCAGUUCAAGUUUUUCCAUCUAUGAUUAAUGCAUCUUUACCAUACAAAUAUCAUAAUCUGAAUCGUUCAUUCUUUUUAUCAUCGUCUAAAGAGCAUAUCUGCAAAAAAUCCUCAUAAUGAACCGUUCAUUUUCUUGAUGCAUAUGAAGAACUAAAAGAUCUCCAAAUUGAAUGAGUUUUUCUAUAUAUGAUCUUUAUAUGAUGAAAAGAGAAUGAAAGGUUCGAAUUGUGAUGUUUGUAUGGUAGAAGUACAUUAAUCAUAGGUGGAUGAAGAAAGUUGAGGUUCCACUAUAAAACAAAUUGGCAAUAUGGAGAGUAGCCCAGCCUUUUAUAAGCCCAUGCAAGGUCACUCCUCCCAUCAAUGUAUGACUCAUUUUCAACAUGCCCCCUCACGUGUGGCGAAUUUUCGAGUCUAACAUGUGGACAACAUAACGGGGUGACGUGAAACACAUGUGGCCGUUUAGCUUCACACGUGGGACAACCUGCUCCAAUACCAUGAAGAAAGUUGAGGUUCCCCUAUAAAACCAAUUGGCAAUAUGGGGAGUAGCACAACCUCUUAUAAGCCCAUGCAAGGUCCAUUCUCCUAUCAAUUUAGGACUCAUUUUCAACAGAAGACAAGACACAAGCAUUAUCCGAAAAUAUAUUGGUGUACGUGAGUCCAAAUUAGAAUAAGAUUGUAGUUAUAUCUUUAUAUUUUAUUUCAUUGGUAUGAUUUUAUUUCCUAGUCUAAAAGAUACAUUUGUGUACGUGAGUCCAAUUUUUUUUUUUUAGUACGUCGAUAUAUUUUUACACUAAAGGGAGGGGAAUUCAAUUAAGCCACACAAUGGGCAACCUAAUUUGGUAUCGAAUUUGCUAUCUACGAGAUUCAAACUUAAUACCUCUCACUCCCAAGUGAAAAAAAAUAUCACUAGACCAUAAUAUUGAGUGGCUACGUGAGUCCAAAUUAGAAUAGGAAUGUAAUAUAUUUUUUAUAUUUUAUUUCCUUGUAGGAUUUUGCUUCCUAGUCUAAAAGAUAUAUUGGUGUACGCGAGUCCGAAUUAGAAUAAGAAUGUAAUUACAUCUUUAUAUUUUAUUUCCUUGUAGGUUUUUGUUGUUGGAGAAUUAGUUAUUAGUUUAUUUUUGUUUAUGGUUUUCUUGUGGGACAAGGAUGUUAGAAUUUUCUAUAUCCUUUAAGGAUUAGGAUUGUGCUUUAGUUUUCACUAUAUAAAAUAGUGCUUGUAUUAGUUAGUUUUAACAAGUCAGUCACGAUGUAGUCUCUUGGGAUUAUGUAGCCGUUUUGACAUUCAGUUUGUUUAAUAAUAUUCUUAUUAUUUUGUAAUCUUGUUCGUUGCGCACUCUGAUAUUCAACUUGGUAUCAAAGCAGGUUUGAUCAUUCGAGAUUUAAUCUGCUUGUUUGAUAUCCGUUUCUCUAUUGCCUCCAUUAUCUGUUAGGGUUCUAGUUAGGUUCGUCAAGAUUGAUUGUUAUUGGUUUCUUUUUGGGUCUGGAUUAGUUGAGUUUUGUGAAAGUUGUCCGCUUUUGUUUUGGUCAAUCUGUAUUCGUUUUCUAUGUCGUGUUUGUCAGAUCGCAGAGUAAUGUUUCUGCAAAAAUAAGAAAAUAGAAGAGAAUGGAAGAAGAAAACAGGAAGAAGGAUACAGGAAAAUGGAAAAGAAAAAGACGUGCUGUUUAAAGGGGGAGGAAAAAAAAAAGGAAGAAACAAGAAAAAGGAAAAAAAAAAGGUUAUUGUUUGAGGCUUAGGCCCACACGGGCAAGAAAGAAAUAUGAUUUGUUUGGUUUGUCUGUCGUUCUCACUGCAACGAUCGCUCGAGUGCUUGGACUGAUGAUCAUUCAAGUGACAUUACGAAAGUUGGAUUUUUUGUUUUUUGUUCAAGUUUGUUCGGAAGUUGGAAUUUGCAUCGGCAUUGGCAUUAGUAUCGGCAUUAGCACUGGAAUUUGGAUUCUUGCAUCCGCAUCUACUUGUUGGCAAACUCAUGACGUGUAUCGCCAUGAGUUUGACUGGAGCUGUUGGAAAAUUAGUUAUUAGUUUAUUUUUGUUUAUGGUUUUCUUGUGGGACAAGGAUGUUAGAAUUUUCUAUAUCCUUUAGGGUGCGUUUGGUACGUGAGAUGGGACGGAACAGAGUGGGACGGAACCGUUCCGUCCCACGUUUGGUGCGCUAAAAUUAUGUGGAACGCGCGUCCCACGGAACAAAAAUGGGUUAGAUUUUGGUUCCCCUCCCCCCCUGGAACGGGUUUUUCCAUCCCGUGGGACACAAACUUUAUAACUUUUUGGACAACAAUACCCCUCUUAUUUUUCAUUAAUUACAUUGUCUACCUCCCUUUCUCUCCCGUAACCUCCUCUCUUCUACCCUUGUCUCUCCCGUAGCCCUCCUCUUCCUCCACCACAAACCCAAUAACCCAACUGCUAACCCAAUCCCAGCAAACCCAUCCGACGACGACGACGUCACCAUAGCAAACCCUCUUCUUCUCCGGCACCGUCUAGCGUCACGAACAUGACCCGUAUCUCGUAAUCUUCGUCCGUGUAAGUGAGGUGGAUCUGAUCCGGAACACGACCCGAUUCGAAGCUAAGCUCGUCAUUCCUAAUCUGAGGUGGCGAGCAGGUGGGCGGUGCCGGGGAGGGGGUUGUGGUCCUGGUCGAGGUGGUUGGCGAGCAGGUGGGCGGUGCCGAGGAUUAGGACGAAGUCGCCCGAUUUGGAGAGGGAGGUUGGGGAGAGAGAGAGUGAAACAGUUUGGUGGGUCGGAGGGAAGAAGGUGGAUGCUGCACGGAGGACGAUUGAAAUCAAUUUUGGGAUUUUUCUGUGUUUGAUUUGAAGAGAAAAAAAUUGUUUGGGGGUCUGAUUCUUCAUUUUUUUUUCGUUCCGUCCUAUGCAUACCAAACAUAACACGAACCUCCAUUCCGUUCCGUUCCGUCCCGUCCCGUCCCGUCCCGUCCCGUCCCGUCCCGUCCCGUCCCGUUCCGUUCCGUCCCGUCUGCGUACCAAACGCACCCUUAAGGAUUAGGAUUGUGCUUUAGUUUUCACUAUAUAUAAUAGUGCUUGUAUUAGUUAGUUUUAACAAGUCAGUCACGAUGUAGUCUCUUGGGAUUAUAUAGCCAUUUCAGCAUUCAGUUUGUUUAAUAAUAUUCUUAUUAUUUUGUAAUCUUGUUCAUUGCAUUCAGUUUUUUAUUUCCUUGUAGGUUUUUGUUUCCUAUUCUAAAUAGAUUAGGAAUUACUGUUUUCCUUGCCCUACAAGGAAUGAUUGUAUCCUUAUAAAUAUGUGCCCUCCACAAGGAGAUCAAAGAGCAUAACUGAAAACAUUCCUAUAAGCUCGACAUGGGCCGCAACGCCAAACGGGUUGAUACCGCCUUUAAUUUAUACGCGAAUGCGUCUUCUGGUUUGAUCGAGCCAGAGGGGAUCGAACGUCUUUGUUCAGAUAUCGAAGUUGAUCACACAGACGUAAGGAUGUUGAUGCUUGCAUGGAAGAUGAAAGCCGAAAAACAGGGAUACUUUACCCUAGAAGAAUGGCAAGAAGGAUUUAAAACCCUAAAGAUAAACAAAGUAAAUAAAUUAAACAAUGCACUUGCAGAGCUGGAGAAAACGGUCAAGGGGGAGCCAUCAGACUUCAUGGAUUUCUUUUCCUAUGCAUUCAGAUAUUGCUUGACGGAGGAGAAACAGAAGGGCAUAGAUCUAGACAUGAUGUGCGAGUUGUUAAAUAUUGUUUUGGGAUGCCAAUAUCCAGCGCAGGUUGAGUUAUUUACUCAGUAUCUGAAGAUUCAGAGUGAUUACAAAGUCAUAAGCAUGGAUCAGUGGAUGGGUUUUUACCGGUUUUGCGAUUCGAUAAGUUUUCCAGAUCUCAGCAACUACGAUCCUGAACUUGCAUGGCCUUCGAUCCUUGACGAUUUUGUUGAAUGGAUACGAGAAAAGCAGACCUAGAGCUAACCGAUCGUUUUCGGAUAUGGCCAGGCCACUACCAUGGCCGAUAGUUUUGCAGACAAAAACAAUCAAAUGGCCUUGGGAAUUUAUCUUUCUUCCUUUUCUUUUCUUGCAAAUAUGAAAAGCUUCCUCAAAGUGCUCACUUUUGGAGUUGUAUGUUUGUGAUAUGAAUUUGGUACAGAAAGUUUUGUUGAAUGUUAUUGCAGCUUCCAUAGUUUAUCCAAAUUUUUUAUUGAAUUUGGUUCAAACGAAGAAAAACUGAAAGAAAAAAAAAAUCAACUUCGAAAAUUCCUAAACCGAAUUAAAUUGCCUAUUUAUAGUUUGGUUAUAUAUCAAAAUCAAUCGUCUAACACUAAUAACCAAAAUCCCUCAAAAUACGUUUAGAUAGAAGAGGGAAAUAAACUUGAAAUUUGGAUAAAAGUUGGAAUUUAUAAACUGACAUAUAUCAAUUCCCUUGUUUGAAUUUAUAAACAAAAUUUAGAAUUUCCACGUGAAAAAAAAAAACUUAGAAUUUGAACCUCCAAUUUCUAAGUUUAAAUUCCAUAUAAAUAAGUGUCAUUUCCCAAUUUCUAUGAUUGAAAGUUUAAAAAUAACACAUUCCGUAUUUAAUUCCAUUGUGUAAGACUAUUCGACUUUGAUGUCAUCUCUCUCUAAGAGAGGUGUAUUCAAUUGGUUCAGUGAGAGAUUUUAAUUGUUUUUACAAAUCCUAUUUAAUCAGGAUUUUAAGUCAUUCUCUGAAAGUUAUAGGUGUAUUCAAUUUGGAUUUUAAAGAAGUUUAUAACAUUACUGGUGUAUAUUUAAUUAGAAAUUGAUUUUUAAAGUAUCUUAAAAAGUGGGGAAUUUGAGGGAAUUUGGGAGAUUUCGUAGUAUAUUUAAGCCUCUCAAAUCUCACCUCCCUUGAGAAUUGAGAGAAUUCACUCAAAAUUUUACAUAGGGGAUGUAGUCAAAUUAGGAUUUGAUAGCAUUUUAAUGAAUUUUAAAAUCUGGGUAUAUUUAAUUAGGAUUUUAAAAGAUUUUGAAAUUAGAGUGUAGUCAAAUUAGGAUUUUAAAGAAUACAUUGAAAUCUAGGAAUAGUCGAUUAGGAUUUUAAAUGAGUCUGCAGAUGUCUAGGUGUAGCGAAAUUACUAAGGAUUUGCUAGGAUUUUGAUGAGUGAUGGAUUUUAAUGGAUUUGAGGGUGUGUGGCAUAAAUACCAAAUGCUAUUAAGAAUCCAACCCUUACCCCUCAGAUUUCUUUUCACGCCAAAGGAACAGUCUUCUCCAUUUAAGAGGACCUGCUGUGAACUCAGCCGUUUUGGACUUCCAUGGCUGAUCGUGAAAUCUUUGCAGGCAUGAGAAGAUGUCUCAACACCACCAACAUAUUUUUUCUUUCUUCACCGAUUACCCAAACAUCUCACGUAAAUUCCCUUGCUGAUGCUUCCUUUCCCUUUAACUACUUUCUAUCUCUGUUGUACUUUUAUUUGCAGAAGACACCUUCUUCAAUUUUGCUUUGGUGCCUUUGAAAUGUCACCAUUCAUUAUUAAAACCAAUCAAAGUUACUCUUGAAACACAUAUUCUUUGGCUUGGGUUGGAUCAAUUCCUCCAACCCGUAUACAUUCUAAAGUUAUUAAUUUGUGCUAUUACUACGGUAUGAAAAUAUGCAAUUAAUUAGUCCUUGGACUGUGGACUGUUAUUUCAGACUAUGUAGUAGAAUUCACAUAACAAUUAGGGUUUCAAUUGCCAGUGAAUUAGAAAAGGUUAAUCUCAGCCACAUGAUUUCAUUAAAAAUUAUCCCACGGCUUUGCGUGUGAUUUCUAUUUUUUUUUAAAUCAUAAGAAAUCUAAGAAAGAAUUCAUACAAAUCCAUAGAAAUCUAUAAUAGAAAUCACACAUAAAUAUCCAUAUGGAAUUCUAGAGUCUACUAAAAUCCUUUAAAAGCUGUCAUCUAAAAAAAAUCCAUUAAAAUGCUCUGAAAUCCAAAUUGACUACACCCCCCUUAAGAAUAUUUAGAAAUCAAUUAAACUUUAUCAAAAUCCAUGAAUUUAUAAAUCAACUAAAAUUUCUCAAAAUCUCAAUUGAAUACACCUCGUAAAUGUACCUCCAUUAUAAUCUUACAAUUUAGGUGAUGAGAUUACUUUAAUACUUUAAAUGAACUUAUUCAUUUGUUUGCUCUACUAAUUUGAGACCUAAAUCAAAACAAUUUUGAAUCGUUAUGUUACGGUGAUUCAUUAUGUAAUAAAAGGAUUCGAGACCUAAACCAAAUUAAAUAGAGAACUCAUAGUGGAAAGCAAUUUAUAUUAAACGAGUUCAUUAUUAGUACUAUAAAGAAAACUUUUUACACUAAAAUACAUUCUAAGAAGGAAACGCCACAUUAUAAUUAAAGGAAAACUAAUGAAAAGGACUUGAAAACUUUGAGUUUGAAUGAUAAGGACAAAAUAAAGGGUAAAGUGAAUAGUAUCAGGAUUGACUUUUUAGUGUAAAAAUAUGGUUUUUCGUUAAAGUGAACAGUACCGGAUGCUUUUCGUUAAAGUUCCCUGUAAUUAAACCCGUCAUCAUGUAAGAUCGUUGUACUAGGAAGUGAGCGUGGAGAACACGUGUUUAGGGAAUGUGAAAGGAACGUUGACAGUUAGUUGUGCCACCCAACCAAACAGCCAACGACAACGAAGAACAACGCCCAUCUCCUACCUUCCUUCCCUUCCCCUUGUACCAAAAAACCAAAAAUACAGCUCUCUGAGCCGUCUUUGGUUUGAUCGCUCUGGUCAGUCAGUCUCUUAACCGUCGCCACCGUCACCAUGUGGCGCUCUCUCUGGCGCUCCAUCGACCGCUUCUCGCUCCACUACUUCAAGUAAGUUCCCUCGUUUUCCUCUCUCCAAAUUUUGAACUUCUACAUUCACUCCCAAUUUCAUAGAUUAGGGUUUUUCAUAAAUUGGGGGUUUACAACUUGUUAGACUAGUCCGUCAUGUAUUAUAAACAAUUGUUAGUAAAUUUGAGUAAGAGCAAUCAAAAUAGUCGAAUUUGGGCUCUUUCAGUUGAACUAAAUUGAGAGCUAUGGUAUAUGGAAAAUAAAUCUUGGAUGUUAGUAAUUUGAUGUAUAUUUGAAGGUAUAUAGAGUGGUGGGUGAAUUUUAAUUUAGAUACUUGUCCUCUAACCAGAUUCAGAACUCGAUUUUUGGAAGUGUGGAGGUAAUGCCUACAUUGUAUCCUAUGAUAGAUUGAGGGCAUAGAGGGUGAAUUUUAGUUACUCGUUCGGUGACCAAUUUAAAAACCCGAUUUCUGGAAAUGUAGAGGUAAGGGGUAACAAUUUCUACUGUGUAUCUACGAUUUAGUAGUAAAGUGAAGUUUUGCCCAAAGAGUGUAUCUCAUUGUUUCAUUUUUAUUGUAUGUUUGAAGAAAAUGUGGAACAAUUGAUUUAUAGGUAUCCUCAUCAUAUAAUCAUCAUCAAGUAUUUAUACUAAUACUUCUUUUUUCUUUUUAUGGAUACAGGUACGUAAUCAAUGAACUGCGGGAGAUCAAAGUUGUGGAUGGGCAUAAUAGGGUAACUUUCGUUUGACUCUUCUAUAAGUUCAUUUAAUUUAAUUUAAAGCAUCAACCUUUUUCUUCCCUUUAACUCAUACAUCUCUCUUUUUCCUUUUCCAACUCUCGAACAGGAAUUAGUCAUAGAUUUACUACAGUCCAUUGUGGAGCUGGUUACUUAUGGAGAUAGACAAGAUCCAUUAAUUUUUGAGUAUGAACUGUUGUUCAUGGUAAAGCUUCUAUAUGGGCACGUUUUUUUUUCCUGUUCAUAUUCUAAUUGUUAUUUAUAACUUAUAUGCAGAUAUUUUAUGGAAUACCAAGUUUUAGCAGAAUUUGUGCGUGUGCUAAAGAUCAGUAGAAAUUCAAGAAUUGAGGCACCGUUGCUUCAGUAUCUGAGUAUAAUGAUUCAAAACAUGAAUAGUGAUCAUUCAAUUUGUAAGAUUCUAAAUGCAAAUCAAUAUUUACAUUUACUCCUUCAAUUUUUAGGUUACCGAAGAUUUGGUAGCUGCAACCAUGAUGGAAAAUCAGUUCUAAUAUGCCUUCUCCUGUUUUUCUAUUUUUUGUCUUUCACCAAUUGUGUCAUUGGUUAAGCUUAUUGCUUAUACUUAUUAGUGAUCUAUGGUUUUUCUGUUGCAGAUUAUUGUUUUAGCAACGACUACCUCAACAAUAUUAUAGGGCAUAAGUUCGAAUUUGGAGGAGAUCUAGCAUUAUAUUACGUUUCCUUUUUGAGGUCUCUCUCUCUCUCUCUCUCUCUCUAUGUAUUUAACUCUUAUUUGCUAAAACAGUUGCGAUGCAGUAUAAGCUUGAUUUUGUCAUUACUUGUGAAGUUUAUUAUUCUUGUCUAACUCCUUUGUUUCUAUCUCCUCAGAGCAGUUGGCAAUAAGUUAAACAAAGAUACACUUUGCCUUCUUCUGAAGGUUCAUGGGGUAAGUUAGAGUUUAUUGUGUAAAUUUUUGGUACCAUUUGUGAUUUACUUAUUAGAUGCAGUUCUGUUUGCAAUGGCAGUCGAAAUCGUAUUUGUAUCCUGCAUACCAUUGGUAAUGGAUGUGAAAACAUUGUUUAUAGUACACUUUCAGUGGGAUCCUACUAUAUUUAAGAACCAAUAGCUAUAAAUGUUUGGUUUUCGGCCUCAAGGUUGAGCCUGUUAGACUACAGCAUGUAGGUCGCUUCAUGUGUCCCAUGUUCUCAUUUUUUGUUCUCAUUUUUUGUUCUCAAGUGGUUUCAGGCAGGGCCAUCAAGGAUUGGUCCAGUCCUUUUUCUCAGUUCUCAUUGUCAUGUGUGGACUCUGGAGAACUGUAAUGCAUUUCCUCUUUUUGGAGUCUUAUCUGUUAUUUUCAUCAUCAUCUAGGCUCAAGUGAUCUGUUUUCAUUUGUUUAAUUUUGAUUUUAAUUUUUAUAAUUUAUGUUGUUUUUGUAAACUCCGCCUAUGUCUUACAUGGCCGGUCCCAAGCCCGGAUAAAGGAGGAGGGGGAGGGCGUCAGGUAGUCGACAGCCGGCACUCCAUGAUCACGUCGAAUCCUUAUGAAAAUGAAUCCAGAACAAAAUCGCGCUAAAGCUAGGGCGUCACCCGUAAGUGGCGCGCUGUGUGGCCCGAGCACAGUGAUAAGUGAGCAAGGGUCGCUGUAUCUCCAUCGGCACCCGGAUGCAGUGUUAAAUGAGCAAGGGGGCCAUAGAAACUUCUUUUCGAACGACUCCACUCAAAGUUGUUUUGGGAGCAUAUGCUCCUAUCAACUUUACACACAAAGAAGUACUUUGAUCCUAUUAGACGGGGGAGGGUGAAGAAGCUAGGACAGAAGGGUAGAGUUCAAGAGAGCAAAAUGCGUUUAGGAACGUGGAAUAUAGGAACCUUAACGGGAAAAUCUAUGGAAGUAGUGGAAGUUAUGGUGAGGAGAAGGAUAAAUAUUAUGUGCCUACAAGAAACUAAGUGGGUUGGUAGUAAGGCAAAGGAUCUAGAAAACUCAGGGUUUUAAACUUUGGUAUUCGGGCACAAAUAGAACGAGAAACGGUGUUGGCAUCAUCGUAGACAAGACCUUGGUACAAGAUGUUGUAGAUGUCAAGAGGGUAGGAGAUAGAAUCAUGGCAAUCAAGAUUGUAUAAGGACAAGAACUUAUCAAUGUGAUUAGUGCGUACGCACCUCAAGUAGGGUUGGAUACGAGUUCGAAGGAGAAAUUUUGGGGAGAUCUUGGAGACUUGGUGCAAGGAAUUGCUCAGACGGAGAAGUUAUUUAUAGGAGGAGAUUAAAAUGGACACGUGGGCAGGAGACAGGCAACUAUGGAGGUUUUCAUGGUGGCCAUGGUUUUGGGGAGAGAAACGAGGAUGGGGAAGCUAUCUUGGAUUUUGCAAUGGCAUAUGAUGAUCUCUUCUUAGCCAACACCUUCUUUAAGAAGAGAGAAGAACAUGUGAUCACCUACAAGAGUGGGUCGUCAAAAACACAAAUAGAUUUUCUUCUAAUGAGGAAAGGGGAUCGUAUAACUUGUAAGGAUUGCAAAGUUAUACCAGGAGAGAGCGUGGCUAAUCAACAUCGCUUGUUGGUGAUGGAUGUACAUAUCAAAAGAGUAAGACAAAAGAACAAGACUUGGAAGUGCCCAAGGACUAGAUGGUGGAAUCUAAAAGAAGAAAAAACAAGCCAUUUUCAAAGAGAAGGUAAUCACCCAAUGUGUGUGGGAUAGAGAGGGGGAAGCUAGCCAAAUGUGGGAUUCCUAUGGCUGUUGUAUCCGAAAAGUAGCAAAAGAGGUAUUAGGAGAGUCCAAGGGCUUUGCCCCACACCAAAAGGAAUCUUGGUGGUGGAAUGAGGAGGUACAAACAAAGGUGAAGGCUAAGAAGGAAUGUUGUAAAGCCUUAUACAAGGAGAGGACCGAUGAAAAUGGUGAAAGGUAUAGAAAAGCGAAGCAAGAGGCGAAGAAAGCUGUGAGAGAAGCUAAGUUAGCGGCUUACGACGAUAUGUAUAAACGACUAGAUACCAAAGAAGGAGAGUUGGAUAUCUAUAAACUAUCUAGAGCAAGGGAAAAGAAGACAAGGGACCUAAACCAAGUGAGGUGCAUCAAGGAUGAGGAUGGAAAGGUUCUUGCUACAGAGAACGCGGUUAAAGACAGAUGGAGAGGUUAUUUUUCAUAAUCUUUUCAAUGAAGGACAUGAAAUGAGUGCUUCUUUAGGGGAGUUGAGUAACUCAGAAGAGUGUAGAAACUACUCUUUUUAUCGUCGAAUCCGGAAGGAAGAAGUGGUUGUAGCUUUGAAGAAGAUGAAGCAUAAAAAAGCAAUAGGCCCAGACGAUAUACCAAUCGAAGUGUGGAAACUUUUGGGAGAGACAGGUAUAACAUGGCUCACUGACCUUUUCAAUAGGAUUUUGAAAACGAAGAAGAUGCCAAAUGAGUGGCGAACGAGCACUUUGGUGCCUAUCUACAAGAAUAAGGGCGACGUACAAAAUUGCAUGAACUAUAGGGGUAUUAAGCUAAUGAGUCAUACAAUGAAGCUCUGGGAGAGAGUCAUUGAGCAUAGAUUGAGGCAAGAGACACGGGUUUUCGGACAACCAAUUCGGGUUCAUGCCAGGGCGCUCAACCAUGGAGGCAAUCUAUCUCUUACGAAGAUUGAUGGAAAGAUAUAGAGAUGGGAAAAAGGAUUUACACAUGGUCUUUAUAGAUUUGGAAAAAGCGUAUGAUAGGGUCCCAAGAGACAUUCUUUGGAGGAUUUUAGAGAAGAAAGGAGUACGAGUAGCAUAUAUCCAAGCUAUAAAGGAUAUGUAUGAAGGAGCAAAGACUGCCGUAAGAACUCAUGAAGGACAAACCGAAAGCUUUCCCAUAACUGUAGGAUUACAUCAAGGCUCAUCCUUAAGUCCUUACCUUUUUGCGUUGGUAAUGGAUGAGUUAACAGGACAUAUUCAAGAUGAUAUUCCUUGGUGUAUGCUUUUCGCAGACGAUAUAGUGUUGAUAGAUGAAACUCAGGAAGGGGUAAAUGCAAAGCUUAACCUUUGGAGAGAAGUGUUGGAAUCUAAAGGUCUUCGCCUAAGCCGAUCAAAGACAGACUAUAUGGAGUGCAAGUUCAGUGCAAAUGGAGGCCAAAACGAGUUAGGGGUGAAGAUCGGAGAUCAAGAAAUACCAAAGAGCGACCGUUUUCGUUACCUAGGAUCUAUCUUGCAAAAGAACGGAGAAUUAGAUGGAGAUCUCAACUAUAGAAUACAAGCUGGAUGGAUGAAGUGGAAGAGUGCAUCCGGUGUGUUAUGUGACCGCCGUAUGCCACUGAAGCUCAAGGGAAAAUUUUAUAGGACGGCAAUAAGGCCGGCGAUGCUCUAUGGCACAGAAUGUUGGGCGGUGAAACAUCAACACGUACAUAAAAUGGGUGUAGCGGAGAUGAGGAUGCUUCGUUGGAUGUAUGGGCACACGAGAAAGGAUAAGAUUAGGAAUGAGGAUAUCCGGGGUAAAGUAGAAGUAGCCGAAAUUGAAGGAAAGAUGAGAGAAAAUCGGUUACGGUGGUUUGGACAUGUGCAAAGAAGGCCUACUGACGCUCCGAUUAGAAGAUGCGACUAUGGGACAGAGGUUCAGGGCCGAAGGGGUAGAGGAAGACCUAGGAAAACUUUGGAAGAGACUCUAAGAAAAGACUUAGAGUACUUGGAUCUAACGAAGGACAUGACACAGGAUCGAGCACAAUGGCGUUCUAAGAUUCAUAUAUAGCCGAUCCCACUCAGUGACUUGGAUUUUCCAAGUCUCCAACCGAGAAGUUUUCCUCACUCGGAAAAUUAAGGGAACACUACCCAACCUACAUGCUCCACUCAGAAAGCUUCAACAUACAAGCUUCAACAAAAGAAAAUUCAAAGAACUUAGCGAAGAAGGCUUUGGUGUAUCUAACACAAUACGUUGAAAUGAAGGAAAGCUUAUUUAUUGAUAUCCCCGAUAAACUACAAAUAUGUACAUAUACAUGAGUCAAAAUAAACACACAAGAGGGAGCCUUCACAAAGGUUGCUUAGGAGAAGUCUCAGCAGUCGGUAGAGCCCCAGAAAGAGAAGGCACCGGAGGGGGAUCAUUUGGAGCCUCAGUACUGGACAGAACCCUAGAAGGAGGAGGCAUCAGAGGUUGAUCAUUUGGAGCUUCAUUACGCGGUACAGCCCCAGAAGACGAAGGCAAUAAAUGCCUUUGGAACAAACCCACAAAUCUCUGAUGAUCAAGUAAAACCUGACCAUCAGUUUCCUUCAUCUGGUCAAGCUUCCUCUUCAUGUUUGUAGCAUAGUCAUGUGCGAGCCGGUGCAACUGUUUAUUCUCAUGCUUGAGCCCUCUAAUCUCCUGUUUGAGACUCAUCACUUCAGCCGCCAAUGAUUCAACUUGGCGGGUUCGAGCAAAUAGGCGUUGGGCCAUAUUAGACACAGAACCUGCACACUGAACACUGAGAGCCAGCGAAUCCUUAACAGCUAACUCAUCAGACCGUUUGGAAAGUAGUCUGUUAUCUUUGGGAGUGAGAAGGUUCCUGGCCACCACCGCAGCAGUCAUAUCAUUCUUCAUCACGGAAUCCCCAACGGUAAGAGGACCAGUAGGGGAGACGAAGGAUGGGCGCCAUAUGUUGUCUGGAGAAGGCGGGGCUGCCUCUUCAACAAGGUUCAAGUCAAAACGACGGUCGGAGGGGCCAGACAUUUUCAAAGGUGUUGAAGAGAGAAGAGGUCGACAAAUCAAGAUCUUAGAAGUGCAAGAAUGAAGCUUCUACUGGUGGAGAUUCAAGUGUGCUUUGGAACUUAAUGCCAGCCCCUAUAAAAAUCUGCACUCGACGGAGCUUCAGAAAUCGAAGAGGCGCCUGCUCAGAAAUCGAAGAGGCGUUUGCUUUCUCAAAAGCUGGGCUGCUUAGAGAUCACGAGGGUUGAUCUCAGAAAUCGAAGAGGCGUUUGCUUUCUCAAAAGUUGGGCUGCUCAAAGACCUCGAAGGCUGAUCUCAGAAAUCGAAGAGGCGCUCGCUUUCUCAAAAGCUGGGCUCCUCAGAGACCACGAGGGCCGAUCUCAGAAAUCGAAGAGGCACCUACUUUUCCAGCCUUGUCAGCACCUGUCACACGCACACUCAGCUUUGCGGAAAUUAUGGGCAUUCUGUCGAAGACUUCUGGGGAAGUAGAAAACACAUGAAUCUUACUGUUCAAUCACCCACUUCCCACACGCAACAAUAGCUCAUGGGUACCACAGAAAACUUUGCCAAAGUUCUCUGCCAAAGUUGAGCACGUGAAGCUUGCAGCUCCCACUACAUCGCUCUGACCAAGAAGGGUAAAAGAAUAGCAAAGAAACAGCACUAACAAAGUUUAGACCCAUAAAUUUUGAAGGUCUAGCUACCAUAUUAUUACCCACAAGGGUAAAGGAACAGUACCACUGCUGGAUAAUUGGAAAGUCCCUGUGUGUCAACCUCUGUGCUUCGUGGCAAGGUAGACUAGCAAACAUGCCCAACCUUUACUCAUAUUCGAGAAAACACUCCCAAUAAGAUUGCUUGCUCCAAAAUCGAAGAGGCACCGUCCUCCUAAUCUCGAGAGCCAGACUCCCAACAUGACUACUUUCUUAAAAAUCGAAGAGAGGGUAAAGGAACAGUACCAUUGCUGGAUAAUUGGAAAGUCUCUGUGUGUCAACCUCUGUGCUUCGUGGCAAGGUAGACUAGCAAACAUGCCCAACCUUUACUCACAUUCGAGAAAACACUCUCAACAAGAUUGCUUGCUCCAAAAUCGAAGAGGCACCGCCCUCCGAAUCUCGAGAGCCAGACUCCCAACAUGAUUACUUUCUCAAAAAUUGAAGAGACACUGCUCCCCGAAUCUUCGAGAGCCAGACCCCCAGCAUGAUUGCUUUCUCAAAAAUCGAUGAGGCAUCGUUCUCCGAAUCAAUCGAAGAGGCGCUCGCUUUCUCAAAAGCUGGGCUGCUCAGAGACCACGAGGGCCGAUCUCAGAAAUCGAAGCGGCACCUACUUUUCUAGCCUUGUCAGCACCUGUCACACGCACACUCAGCUUUGCAGAAAUUAUGGGCAUUCUGUCGAAGACUUCUGGUGAAGUAGAAAGCACAUGAAUCUUACUGUUCAAUCACCCACUUCCCACACGCAACAAUAGCUCAUGGGUACCACAGAUAACUUUGCCAAAGUUCUCUGCCAAAGUUGAGCACGUGAAGCUUGCAGCUCCCACUACAUCGCUCUGACCAAGAAAGGUAAAAGAAUAGCAAAGAAACAACACUAACAAAGUUUAGACACAUAAAUUUUGAAGGUCUAGCUACCAUAUUAUUACCCACAAGGGUAAAGGAACAGUACCACUGCUGGAUAAUUGGAAAGUCCCUGUUUGUCAACCUCUGUGCUUCGUGGCAAGGUAGACUAGCAAACAUGCCCAACCUUUACUCACAUUCGAGAAAACACUCCCAACAAGAUUGCUUGCUCCAAAAUCGAAGAGGCACCGUUCUCCGAAUCUCGAGAGCCAGACUCCCAACAUGACUACUUUCUCAAAAUCGAAGAGAGGGUAAAGGAACAGUACCAUUGCUGGAUAAUUGGAAAGUCCCUGUGUGUCAACCUUUGUGCUUCGUGGCAAGGUAGACUAGCAAACAUGCCCAACCUUUACUCACAUUCGAGACAACACUCCCAACAAGAUUGCUUGCUCCAAAAUCGAAGAGGCACCGCCCUCCGAAUCUCGAGAGCCAGACUCCCAACAUGAUUACUUCCUCAAAAAUCGAAGAGACACUGCUCUCCGAAUCUCGAGAGCCAGACCCCCAGCAUGAUUGCUUUCUCAAAAAUCGAAGAGGCAUCGUUCUCCGAAUCUCGAGAGCCAGAUACCACAGACCACUUUUUCAAAGUGCUCUGACAGAGUUAAAACAUGUGAAACUGGCAGCUCCCACUACCGUGCUAUGACCAAGCAGGGUAAAGGAAUAGCAUUACUACUUGUUAGGGAGACUCCUAUAUAUGUCGACCUCCAUCCCCAACGGACUUAUUUUUUUACCUGCAAAAAUGCUCAACCCUUCAUCAUAUCUGAGAGGGCACUCCCAACGAAGCCUUUCGAAAUAUUCAGCUUUCUUUCCCCCCGAUAAUACCUCUGCAAACAAGCUAUACUAGAGCAAGAAUAUCUCAUAUCAUCAGGGUUAAAAGCAAGAGUAUCCCAUAUCAUGCUUUUUCCCUGUCUUUUCCUUUGGCCUUGUUUUUACCUGCAAGACAAGGAGAAAGAGAGCAAUCAGUCAGCACUUGGAAUCAAGCUUCCAGCCAGGAACUGACUGCCUGGAACCCCUUACCUGAUUACUUACCUGGCAUUGCUCUCGAGUACUCAUCUUCAACAUCUUAUGUUUCCAGGGAAGAUUCCGCAUCUGCUUGAGGAACAGAUAGGGCAAGUGCGAAGGAUACAAGGAAGCAUGUGGAGACAAGCGUAACAGCACACGUGCCGAUACAUCCAUUACUCUGUCAAAAGCAAAAGUAUCCCAUAUCAGCAGGGUGGAACGUACUCUAGAUUUGAUGGACUUGUUUUGACCCUCAAAUUCUUCAGCCGGCCUUAUACUCUGGAGGAAACCAGAAAACCCUCCAGCUCAGUUCAAGAAUAAGCCUGUGGAAAGUUACUUCUUCAAAAGCAAAAGUAUCUCAUAUCAUCUCUUCUCAUUUUUCUUCUCUUUAUCCUUCAUGCUGCUGCAAGAUGGGGAGAAGGUGAACAAUCAGUCGGAGCUAUGAUUGCUUACCUCGUCUGUCACCUCUUUCAGCAGACCCCCUAGCUCGGCGACUUGGAGGACUCCUACUACAUGGUUUGUAUCGCGCUUGACCAAGCCUGAAACUACAAGUAAGCUUCAAGUGAAAUUGAUACAUUACCUUGUGCAUCUCCACCAGUUAAAGAUACCACCCCUGGAUGGAGGAAGAGUACUUCCAGAGAAGAUGCCACAUCUACCUAUGAGACAGAUAAGGCAAGUCAAGACGACACCACACUCCGAUACUUAGAAGUUUCGUGAUUACGAGAUCAUUAUCUCACAAUAUUUCCUAAUGUCAUUUGUACUAAAUCAUUCACUUGUACUCACUAAAGGAGAGCUUGAACCUAUGUACUUGUGUAAACCCUUCACAAUUAAUGAGAACUCUUCUAUUCCGUGGACGUAGCCAAUCUAGGUGAACCACGUACAUCUUGUGUUUGCUUUCCUAUCUCUAUCCAUUUAUAUACUUAUCCACACUAAUGACCGGAGCAAUCUAGCGAAGAUCACAAAAAGCGACCGUUUUCGCUACCUAGGAUCUAUCUUGCAAGAGAACGGAGAAUUAGAUGGAGAUCUCAACCAUAGAAUACGAGCUGGAUGGAUGAAGUGUAAGAAUGCAUCCGGCGUGUUGUGAGACCGUCGUAGGCCACUGAAGCUCAAGGGAAAAUUUUAUAGGACGGCAAUAAGGCCAGCGAUGUUGUAUGGCACAGAAUGUUGGGCGGUGAAGCAUCAACACGUACACAAAAUGGGUGUAGCGGAGAUGAGGAUGCUUCGUGGGUUGUGUGGGCACACGAGAAAGGAUAAGAUUGGGAAUGAGGAUAUCCGAGGUAAAGUAGGAGUAGCCGAAAUUGUAGGAAAGAUGAGAGAAAAUCGGCUCCGGUGAUUUGGACAUGUGCAAAGAAGGCCGAAUGACGCUCCGGUUCGAAGAUGUGACUACGGGACAGAGGUUCAGGGCCGAAGGGGUAGAGGAAGACCUAGGAAAACUUUGGAAGAGACUCUAAGAAAAGACUUAGAGUACUUGGAUCUAACGGAGGACAUGACACAAAACCGAGCGCAAUGGCGUUCUAGGAUUCAUAUAGCCGACCCCACUUAGUGGGAAAGGCUUUGUUGUUGUUGUUGUUGUAUGUUGUUUUUGUAAGGGCAGAAGCAAUAAUGAGUUACAAGAAAUGACAGUCACUGUUUCAUACCUUGAUCAAUAAUUAAAGGAUGGUCACUACUUUGUUGCUGCAUUUAUUUAGUGUGCUGUUAAAUUGUUUUUGGCAUUUAGAAAGUGUGGGAACUUUACUAAGUGUGCAUGUCUGAUAUGCAUGACCCAUAAUUAAUUUUCAUUUCCAUGUCUCCCUCCCAUCACAGGAUGCUGUAGUGUCAUUUCCUCUGUAUAAUGAGGCUCUCAAAUUUGCCCACCAUGGGGAUAAGAUGAUUCAGACAGCUAUACGUGCAUUAACUCUCAGUAUCUAUAAUGGUAUACUGUUAUUAUCUUUUUUUUUCCCCUUUCCUAAUCUGCUAACAGAAGAGACUCAUGAAAUUUGGUUGCAAUUACAUUUUCCAUAAUUUUAAACAGUAUUUUUUGGUUGUGCAGUUAGUGAUGAUAUGGUUUAUCAAUAUAUAACAACUCCUCCAGUCUCGAAGUAUUUCUCAGAUUCGGUUUCAAGCUUAAGCAAGCAGUUCUUUCAUCUAGAUUCCCUUGUCCAUGAUGCAGAGUAUGUGUACUUCAAUUUGGUAAAACAAGAUUCGGGUACUUUGUAUAUGCAAAACUGAAUGGUUAAUGUUGAUGCAGGAUGCGUACAAGUCAAAAGAAAGAAGAAAUACUUUUGGAAACUGAUAAGAUAGUCGAUGAUCUGUAUUACUUGAAGGACAUGCUUGGUAUAGGCGAAUCUCGUUUGAGUAGAGUAGUAACUGAAAAUCUUCUCAGAAUAUUAAUCUUUCCCAUAUUACUCCCAUUACUGCAGAUCGGGCAGAGUAAUGUAAGAUGUUCUUCCCUCGCAUCUGCUUCAUUCACAUUCUUAUCUCCUUCGUGAGAAGGAACAAUACUUUUUGUUGGUAGAUAGUUCCUAUUGGAAAACCUAGAAUUGUGUACUUUACAUUUUGGGAAAUGAUUUCUGCACAUCCUUUUUCACCUCUUGCACACCCCUCUUUUUGAAACCACUUAAUAUAUGUUGAAAAGUAAUCACAAAAAACGCGAUCAAGCAUCGCUAACUCAAUGUUAAGCUGCAUUUGUUGUAAUGUACAUACUACAUAGUGCUAUUCGCAAUGAUAGACUUUACCUUUAUGCUGUAUUCAUUCAGCAUUUCAUUUAUGAUCCAGGGCUCAAAUCUAUCUGCAGUUACGUCUUUCUAUACUGUUUCUCGUCUUCUUCAAGUCAUUGGUGGAAAGGGUAUGUUCAACUCUGUCGCCGAAGUAAUUUUAUAUCCUGAUAUGACUUCAAGUGUGAGAGAUGCUGUUCAAAGGGACUCAACUGAGAGCAAUGGUCAUGCUGAAUCUCUAUUGAGUGAAAUGGGAAAUGUAGUAUCUUCUAGUCCUGAGACUGAAGGAGCAGAAAACACUAGCCUCCCUACUGAUACUGUCUCUAUUAAAAGGUUGUUAAAUUUCUGUUUUAGUUCUUAUAACCUCCUCUCCAGAAAAAAAAGAGAGUAAAGAAAUGAGAGAAAUGUAGUUUCCUUCUCAUUAUUUUUGGCAGGGGUACUCGAAUGAUAAGACUAAAAAACCAAUGCGUUCGCAUUUCACUAAGUUAGUUAACAGGUCAUUUGAUGAUUUCUUACAUCAAAGAAUGAUGACAAUUGAUAAUUCUUACAUACAUUUUGACUAUUAUGAAAUUUUUUCCUGGUGCAGGAGUGGAAUACUAGCACAUAUUUUCUCCGAGAAUCAUAGUCUAAUGCUAGCAUCACUAUUCUUGUUGUUUAUUUUAGCAGAAACAAAAGGUACUAAUUUAGAAUCUGGUGUUGUACAGAAGGCAUAACUUCAAUGCAUCAGUCUGAUUGCCUUUUUGGAACUGACUGAGUUCGCUCAUAUCUUGUAUUUUCAUUGAUGCAGAUCUUCAUCCUUUGCUGGCUCAAAUGAUUGGAUUAAGUGGAAUGCAUGACAUGAUUGUGAGUUAGUAACUUCAAUUUUUUCAGUGUACAUUUUCUAUAUUCUGUAAUUUGCAGCUGGUAAUAAGUGAGGACUUAGUCUGCUGACUAAUGAAAGCAAGUUACUGUAUAAUAGUUCUUUGUAUGAUGGUGAUUAAUCCUUAUGUUUAUCUGUCUCUUGAAGCUGUAUUUCUUAUUCUGCGCAUUAUGUAUUUGUUGUUGCAUUUAAAGACCAUUAUGUUGAUUUUCAUUUUUCAAGUUUUGAAACUUCUUGACAACCAUUUCUCCUGUAUAUGCAAUUUGUUUGAAUGUUCUGCAUUUACUAGUCUUGUAUGUGCAAUUUGAAGAUUCAUUUUACUUCCUUCCACUGUCUUGAAACACUCUAUUGACAAAUUUUAUUUCCCGACAGGAUGUGGAUAAAAAUAUUGGAAAUCUCCUAGGGAAGCAUAUGGAUCAGGUACAGUGAUUUUUUGUUAAUUAUUGUUUAUUUACAUAAUGUAUCUCUAUUUGUUAGUCAUUUUGGGUCAGCAGUUUAACCAUUUAAAAUUGGACCCUUGUGGCUUUCAGUGUCGUGAUGAACUGAAUUUUCAUUUUACAGAUAUUAAAUGCAUUAUUGAAGGUUUUAGCAAGUCAACCACCUUACUCUAUACUAAUCCAAUGGCAUACAGGGUGGUUCUUGCGGAAGCUUUUGAUUUGUCAUGGAAAAGGGCUUAGCGAUCAUAACUUCCAGCUAUUCAAUGUAAGGAUCUAACUGAUUUGGUAGAAGCAAUUGUAUAUAAAAUGAAGUGGAUAAUGAUUCUUGUUCACUAUAUUUUGGUUAUGUUUUUUGAUACCUUCUUAGUUUUUCAUUUUUUCUUGGUAAGACUGAAAAUGACCAGUAAUUGGAUGAAGCUCUGAGUUUGAAGUAGCUCAUACUUCGAAAUUAGAAAACUUGAGGUUUAGCUUUCUAAAUCCAGAGGAGAUAAUUAUGGAUAUUUUUUAAAAUCCUUGAGAAGGAAUAGUACCACAUCAACCUUCCUAGGGCCUAGCUUUGGAAUACCACACUGUAUGGUGGGAACCGUGGGAUUGUCUAUAGGUUUCAAAGUAAAAAGUUUGACAGAUGGUAAAUUGGGGUUACAGAUAAAUAGGUCUGUUGGUUUGAAAUUCAUAUUUGCCUGGGCGCUAUGUAGCUAAUAAACGUAAAUAGGGUUUGAAGAAUGCUGUCUGACCUUUCUGAGGUAAGAUUAAAAAGCAAGCCUGAAGUACACAUUUAUUUUUUCUUAUGAUCUAGUAGUCUAUGAUGUGAUACAGUGUAAAUCUGUCUCAUACUUUCUAAAGUUUUAUAUUUUCUAGUUUAUGUGGACAGACGUCAUAUCAGCGGUCCCGUGAAUGUCUUCAGAAAGAGCUUGAUGGAUGCUGGUUUGACCAUAUCCCAGAGGCUUUCAGGAACGAAUGGUCAAAAUGUAAAGCAGGUAGGAGGUGAUAUGGUUUCUUUUAUGGAUGGUGGUAGUUUAGUUCCAUUGUUCCCAAAAGAUUAAGCUGUUAGGAUAUAGACCAACAUUUUUCAUACUAUACCAUCUCUUCCUACUGAAAUCCACAUGGGUACCAAUAUAAUUUGUGAGCUUGUAGUUGCAAGGGUUCGCACUCAAGAUCUCGUGAUAUUAUUCCAUAAUUUUUUUUUUAUUGUUUCAACACUAUUGACAAAAGCUCAAACUAUCAAGAUGUACGCUAAAAAUCAUUUUAUACUCUUAAAAAAUCUCUCUCAUGUGUGGAGAUCAUUAUAAGUUCAGAGGUUGAAAUAGCCGGAUAUGAAUUCUGAAUUAAAAAUAUCUCUCUCAUAUCAUGUGAAGCUUCAGUUGUUAGCAUGUGUCAAUAAUUAUUUCAGAUUCUAACGUAGGGCAAAAAACGACUUGAUUUGAUAUGGAAUAUGGAACUACUUACUAAAUUCAGUUUAUCUAUUUUCGAACAUACAGCUCUCGAGGAAUCAUCCCAGUGUAAAGAUCCUCUUUUUCUCCUAGAACUUGAUGUUAGCCAACAAACUACAGAUGGUACAUAAUUUCCUCGUAUUAUUUAAAAAAUUUCUUUAUGGUUUUGUACUUUUGUUGUCGUAAAGCUUCAGAAAAGGGUUUAGAUGAUAGAGAAAUAUGAUAUUGCAGGUGAUGCAACUUCAUACUUUGCUUGGCAAAGGAUGGUUGACAAUGUGAAGGUAAUCCUCAUUAUUAGUAUCAAUUUUAACAUCUCUUGUAAUAUUGUACUAGUAAUCUCCUCCUAUUUUUUGUUGAUUUCUCGUUGAAGGUUCCCUUGGUGUAAUUUUAGGUUUUUAUUCUCCAUCUUCAACUUAAAUCAACUAUUUUCAAAGGGGAAUUGCUUGACCAACCCUUGCUGGACAGCGGUGCGUUUGCUGAUUCAAGUGAUACGCAUGCUUCAGAUGAUUCAUCUGCAAGCUUUGGAUCGGAGGUUGCUUUAGGUGGGUAUUGUUCAAUAGUUGAAUGAUCUGUGUGUAUUUUAUAUUCUCACUUCAAAUUUUUGCAGUAUCCGGAAUUCAUUGUACAAUUGCAUUUUCCAACGCUGGCAUCAGGGAUAUUUACCUGAUACCUGUGUCAAGGAAAACAUCUGGAAAAGUGAUUCUUGCAGAGAAGCAUCCUUUCCGUAGUCAACGUGGAAUUGUACUUGCUAUUGCGCCAUUGGCUGGUUUAAUUGUAAGUCCAAAAAUAGUAUAUGCUUGCUUCUUGUCCUGGCCAUGUUUGGUGUAUCAACAUCAAGUUCAACUCUGAAAUUCUUGACUUUAGCGUGAGAGGUCAAUUAAACUGAUUAGUUAUGAUUCUCACAUUGAUCAAUUGUGUCAAUUAGGCUUAUGGUUAUGGCCGGUGUUCUUGGUGGUCUUGCGCUAUGCUAGAUUAGAGUCCAAUUGUUAUAUUGAAGAGUUGUUUAUGAUACAGGCUUGAAAUAGAGUUGUGCAAAGCCUUUUCUAUUGUUUGGGAAAUGAGUUUUUUGAGUUUCAUACGAACAAAAGACAAUAUAGUAUUACAAAGAGGCUCACAGUCUGACAGUAGAUGAAUUGGCGACAAAGUAUCCUUUUAGUUUUUAAAAGGUCAAUUGCAGUUAGAAGUGAGAAUGGUUUGGCUUUAGGGUUUAUAGGGUCUGUUUAGAAGUGGGAAAGAACAGAUGAGGAAAAAGAUAUGUUAGUAACUUUGGAUUAUUGUAUCUUUACUUUUUUUAUUUUCCUUGCUAUUUUUCUAUGUAGUUAAUCUGGUUUCUCACUUGAAACAGCCAAAAAUAGACAAGGAUCAUCCGACAUGGUUGCAUCUUCAGAUAAGAGAGUUUGAACCAAAACUCCAUAAAAGUAAAGUUAAAGGCCAUCGUUCGGGGAUGUCCAAUCAUGUGGCUGAUGGGAGAUGGACACUUGGUUUUCCAAAUGGCAAGGCUUGCGAAGCUGCUCGAUUGUCAAUACUUGAGGAAACGAGGAAGCAGAGAUCCUCUGUCGAGAGCGUACUUGCUCCUCUCCUGCAGAAUACUUGUCAUGGAAAUUUAUCUGAGAGCGAAGACGAGUGAAGCUUUUAAUUGCUGUUGUAAGUUAGCAUGCCAACAAUCUCAGUUGAGUUCUCUGUCCUUCAUCUCACCUUUUUCUGUCAAAUUUUGUUACUGUCACAUAAAAGGGUUGUAUUUACAGUAGUUGUUUAUAAUAAUAGAUCAGUACCGAUCACCAAAUGUGUUAGAAAUUGAGAGCUAAAAUGGCUUUCAGAUAACCAUAAGCGUUUUUUGUUACUAUUAUUAUAAUAUCGUCGACUAUCUUCAUCCUGGAUGAUUAAGAAAUUAAUCAUCUUUGUUCUUCCAUGAUAACGCACAAAGAAUCUUUUAGCCGCGAUUGUUUUUCUUUCUUCUUUUCAUCGUCACUCUAAACACAAUCAUUUCUGAUUGAUACUGAUAAAUGGUAGGGGGAACGCAAACGAUUAAUGAUAAACAAUUUGUUUGAUACACUACUAGUAUUGCCAAGAAACAAAAAGAUUAGCAUUUGGUUCAUGCAAGUGCUGGUGGUUACAACCCCUUUCAUCAACCCAGUGCUUCUCGGGUUCAAACCAUUUCCUUUCCCUUUUCCUAUAGAGUAGUUAAGAGUAAAAAUAUCGCUUGUAUUCAGAAAAGAAAAAAACUUUUUGUUCGCAUGUUCUAAAGUCUGACUUGGGUUUGCCACUUUAAUAUUACGAUUUAAUAGCGUUAUUCUUCACAUACAAGUGAGAGACCUUAGGUUUGAAUAUCGUAGAUGAUGUGUUCGAUACUAUUUAAUACGACUAGCCUCUUAUGUGACUAAUCCCCAAAUCCUCUCUCCUAGUAUAAAUAUAUUGUUGUAUCAAUUAAAAAAAAUUCUGACUUUGGUUUGAUUUGUAAUUAGAAGCAAAACAUCCACCUAAACGUGAAAAUAUAUUUAGAAAUGGAUGUAAUUCUUUUGCGAUACAUCUACCUAACAGUUUCUUAAAAACAAUGUUCGUGUCUAUAUAUAUUGGAGUACGAGAGAUUUGAGCUUGAAACAUUUCUUAAAAUUGGCAUAGUAACUUGCUCUAGUUGAAUGCAGGCCUAGCUAAUCAGAAUACCAUAGCAAAUACCAAAAUGUAAAUUGCUGCAAUCAAGUGCAGGAAAAUCCGUGCUUUAAGUGAUCACAACUCAACUCGACACCACUCAUAUGAGGCAAAUUAAGUGCACCAAAAGUUCGUGCUUCAGUGUGGUCCUUGUUCUUUCACAGUAAAAAACUGAUCAGCAACCUGCAGCUGAGUACGUACAGCACAACCAUCUGCAAAUUGAAGCACGAGUGUUCAUCAUAUAGCUUGCACCUGCAAAGUGCAGCAUGAUCCUGAUUACUUGUAGCAAAAAUGGAAUAGGUUUAUGACCAUAGUAGCGACAAUGUAUUCACUAUAUAUAAAGCUUGCAGCUGAUGAAGUAGGCAUAUGUCUAAUAUAUAGUUAAAUUAUCUCAUGAAUCAUGGUGAAUUGAUGCCGCCUUUUAAGUAUAAAUAAUGAAAGAUUUAACUAGUUUAAGUGCACCAAUAGCGAAAAAGUAAUGGAAACUUUUGGGAAAAGGAGUGUGUGGUACGUAAUUCCAUCGCCUUUACAUUAACAAGGCUGUCAUGUCAAAAAUUGAGCUACUUUUUCUCAUUUCCCUAACCUUUAGGGGCGUUUGUUGCGCCGGACUAUCUCGGACUGGACUAGCUUCAAGGGCUAAGCUAGAUUGGCUUAGACUAGACUAAGCUUGACUAAUUUAGUGAAGCGUUUGGUGCAGUGUUAGACUAAGAAGCUGGAUAAUAACAAAUUCUAAUAUUAUAUUAUUUAAUAUAUAAAUUAUUAAUAUUUUAUUAUGAUCUAGGUGACCGGAGAUGACGAGGAGUCUAUCGGGAGUGGUUGUUGAGCAUGACGAGGACGAGAGAGGAUAGUCUUAGCUAGUCCCAUGGUUAUUGGGGGGUCUCGCUAAGACCUCUUAGUGAAGGGUUUUGUCCAUACUAGUCCCCUUUAGUCUCAUUAAUGUUAGUCCCAGCAUGGAACAAACACAGUAUUGGACUAACAGCUAGUCCAGUCCAGUCCAGUCCCACUUAGUGAGGGCAAACAAACGCCCCCUUAAAGUCGACUGGCCGUCCAGGGCCUCCCUCCAUAUAUUGCUAUAUACUAUAUACUAUAUGCUUUCAAAAAAAAAAUAUACUAUAUAUAUAUGCACUAUUCUCUCUCUCUCUCUCUCUCUCUCUAGAUUUCUGGUUUGCUGCUCUCUUCACUUGGAUAUUGCUUUCUCCCACAUGGCCACGUAUAGGGUAAAGAUGCUCUUAUUUGAAGCUCAAAAGCAUAAAAUGAGCGGCCCUUUUGAGUAGAUAAUGCCAUAUUUUACUUUUAGUACUAUGGCUUUAUGAGAGAGUGCUUUACUUUAAGCAAAAGAGAGAGGAGCUAGAAGAAGAAAAAAUAAAAUAAAAUAUUACCAACUCUCUGAAUGCAUUUGUGUUCCCAUAACAUGUAUAUCAAAGCACUUGACAGUGAAAGAAGGGAAAAGAGAAAAGAUGCAAAACCCUCAUUUAAACUUGCACUUUGGCACAAAUCUCAUGGGUGUCCAUCCACAGAUUAACAACUACUGCUUCUACAGUUAUAUGGACAUGGCUUUUCCUUUUCUUUUCUUUCGUUCUUUCGUUCUUUAAACCAAGUUAACCGUUACUAGUGUUUGGGAGGGGAGAGAGAGAGAGAGAGAGAGAGAGAAAGACUGAGUUAGGGUGUAUUCUAAGUAACCGUAGAUAUUCCUCAUCUCAUUCAAACGCUCCUUUUGUAGCAGUGCAGAGUGCUUUGUGUUCAAAUUAUUUGGUGGCUUUCCUUUCUAUGUCUUUUUAGGCCAACAAAGAUAGAAGAAACUUUUUGACUGGGGAAUGAAUGAGCUAAGAAUGAAUAGUAGAGAGUUUUGGAUUAUCUGUACCUGUAUAGGCAUUGUUUGGGUCCCUACCUCCUAUAUCAUACAAACUCCAUUGCAUAUUUGUUUCGCAUUUUUAUAUAUGCAUGAAAUUUUCUCAAACAAAAUAUAUAUGAGAAAUUCUACUAUCUCCUUUAAGAAAAAGGGUAUUGGAACUUUUUUUUCUCAGUAAAAUUACAUUAUAAUAUUUCUUUAUAUCGUUGAUGUUUAGGGGCGGAAGAUCUCUCGUUUUUUGUGUGAGGAUCUCUGCAUAUAUGUACAUAGAGUGCAUUUUUGCUCACUACCAUUUAAUGUACGUGGUGUAUGCUCACAUCUUAUUUAUUACCGUUAGAUGAGUUUUAAUUUUGAGAGUUGUUCCUAUCCACUAGCAGUAGGUCUCGGGUUCGAGACCAUGAGCAGUAGGCCUUCGCCCAUGAGCAGUAGGUCUCGGGUUCGAGACUUGGGAGCAGCCUCUCCAUAAAUGGGGGUAAGGCUACCCGACAUUCACCUCUCCCAGACCCUGCGUAAAGCGGGAGCCUUGUGCACUGGGUACGACAAAAGUUCCUAUCCACUACACGAAUCUCGAAAUUCAAACUCAUCUAACGGUAAUAGAAAGGAUGGUAAGCAUACACCACACUAAAUGGUGGUGAGCAAAAAUGCUCCAAUGUACAUAUGUUUUAGUUUUUAAUGCAUGUAUUUUAUAAUGUUAUUAGCUUAAACACCUAGCCAUGGUGGCGAGUAGUGUUUUAGCUCUCCUUUCUAUGUUUCGUGCUAUAUGGAAUAAGACCAACUGAUCCAGCCACAAAAAAAGCUUACACAGUGCCCACAAAAAAAUACAAGUGUGACUGAUACAGCUGAAGAAGAAGAGUUUAUUUAGUUUUGGAUACUGGAAAAUUGGAAAAUUUACAUGAUACAUUACAGCUAAUACAUAACAUAUUGUCCAUGAAUUUUAUCUAGUUUUAGAUAAUGGAAACCAGAGAAGGAUGUAUAUACAGUAUUCUGAAGAAGCUUCACAGCUUUUUUUCACAAAAUUCUAAGUUUAUUAACUGAUGUUUGUUGGAAAAGUUAGUAAUGUUAGUUUAUUUUUACCCAGAGUAUUUUUGGUAUUUUAUACAUUAAGAUUUCUCUCAUAUUUGUUUCAGGAUUAGAUCUUAAUAAAUAAACCUCAUGUAACUCGUUAGAAUAAGUCUCGGUAAAAUGUAGUUUUUUUUGUGAUAUAAUCUUCUUCGCAGUUUUGUAUUGUUCUUUCUUUUGUAUCUAUAGAAUAAGAUUCAAAGUUUCGCAAUGAAGUUCUUGUCUUUUCAACCCUUUGAUUUGCUAACAAUGCUUUCACUUUUCAUGGGUUAUAGUCGUUAAAUCUUACCCAAUAAACUGUCUUUAAAAAGUAAUAUCGGAUCAGAACGUUGUCUUUUAGUUUUUUAUCUUAUUUUUUAGGGAGUUUUAACGAAACACUUCUGGUACUGUUCACUUUUGACGAAAAACCAUAUUUUUACCUUUUCUUGUACUAUUCACUACACUUUUAUUUGUCAUUUUUCAUUAAAACUAAAGUUUUUUUUGGACUUUUCGUAUAAGUAAUAACGAAAUUUAAAUGUAUUGUUGAUUAAUUUUGAAUUGGAUGUUAUAGGAAUAAUCUUUUAUAAGAAAUCAUAUUUCAUUAGAAAAAAAAUUAUACAUCAUGAUAUACAUAUCAAGUAUACUAAUCUACAUCACCACAUUUAAGCAAAACUCAAAGCAACUCUCAUACAACCUACAAUAACACCACCAUAAAGUAACUCAUAACUCUAAACCUUGACCACCACCAUGAAUCGAAGUCACGCCCCAUAGUACUCAUCACAUAUCGUCAUAAAUUAAGAACUCGUGGAACAAUUCACGGAUUGUAGACUCGAACUUGAUAUCCAAAGUAGGCUAAAUGCAUGAAAAAAAAGAGAUUGAAAAAAAGUAUAUUAGAAGUAGACUUGGCAUGAAAAAAGAGUAGAAAGCGAUGAUGAUCAGGAACCCAAGUCUAAGAGCGGCUAAGAUCAAAUAACCACAAGGAACAUCACAAGAAAAACUAUCACAAGAGAAUAUUAUUCCCUCAAGGAAAACACUAGAGAAAAGAAAUAAAUAAAAAGAGGAGGGGAAGUGAGGAAGCAUAAGCGCUCCUUGUUCUUUUUAGCUGCUAGCUAGGGUUUUUUUUUUCACCAAUAAAGGGAGUGAUUGAAAAUUAAACUGGGCAAUAUUAAGAUGCAAAAAUGCUAUCAUUGUAAUUUGUCAAUUAAAGAUUUCUUUUUUUCUUUACAUGGUGGUUAUGUGUUUUUUGCUUUGAAAUGAAAAAACGAAUUAAAGAGGGUCCAAAAGCUGAACUUUAUGUAAUAAAGGAGAAUGGUAGAGGAAGGAAUGUCUGAGAGUUGUUAUUAAUCCCCAUGCAUGAUGCAACAUAUGGCAUUUAAAGCGUCAAGCUCAUCAGCUAUAGCUUGCUUUGUUGUAUAUCCAUAAAAAUAUGUACAACUAAAAUGGUGGGACGCUUUAAGCUUUAUUCCAUGUCUUUGAGUCUGGAAGAAAAUCGUACACAGUUCCCGAUUCCUUGAGACACAUAGUCCCCAUUCUCUUUUCAGGUCCUCGGUUUUGGCGGAUCCAUACAUAUCAUAUGCUCUCUCAGUCCUCGUAUUCAAAAAGAAAACAAGGAAAAUAGUCUCUCUAAUAUAAACCUUAUGACCUAAUCAUACCUAAAUAAAUAUCAUGAUAAUAAGAUUAUUACUGAACUAUUUAUCCUCUUGUGGCACCAAUAUAUAAUGAAAUUAUAUAUUAACGUUAUGAUUACCAGCUAGUUAUUAGUGCAUGAUAUUUGUUAAACAAGGAUAUGACUGUCUUUAGAGAUUGAUCAUUUGCUCAUCUGCAGUGCAGGCACCUAGCAAAGUAAAUUUAGACCACUUUUCUUUAAUUAGUUUGCCACUGCAGUUCAAACUCAAUUGCAGCAUAAAAUGUAUAUUGUGAAGGAAGUUUGAAAUUGCAGCAUAAAAUUAAGGGAACUUUAAUGAAAAGGGCUUGGCUAAGUUUAUUUUAACAAAAAACCAUGCUAUAACUUUAUUUAAUGAACAAGAAUAAAAAAAAAACCCUUAAAUUUUAAUAAAAAGGACAAAAAACUUAAUUUUUAAUGAAAAUGACACAAUUUAAAAAAAAAAAAUUCUAAUGCGCGCGCAUGACCUGUACACUGUUUAUGAAACUGAACACUAUUUUAAACUGAAACUAUUUAUGAAAUUGCACUAUGUAUGAAACUAAAUGGUACUAUACUAUUUAUUGGUCCAAUUUCGUAAAUAGUGCCUAGUUUUUUGUCCACUUUCAUAAAUAGUGUCUAGUUCUUGAUCAUGUUUAAUAAAUAAUGCCUAUUUAUUGGGUCCAGUUUCAUAAAUAAUGUAUAAUAUAUGGUACAUUUUCAUUAAUAUUAUCUCUUUCUUGGUUGGGUUUCAUAAAUAGUGUCUAGUUAUUGGUCCACUUUCAUAAAUAGUGCCUAGAUAUUGGUCAUGUUUCAUAAAUAUUAUCUAGUUCUUACUCCAGUUUCAUAAAUAGUGUAUAGUACAGUUUCAUAAAUAGUUUCCACCUAUUGGUUUAGUUUUGGAAAUAAUGCCUAAUUCUUGUUUUCUUUUCAUAAAUAGUGUCUACUUAUUAGUCCUGUUUCAUAAAUAGUGUCUACUUAUUGGUCUAGUUUCAUGAAUAGUGUCUACUUAUUGGUGAAAUUUUAUAAAUAGUGUUUAAUUCUUGGUUCAUUUUCAUAAGGUUUGAAAUUUAAACCCCUUUUGGUCUUGUAAAAGCACCUAUUGUGCCGAAAACGAUGAACCCAGAAGUGACUCUUUAGAUCAAAAACUUGAGAAGAUUAUGUUCUCAGUAAUUAUAUUUAAAAAGCUGUUUUCAAUUACCAAAUUAAAAUUUCCUCACUUUUUUCAUAUACCUACAAUAAUAAAUGUAGCUCUCCAUCCAAUUUCUUCAGCUUGGGUGUCAUCUUGGAGAAAUUUUUUCUUGUGUCUGUAGUACAAAUAGCAUACCACGUGUUAUUAUAUAAGUGGUGGAAAAAUAUAUUUUUUAUGUUAAUAUUUUUAACACAAAAAUCUCACAACUUGUAUAAAAUGUACAACCCCGUGUUCUGGGCACAUUGAAAAGUUUCUCGUCAUCAUGACUACUAUUGGAAAAUAACACCACAAAAAUAAAACAGGAGAAUGUAAUUCAAUUCAAAGUAAUUUUCUUAUUCUAAGCAAGAAAAGAAAGAGAAAAAAAAGAAAAAAAGGACCAUAAAUGUAGCUGACGAUGGGACAAAAAGAUAGGAGGAAAAAGUGGAGUGUUUCAGUUGAAGUUGGGGAGGGGAGGGGGGGGUACAUGCCCAGCGCAAGUUGGGUUUGUUAGGUUUUUCUUUCUUUCUUAUUAGUCUUUUUUCCUUAUUAUUAAAAUAAAGUUAAUGGGUGGUUUUUUAUUAAAAUGUAAAGAUUUGAAGCCCUUUUCAUUAGUUUUCCUUAAAAUUAAUUUGCAAAAUAAAUAGGAAUUAACUCAAUUUUUUAUAAGCGGUUGCAAGAUUACUUUAACUUUUUAAUGUGAGACAACAUUUUAUAUCCUCAAACACUCCCUCACACCUGACAAUACUCAUGCCAAACACGUGAACACCACAAUUUGAGUGAUGUAGAUCAGUUGAUGUGGAACACCACUCCACAUUCUCAUACACCCCUCACAUGUGUUGAUACUCAAGCCAAACACAUAAACAACACAUAUUGGGUGAUAUAUAUGAAGUUCGUGUGGCUGUUGGACUUUUAUACAUGGGUCAAUCUGUUGUAAUACUAUGAAGGCAAUAACUCCACCAUAAAACUAAUUGACAAUAUAAGAACUAGCCCAACUCUUUUAAGCACAUCAACGUCUUUUUACUUUCCAUCGUUUUCGAUAUAGGACAACACUUUACAUUCUUACAUAUUGUAAAUAUUAAGCUUUGAGUCUGGAUUAUAAAUACUCAAGUAAGAAUCUAUCUGAUCAAUAGUUAUAAUUUACAUACAACUUAAAGAUGUUUGACAAGAGAACAUUUCCUAUCAAAGAUUUGUUUUAUAAAUAAUAAGGGUGUUUAUUUCUAGCUUAGUACCCUAUCAUUAAUGUUUAUUAUUUAACAAAUUCUUUCGCAUAAAAGAGAGAGACCCACUUCGAAAUGAAUACCAUAUCUUUUAUCAAAUUUGAUGUGUGAUAGAAUUAAAGAGAGAUGGCAAAGCUGAGUUGCCUUCGAUACUGGUGCAUAACAUUAGAGUCCUGCUUAAUUGUUAGCACAUGCAUUCCACUUUCCACUACAAAUCGACUUUGGACCCCAAUUUUUACCUCACCUACAAGAAAAGCACCACCCCACUCUCCCAUAAAUUUCACACCCCCUUGGCCUUCACUCUCUCUUUCCUAUCUCUCUCUCGAUCUUCUUGUGUAUCCUCCUGACUCUCUUUCUCUCAAUACGAUAAUCUAGAUCGCUAGAUAACAAAAUCUCAUUACCACUGCACUGCAUAUAUAACUGAUCUAGCUGCACAUAACUGAGUUCCAACACUCCUUAGUCUCUUUCAAAAUCCACCUCACUUCUUUCUUUAUCCACUAAACUGAUCACCAGCCCAAGAACCUAAUAUCUCAACAAGUUCUCUAUCUACAGAUUCACCAUCGAAUUUAACCUUUCUUUUCUUAUUAUUAAAGCAGGUGAUCGGUGAUCAUAAGAGUUGAAGAUGAGAGCAGGAGGUUGCACACUUCAACAAGGUCUAACCACAGAGGCUGCAAACAUAGUAAAGCAAGCAGUAACCCUAGCAAGGCAUCGUGGCCAUGCCCAAGUAACUCCUCUCCAUGUUGCAAGCACCAUGCUUUCUUCUUCAACAGGCCUGUUGCGAACCGCUUGCCUUCAAUCACACUCUCACCCUCUCCAAUGCAAAGCCCUUGAGCUUUGCUUCAAUGUUGCCCUCAACCGCCUCCCAGCUUCCAAUUCUAGCCCCAUGUUAAGCUCUCACCCCCAACACCCUUCCAUCUCCAACGCCUUGGUUGCGGCUUUCAAGCGUGCUCAAGCUCACCAAAGGCGUGGUUCAAUUGAGAACCAGCAGCAGCCCCUCCUAGCAGUGAAAAUAGAGUUGGAGCAACUCAUAAUUUCCAUUUUAGAUGAUCCAAGUGUUAGUAGAGUCAUGAGAGAAGCUGGGUUUUCUAGUACCCAAGUGAAAAGCAAUGUAGAACAAGCUGUCUCAUUAGAAAUAUGUAAUUCCCAAACACCUUCUGUGAGUAGCAAGUCCAAGGAAAGCAAUAGUAAUCUCCUGAUAGUCAACCCUCAUCAGUUUCCUUCAAUUGGUAGUCAAAUUAGAGUAGUCAAAGAUGGAAAGCCAGUGCUGCCUGUAGAUCCAAGUGUUAGGAAAGAGGAUGUGGCAUGUGUUAUACAGAAUUUAGUGAACAAAAGAAGGAAAAGUAUUGUGGUUGUGGGAGAGUGUCUUGCUAGUGUUGAGGGUGUGGUUAGAGGAGUAAUGGACAAAGUUGAGAGGGGAGAUGUUGUUGAGGCUUUGAGAGAGGUGAAAUUCAUAACCAGCACUCUCUCCUCUUUUAGACAGAUGUCUAGAGUACAGGUUGAGCAGAAGCUUGAAGAACUCAAAAGCCUAGUGAGAAGUUGUGUGACCAAAGGCGUUAUCUUGUAUGUGGGAGAUCUCAGGUGGACUAGCGAAUAUAGGGCUAGUAGUUCAAGUGAUCAGGGAAGGGGGUAUUAUUGUCCUGUGGAACACAUGAUCAUGGAGCUUGGGAACUUGCUUUGUGGCAUUAACAAUGGAGAUCAUUCGAAUGGGAGGCUUUGGAUUGUGGGGAUGGCUACCUUCCAAACUUACAUGAGAUGUAAAUCUGGCCAUCCAUCUCUGGAGACUGUUUGGGGUAUUCACCCUCUUACAAUUCCGUCAAGCAGCCUGCGUUUGAGUCUUGUCACUGACAGGUAUAAAUUAAGCAGCUAAUUAAUUAGUAAUGGUAAUUAAAAAUUUGCAAAAUUUUUGCAUACUUUCAUUUCAUCUCCCUAACUCUCUUUUAGAAAAUGUCAUGUGUUAAAUCUUUACAUCCGUUUAUCUUGAGGGAAAUGUGCAAACUAUUGACUAAGUUUCUUUUUUCUAUUUCCCUUUUUGAAAUUAGUGAACCUCUCUAUUCUCUAAGUCACCAUGCCCUUUAUUUUUAUCUUCCUUUUUAAUUGGAUGGGGAAUUGUGAACAAGGAGAACUUCAACAUUUAUUAAGACUCCUCUUUUAACUGUAUCUCUUGUUAAUUACAGUCUUUAGCAGUACCCAUUCUCCUUGAAUACUAACGUAGUGAGGUUAUUGUUCUUAUUAACAUCAACGUUACUUGUAUUUACAGCCAUGACUUACAAAGUGAUCAGUCUACAAGUAAGAUCGCUGAAACUGGAAGCAACAAGCAAAUGCUUGAAGGUGGAGAUCCGAAGCAGCUCACUUGUUGCUCAGAAUGCUCCGCCAAGUUUGAAGCCGAAGCUCGAAAUGUACAACAAAGCAGCAGCAUUUGCAACAGUGAAUCCACCACUUCAAACCUUCCUGCAUGGCUCCAACAGUACAAAAACGAGAACAAAGUACUAAGCAGUGCUAAUGAUGAGGUUCUAAUUAUAACAUAUCUCAACCUCUUCAACUUAUUCACAAUUAUUACCUAUAUAUCUACAUUUAUAUAUUUUAUAUGGCCCAUCUAGCACUAAUAGAAGUACUACAAAACUAACUUUUUCUUUGCAAUUAUUUCGUUUUCUUUUUUUUGUACACAGAACUCUGUUACAAUUUCAGACCUUUGCAAAAAGUGGAACUCCACUUGCGGUUCAAUGCACCAACAACUUUCCAAUAAUUCCUCGGAGAAAACCCUCACAUUAAUCUCUUCUCUCUCACCCUCAUCCUCUACUUCCAACUUUUCAUAUGAGCAACAACAACAAAACCCUAAUUUGCACCACCAGCAUCAGUCAUGGAGGCACCAACAUUUCUGGAUAUCUGGAUCUAAUUGCAACAAGGCUGUUGAUGAUCAGCCCAGUUUGAGAAUGUACAUUCCAGAGAACAAUACUAGUCCAAAACAACCACUUUCAUCAAAUCCCAAUUCUACCCCUACUUCAGCCUCAUCUAGUGAUAUUGUCAUGGAAACUGAUGAUUAUCCAGAGGUUCAAGGAACUCAAUGCUGAAAACCUCAAAAUCCUAUGCACUGCAUUGGAGAGCAAAGUCCCAUGGCAGAAGGGUAUAAUUCCCGAAAUUUCAAGCACAAUCUUGAAAUGUAGGUCAGGCAUGGUGAGAAGAAAAGGGAAUAAGAUGGGAAGUUACAAUGAUGGCACUAAACAGGAAACAUGGUUGUUCUUUCAGGGGGUUGAUAUGGAAGCUAAGUUAAAAGUUGCAAAGGAGUUGGCUAGGCUUGUUUUCGGUUCCCAAACCAACCUCACUUCCAUUGCACUAAGCAGUUUCUCAUCGACUCGAGCUGAUUCGACUGAGAACUGCAGGAACAAGAGAUCGAGAGACGAGCAAAGUUUCUGUUAUGUCGAAAGAUUCGCGGAGGCAGUGUCGUCUAAUCCCCAUAGGGUGUUUUUAGUCGAAGAUGUGGAGCAAGCGGACUAUUGCUCUCAAAUGGGAUUUAAGAGAGCAAUUGAACGAGGACGGAUAACCAAUUCGAGUGGCGAAGAAGUAGGUCUUGGAGAUGCUAUCAUUAUUUUGAGCUGCGAAAACUUCACUUCGAGAUCGAGAGCUUGCUCUCCUCCUAUCAAGCAAAAAUUAUCAGAAGGGCCUCAUGAUGAAGAUAAUAGGUAUAUUGCUGCUUUAGAGGAAACAAGCCCUUGUGUGUCUCUGGAUUUGAACAUUUCAUUUGAUGACGAUGAUAGUUCCGAAUGUCAAUCGAUUGAUGACAUUGGUCUUCUUGAAUCUGUCGAUAGACGCAUUGUUUUCAAAAUUCAAGAGUUGUGAGAAUGAAAUGAAGGAAAAACAAAAGAUUGAUAGGUGGUUUUUCUUUUGAAGUGUUUUUUUGCUUCUUUUGAAACUUUCUUUCUUUAGUAUGUUUUUAGAUUCUUAGGGUUGGGGAUUAAAAAGAUUUCCUUUUAUGUAUACUACAUGUACAUUAUGAUCCGUGAUUUUCCUGUAACAGAUUGGUUGUCGGUUUAAUUUUCAUAAUUUUCUUCGUUUUUGUUUAUUUAUUUAUUUUUUGUGAAGGUACUUCUCCUUAAAUUUUUACUUUUUUUUUAAUUAUUAUUAUUAUUAAGGAAAAGGAGAAUGGUUCAAAACUAUUACAAUAAUUUAGGAAAAAAAGAAAGUUUCGAACUUCAAACCAUGAGUUGAAAUUCAAUGUCCUAUCAGAAUAAUGGACCACAUUCCUUAAAUUUUUACUCUUUGUUCAUGCAUGGAAUCUCUGCCAAGUAGUCAGCAAUAUGCACUAAACAAGUUGAGAAGAGAGAGUGUUGAAUGUUCCAGAUUUGGCUCUAUCACAAUUUGUACGCACCGUGUUUAUGAUACCUAGUUAUUCCCGUUGCCGAAAUAUUUGACAAUUAUGGAAACAAUGUUUGAGAAUAAGACGACCACUUGUGUGAUGGACAGUUGGAUUUGAUAUAAGUUGGGAUUCCCAAUUCUUGUCAAAUAGUCUUGGAAUAAAUUAAUAGUAUGAUAUCAACUAUCAAUCUAAGAGUCCGUUUGAGAGUGGUUUGAAAAGGCAUAAUAUCCUUCGAGAAGAAAGCUCAUUCUAUAUAAUUCACCAAAAUUUGUUUUGAGGAGAAGCACAUGAGCUAUUUCUUUUCAGAAGUAAUUCUCGUGAUAAUAUUAAUUGGGAAUAACAACUGUACCACCGGCCCCUCUUUAUUUUUCUUGAGAAGAAGAAAUGAAAGAUAAAAUCUUAAACAAAAACAUCCCUUCUCCCUGUCAUCAAUCAUCCCUCAUUGCUUGGCAGAAAGGUGUUCUUCCUUCUGUAGCUUCUCACAAAGGCUUCAUUGGCGUCUCUGCGGUCAGAGGAGCUCCUUGCUUAAGCCUCCUCUUGGUCAAAGAAAGCCACCAUGGCGCCAACGGUCAGUCGUUAGAUAUUGCCUACGCCGUUUGUGCCAUUUCAACCAUGGUGGUGAGCUUGUGGACAAAAAAGAAUAUGUACACGUAAAAAAGUUUGUGUGUAUUACUGUCACACUCACACACAUGUUGGGUAAAAAAAUAGCAUUUGUGUCGGUCAUGCACAUUAAGCAAAGAAAUGUAAUUAGAUGAAAAACUAGUUACUUUGUGAAGUUACACACACACACACACAUACACACAUUAAGCAAAGAAAUGUAAUUAGAUGAAAAACUAGUUACUUUGUGAAGUUAUAUAUAUAUAUAUAUAUAUUGAUAACGAUACUGGGAGUUAGGUGUUGGGUUACAAAUAGAAAACAAUGCUAUUAAACCAUAAUAGUAUUUUGUUCUCCAUUUCCAUGUCUAGGUUUCGUUUGCUCUAACUAUAAUUCCAGAUCGGCUAGAUUAAAAAAAAAAAAAUUCGUACAUCCAAAAAUUUAAUUUCACACACACACACACACACACACACACACACAUAUAUAUAUAUGCAAAUGAACUGAUCAUUUUAUAUUGAUGAAACAUGACCCACGAAAAGUACAUGGGUAGGUUGCUCAAACCAAGCAUUAACAUUUUCAUCAUGAUGAUGAGAAGUAUAUAUCAAGUCUAGAGAAUCUACCAGCUCUCUAUCUGAGAUAUAGAAAAUGAACAAUCGAUAAAGCAUUUCAUGAUGCCAAACAUGCUUUGGCCUUUAUUCUACGUGGUCUUUUGUGAUAGUCACUAGCAAAGCAAUUUAAUUUGGUAAAUGGCAAAUUUACUCCAUCUAUAUGCAGGUAUCAAUAUGCUGCCAACUGUUGCCACCCUUUCCUUUCUUUUUUUUUUUCUUUAAAAAAAAAUUGUUUCAGUACAACAGUGAUUAUUCCACCUUUGUUCAAGGAAAGUUGAGGGAUUAAAAUGUGGGUGAAUGUUUACAAACAGAGUUUUUAUUACUUUACGUCUUAGGGUUUCCUAGUAGGAUAAGAAUUACGAUUCAUUUCUGAUUUUAACUAUGAUUCAAGUUUACUUUCUUAUUUGUUUUAAAUCAGGCCUUUAUGAAUUUACCUCUUGUAAUUCAAAAUUUAAUUCUUUAAGAGGUGUAGGCUUUGUUUGGAAAUGAUUUUAGAAUGAUUAAAAGUGUUUUUAAUUAAAUUGUUUUUGGAACCAAUCCUUAGUAAAAAACAAAUGAAUCUUAUAAAAGCACUUGAAGUGCUUCUUGUAAGAAGUACAUAACUGGUGCUUCUUCCAAAAUGUGUUUUUUAAGUGCUUUUAGAACUUAAAAAACUUUCAUCAAAAUGCUUUCAAUCUUGUUGUAAUCUGGACAACUAUCAUCAAUUUUCGUCUUUGGAUUUUCUAGUAUGAUACCAAGUAGGAUUCCUUUCCUGUUUUUAAUUAGGGUUCAACGUUAUUUUCCACCUUUUAUUGCUUUGUUAUUUUCCUCCUUUUAUUGUUUUGUUAUUUUCCUUAUAACUAUGUCUUGAUAAAUGCGCACCUCUUGUGACUCAGUAAGAAAAGUUGUCACAGCAAGAUAUAACAAUUUCCAUAUGUAGUCGAUAUAGCAAUUUGUAAUUUGCUUUUUUUUUUUUUUCAUUUUGUAAAUGGAAUAAGAAAUAGUUUUUUUCAUUUAGUUUUUUUUCUUCUUCUGUUUCUUUGAUUUGCUAACAAUUAAAAUAGGGAAUUGAUAUUAGCACUUCAAAAAUCUCAUUCUACAUUCCUCACAAGUGUAUUUUUCUUUCUAAUUAUAAAAUUUGGAGUGUUAAUUGAGAUUUUUGGAGUAUCAAUAGUAAUUCCCUUAAAACAUACACAUUUAUACAUAAGCCUUUUUCUCUUCGUAAAAGGAUUCUCGCCAAAUCAUUUUCCUUUCUCUUCAUGCUACACAAUCAUUAGAUUUUUGCGGGCCUUCUUACCAUAUAUGCUAUUUGGAAAGCGUGUACUAUAGGUUUAUUUUAUAGAACCGGCUAAUUUCAUUACAUCGUUGUUAAUAUGUAUACUUAAUCUAGAUGCGUAAUGUUGGUGGGUUUAGCCCUAAAUACACUUAAGGUAUGGAUAUUCGUAUAAUUUUUCAUUUCGGUAUCCCACAUAUCUCUUGUAAAGUUAAUUUUAUUUUUUAGAACCGACUAUUUCUUUUACAUCGUCAAUGCAAGUCUAUGUAACCUAGAUUCAUUAAUGUUGGUAAGUUUAGUCCUGCAUACUCUAAAAGUAUGGAUGUUCGUAUAAUAUCUUAUUUGGGUGCAUAUCCCUUGAAAAGUCCUUCAUAUUAAUUAGUCAUGUGAUUUGAUAUGCCUUGGCUUGGCUUAAGCUUAACACUGAUAGUUUAUCUAAAGGAAAUACUAGUUACUUAUGGGGAGCUUUCAGGAAUUAGCAUUGUCGGUUUCUUGGUGGGUUGUCAAGCUAUUAGUCAUUAUACAAUUUUAUUUAUUUGUGGCAGUAACAAGCGAUUAUUAUUGGUGUUGUUUUUUCAUUUAGGGGGUUGGCUAACACUUUGAUUGCAAAGUGUUUCUUCUAGUAUUCUAUCUCUAUUCGGAUGACUUUGUUCCUCCUUCACCGUACACAAUAGUUUACAUGCUUUGCCCGCAUUUGGGAGAUGAUUUUCUUUUGGGGUUUUUGAACUUUAAUCCUUCAAGAAGAUUAAAAUUAAAAAAAAAACCUGGUGUUAGAUUAAAUAUUGAUUUUAGUCCCUAAUGUGUCCUUAAUUCAAAAUAAUUAAUGUGCAUUUUAUUUAAUGUCUCCCAUUAAAUAUUUAAAUUUAUUAAUACACAAAUUUUAAUUUAUUUUUUGACCAAAAAAGAGUUUUUUAAUUUAUUAAUUUUAUUUAACAUUCUUCAAAUUUGAAAGACUCAAUUAAUGUACCUAAAUGUUAGUACCGAAAUGUAUGUACCUAAAUAUAUGCACCGAAAUGUAUUAAUAUUAAAUUAAUGUACCUAAAUGUGUGUACCGAAAUGUAUGCACCGAAAUGUUAGUACCGAAAAUGUAUUAUAUUGAAUUAAUGUACCUAAAUGUUUGUAUCGAAAUGCAUGUACCGAAAUGUGUGUACCUAAAUGUAUGCACCGAAAUGUAUUAUAAUGAAUUUAAUAUACCUAAAUGAAGAAGAUAAAGUACAUCGAAAUAUAUUGUAUAACAAAAAUUAGUUUAUCUAAAUGUUCACAACAAAAUAUAUUACGAUGAAUGAAAUGAAACUAAAAAUUAUAAUGAAAUAAAAUUAAUACAUUAAAAAUUAGAAAGAAAAAGAUAAAUAAUUAAAAAUCAAAAUAUAAUUAAUAAAUGAGGCUAUUAAUGUAUCAAGGGACUAAAAUUAGAUUUUGAUCUUACUCAUGGUUUUAAUCAAAAAGUCAUCUUUGCCAAGGAUUAAAAUGAAGUUUUCUAUUUUCUUUUUCCUCUCACAUUUAUAACUAAUGUUGUCACACUCUUUAUAAUCAAAUAAAUAUCAUAUCUGCAAAAAUUAUUCAAUUUGGAGACUAUUUAGUCAUUCAUGUUCAUCAAACAAAUGGGAGCUUCAUCAUGAGGAUGUUACUUUGUUACCAAAAUCGUCGAUUGGUUGACAUGCAUGGAUGACUAAACAAUCUCCAAAUUAAAUGAGUUUUUGCAAAUAUGAUCUUUAGACGAUGAUACAGAGUAUGAACAGUUCCGAUUAUGAAGUUCGUAUGGUGAAGACACGUUAAUCAUAAGUGGGGGGACAAGUAAGUUCCCCCGUAAACGAAAAAACAAGUAUUAUCUUUCUUCUUCUUUUUUUCUUUUUUUAAAGCUAAACAUCCUAUAAAUCACAAAAUCUUUUAAAUAUUAUUUAGUUGUUCAUUUCUGGUCAAUAUGUGAUAUGUAAUUAGUUAGAACAUUUCUAUGUAAACCGUAACCUUUCUACGUAAACCCAAGUCUAUAAAUAGGCACUGUACUGAGAAGGAAAGAAAAUUUUGAUUUCUCCUCCCAUUCUCUCUUGUUCUCAGUAUUUCUUAUAUUUUACUUCUAACACAAAAGGUUUUGUAUUCAUUAUUUAUUUUUGCUACAUUGAGGAAAUCAAACAGUCUACCUUCACAUCCUCUCCCCAUAGUUUAAUGUAGAUAAUCUAUAAUUUGUGUAAAAAAAUUACAUCUCUAAAAUUGGUUUACGAGAACAAUAUACAACUUAUAUGAAAUUGUUAUUGACACUCCACAAUUCUCAAUUUGCACUUCAACUUUCUAUAUUUGGAAAUAAAAGUACACUUGUGAGAAGUGCAAAAUAGAACGCAAAUAACAGUUCCCAACUUAUAAAGACAUGUAAUAUUGGAGUCGUAAUUUACAAUAUGUGAUAUCACGAAAUAUGGAAUGAAAUAACGAUUUUUUUUUUUUGGGUAACAAAAAUAACGAUAUAUUUCAGUCACAAGGAAGAAUUCAACCUUUCAAGAUCACCUCUGGUACGACACAUUUUUAGAUAAAUUGCUCACAUGAAUAUACAAGAACAGAUGGUCAUAAGAAUAUAUGAUUUCAUCCGUGAAUAAAAUACAUUCACAAGAUAUUAAGAUCACUAUGGAAAAUGCUAACAAUAUUAGUCACCACAGUAAAUUUCAUGGCGCUAAAUCGUUGAAUAUGUCUUUCAUACCCACAGAUAAGUGGUUUGUCGUUAAUCAGGCAAAGGCUAAUUCCUUCCUUCUACUUUCCUGUUGUGAUUGAGUUGCAACCAAACUAAAUUAAAACAUAAAUUAAAAAAGCAAGUUGCACUAAGAUAUAUAGAUUUUUUUAUUUUUUAUUUUUUUUAUUUUUACAAAUUAUAAGAUAAUUACAAUUGAUCUAAACAACGAAAAAUACCAAAUUUCGAAUUGAAGUGAAGAUAGAGCACAUGAUAUAUAGUUAUAAUAUACGAAACAGGAAUGUUGGGAACGCACAUAUUAGAUUAAGGAAUGAUUCAUAACGUAAGGGUUGUGCAAAGGAGAAGCAACUUUUUCUUCUUUGAAAGAGAAAUUUAAAGUAAAAUUCAUCCCUGAGAAAUCAAAAGAGCACUACUUUUCAUGCUUUGUGAUUCGUUUUUUGUAAAAGAAUAACUUUUCUUUCUUUGAUUUUCGUAACCCCAACAUUCUCAUCUUUGGAAAGCAGAAAGUUGUGCUGGGAGGUUCAAUAUAUAUUAAGUAAAAAAAAAAAGUUUUAAAAAAAGGAUUAAAAAAAUAUCGAUAAGCAUCUCCUCUUUUAACUUCAAAGAUGUUUUGCUACUUUGGAAUCACGAAAAGAUCAUUAUCUUCACAACUUUAAAUUAAAACCCUUAAGCAUAAGUAUGGAAUUUGUCGCUUAUGGCUUUUGAAAAGAUUAGGGUUUGUUCCAUACUUGAAAGGAAGAAGCCUCCAUCUUAGACUGCCUUUGCUUUUUUUUUUUUUUUUUUUUUUUUUUGUCCAAUUUUCCUUUUACGAGUUUCCCAUUUUCCAUUUGUCUUCUUUUUCCAACUUUUAUUCCACCGCAUUUAAUUUCCAUUUUGGUGCUAAUACAUACAGUUUUCUUUUGGUAUUAAUGCAUAUAUUUACUUCUUUAAUUAACAUGAAUGAAGCACUGAAGCUAUAUAACCCAUAUAUACGUUAAAUCCUUAAGCCACUGUUUUCGCAACUCUCUUAUAUGAUGUAAAUUACAGAACAGUUCAUUACAAAACUAAAUGAAUUAACUUUGUUGGCCACGAUCAAAAAUAAAGUUAUGAGAGCUGGAAAUAAUGGGUGUUAAUUGCUACCGUACAAAAUUCUCAAACCCAAACCGCUAGAGAGAAACUAAGAAAAAAAAUUCCAAGUUGCCGACCUCUGUUUUUGGCUUGGGGUUGGUCAAUCCCUCUUGGUUCCUCUAUCUUCUAACCAUCUUCCUCUUUUAGUUGUGGUUGUUUUUCGCUUUAGUGAGUAUUCAUUAGUUGUAGUUGCUCUCUCGCUCUGUUAAAAAGAACCUUUCUAAUGUCUAGAGGUGAUUGUUGUUCAUAAUUGAGAUGAUGUUUUUAUACUUCUUAUGGAGGAAGCUUAAUAUUUGUUGGAUGUGACUCAUCAUUGUUUAUUUUUACUCACAAUUGCAAAACCAUUAGAGGGUGGUGCGAUUUUUUACUCGUGGUGCAUUUAAAGUAGUUCUACAUUUGGUCCUCGUAAUUGUUUUCUUUCAUGUUGAUUAGAUGUGGGUCCUUCUUAGCUAGGAAUUAUAUUUUAUUCUAGUUGAGUUUGUAAUUGUAAAAUUGUGGUGUUUCUUUGGAUGUCUGUGAUAUCUUGGUUACAUUUGGCAUACCUAACAUGUGUAUAUUGUUCUUAAUAAAUUUUCAUUUCAUCUAAAAAAGGGCUGAAUAUAUAAUUAAUUAAGUUUAGAUAAUGUGUUGACCCAUUUAAUUAUCAUCUAUUGACUGGAGCAUAUAUUUAGUAGAUGGCGCUUUACCGCAGUGGUGAAAAACAAUUAUGUUUAUGUACAUUGGUGCAGGUUCGGUCUUCACUGAUCUUCCUUACACCUAACAACUAACAAUUUAAUUCAUUAACUCUAUCAUUUGUCCAAAAAAAAAAAGAAUGAAAUAAUGGAGCAUAUAUUUGUAUAUGGAACUAAUUUGCCCUAUGUGUUGUUAAUUAAGCUUGCAAUCAUUCACUUUUUUAGAUCGUAUACAUGAUAUCCCUGUCAGAAAACACUGAAUUAUUUAAUUAAUGAGUUUUCUAUUUGGAAUCUAAUUUCUCCCUUAAAAGCAGGUAGCGAGAUAAAGUAGUUCUUAGAGCAAUAUCAGAAAAUAUGAUUGUAUAUGGGGAUGUAUCUUUUUUUUUGGUUGUUGUUAAAAUUGUAUAUGGGGAUGUCAUUGCACUAAGUGCGUGAGAAUGCAGAAGAAAUAAACGGUUUUAGUGUGAAACCGUGAUAGUGGUUUGUCUCCUCGGAGAUAUGCAUCAGUUUUGCUAAUAUAAGCAAAAUAGAUUAUGACCGUUUAGGGUUGAUUCAGACUUUGUUCUAGAAUCACGUGAGUAAUAUGUAUUUUGCAUAGAAUCCGAAAACCUUAUAUGAAGUUGAGGGUUUCUGAUGUAUAUAUUUAUAGAAUGAAAACGACGACUGGAUUGGCGCGGCGGGUUGGGUGUCCUGACGGGUUGGGGUUGGGGGUGGGGUGUGGUUGUUCAAGCUCUAUUUUAGAGGAAAUAAGGUGACACUAAAAGUGUGGGGUCUUAAGAGUAAGAAACAGGAGACAGAUGCUUAAUGAGUAUAUAUUUCCGCUAGACGCUUUGAUGUUUAUAAAAGGACAUGGUCGUUGGUGCGAGGCCGCGACUUCUUUAGGGUUUCGGCGUUCUUAUUCAAUUUUCGGCGAAUCUGCUAAGCGGCGACUAACGCCACCACAUAGAAUUUGUAGCCCACCGACCUUCUUGGACCAUCAUAGGCUGCGAAUCAACACCGUGAAGUUUACGACACCCACAACCUUUACUGGAAAAAUUAGUUGUCCUUCGUCCACUUUUGGACUUCGUGGCAUGUAUAAAACUUGUUCCUCAUGUUGAGUUCUACAUGUCUGUAAACUUGGUGGAAUUUGGAUUAGUCGGAAACUAGGUUUCUGUUUGCCAAAAACCCCACUGCGCUGCGGCGCAUGGGAAAACUCAGUAACAUGGAUUUAUAGAAUGAAAACGACGACGAGAUUGGGGUUGGGGGUGGGGGGGGGGGGGGGUGUGGUUGUUCAAGCUCUAUUUAGAGGAAAUAAGGAGACCCUAAAAGUGUGGGGGUCUUAAGAGUAAGAAACAGGAGACAUUGAAAGUGAUGCUUAUUGAGUAUAUAUUUCCACUAGAUACUUUGAUGUUUAUAAAAGGACAUGGUCAUUGGUGCGAGGCCGCAACUUCUCUAGCGGUCUUAUUCAUUUUUCGGCGAAUUUGUUAAGCGGCGACUGAUGCCACCACCUAGAAUUUGUAGUUCACGGACCUCGUUGGACCACCGUAGGCUACAAAUCAAUGCCGUGAAGUUUACGACACCCACAACCUUUACUAGCAAAAUUAGUCAUCUUUCAUCCACUUUUGGACUUCGUGGUAUGUAUAAAACUUGUUCCUCGUAUUGAGUUCUACAUAAAUGUAGACUUUGGUGGAAUUUGGAGUAGUCGGAAAACUAGGUUUCUGUUCACCGAAAACCCCAGCGCGCAUCGGCACGUGGGAAAACUCAGUAACAUGGAUUUUGGGCAGAAAGAUGUUCCCAAUGCCCUGAGCACAUAUCCAAGGUCCAUUUGUUGAAACUCGAUACCAUGAUUCGAUUAUUCAAUUUUUGAGAUAAUUGUACAAUUGCUUAAUUUUCGUAAUUGAUGAUAAUUUGACUGUUGGAUCGUCUUGCAAUUGUGUCAACAUGCUAUUUAUUGAUUGUCAAACGUUUAAGAACUUGUGGAACAGAAAUCUGACAUUCAGAUCUUCCGAAUUUGAGAAUCUAGAGUUGUUGACCCUAACGUGGCAUAUUAACAACGAUUGACCUUUUAGUCAACGUGUCCUGAAUUAUUUUGGUGUAUCAUUUGUAUAUAGAAUUUUGAGUGAAGACUUGUGUUUUUUUCUUAGACGUUGAUCGUAUUUGAGUGCUUCGAUCUUCAUGCUAGUUGAUAGUAGUUUAGACUCCAGGAACGUUGACUCUAAUAUUAUAUGAUAAGUAUUUUGCCUAUGAAAAUCCUCAUAUUGAUAUGUUUGUAGACAUGACAUGAAAGUAUAAAUGUGUUAUUACCCCGCCAUCGAUAUGCUUUGUGAAAUGAUAUAUAUGCGUAUGUUUGAAUGAUAGCGAACUAAGAGGGCUUGUAGAGAACUGUUAGCAUUGUAUACUUUCUUUCUGGUUCCAUGAGUAUGUUUGGAACCCUAGAUUUCUAUCUUUCGUUCUAAUUUCAUGAAUUCUAAAACCCAUGUGAAUACCUUCAUUCUAGGUUUUCCAUGAAUAUGUCUAGGCCUAGAAUUCUUUGUGUAACUAUGAGCAUGUCUGGGACAAAAGCUUUACUUGGAUUUGCCAUGAGUAUGUCUGGAAUUCAGUAUGUAUAUGUUUUUUUUUCUAGUUCCAUGAGUAUGUCUGGAAUCUUGUAAUUGUUUCUGUUAUUCUUGUAAUUGUUUCUGUUAUCUGAUUCCUUUGAGUAGGUCUGGAUUAUGGAACUUCAUGAAAUGUCCUGUUAGUUUAUUAUAUGUAUGAAAAGUGGGUUGAAUGCCUAUGUGGAUUCAAUCAAGAUAUGUGAAUAAGGUUUUUUCUUAUAUACAAAAGAUUGCGAAGUGAUGUUUUUUUUUUUUUUCAACUGAGAUCGAAUGACUUCUAAAUCACAUAUGUCGUAUUACUAUCACUCACACGAUCGCGAGCUUCAUAACUUAUUCAGGUUUUUGCUUUGCCCGGUGCACCAUUCCCAAGGUGUAGGGCUAUUUCUUGUAGAGUACAGGUAGUGGUUAGAGAAAGAGGAUUUCAAGGGUUGUAUUUCUUUAUUGUAAUUUCGUUUCCGCUAUCUGGUGUAUAUUAUUAUUAUGUAUGAGUACCAUUUGACUUUAUUUAUUAUUGUACUGCAAUUUUUUGCUCCCAUAUGUCUAUUCCGGGUGUAUCUUGAAAUCGGGGCGUGACAUUCAUAUUAUAGACGGUUGAAUCUUGGGAAACAGAUGUCUUCCAAAUUACAACAUAAGAGUAGAGACAAAUUCUGUUUUUAAGACAUUGCAUUCGUGCAAGCCUCAAUCUCUAAGUUUAUUAGUUUUCUUCAACUUUACUCAUUUAUCUUGUUGUUGAUAUAUUUAUAAGUUUGUCGUUAUAACAUAUAUUCACUGUUGUAAUACUUCUUCGUUUGGAUAACGUAUGCUAUCAAGUUUCGAGUUUUCUUAUAACGACAUAUAAGGUUGUUCAUAUUCUUCUUUAAUUAAUAAAUCUUAUUAAUCAUAUUUUUCUGAUAGUAGUAUCUUUAGUAAACAAAUAAAACAAUCCUAAUUUAUAGCAGAAAGUUGGUGUCCCUUUUGAAAAACAAAGUUGUUCUCAUUUUCACUCCUUGUGGCUGCCAUUUAACCCUUCCUUACUGUGCUAACUUUGAACGUCUGCGCAAUGCAUCUUUUUGUACGGCACAAAUGGUUCAACCUUUUUUCCCACUGUUAGAGCCUAUGAAAAGGGACCAAAUCGAUACUAUUUAUUAUAUUUGUAUCAUGCUACUGAAAAACACAUGGAGCGCAUUUUGGGUCCAUUCCCUAUGCCAAGGACAAGGAGUAGGCCAAGUUGAGGAUCACAUUGAUAUGAAUAAUUUGACUGCAAAAACUACACGAAAAGCUUUUCUCAAAUGGCUAGAUUGUGUCUGAUUGUGCGUGGUUUGAAUAUAUUCAGGUACUUAUUUAGGGUUUAAGUGAUUUGAAUCCAUUCACAAUGAAGUGGAUGGUAAUCAAAAUCAAGACUUCUUGUAAAUUAAUGAGGCCUUGGUACCAUAUUAGCGACCAAAAACCUAACCCUGUCGGAAAUGGACCCAAAAUUCUUAUUAAGCUUAUAACUUUUAUACAACAUCGGGCUUACAUAUGUUACUGUGGCUACCACCUUUGGUAAAAUUAUGUAACUUGCACAAGUAAAAUCAACAUAAAGCUGCCAAUGACACCUUAGUGCAACAGAGAAAAUGUUCAUGCUUUACUGAGAAAGAGAGAAAACUAUAAAACUGUGACACUGAGUAAAAAAGCUCACGCUUUGAUUGAGACGACUGCAUGAAUUAAGUUCAAAUAUGUGUGGUCUUAUAUGACGCUUCAAGACUUCAAGUUAAAAUAGAAAACAAAUCAUUUACAUUUUCUGAGUAGUCUGAAGUUUGUGGCAAUGCAUGUUUCAUGCAUGGCUUGUGAAUGACUGAUAGUCGACGUGAGGUUAGGAGGGUAGGCGGCCCAAACACCUUUAUGAUUGGUUCUCUUGGGUUGAAUUAAAAAUUAGGUUUGUCUGAGCCCAAACUUAAUUAUUUUUCUUAAUUAAGCCUGGGUUUAAACUUUAAAAGCUUGACCCUUUAGCUCUUGUAGAUUAACGGGAAACAGUUAUUAACUAUAAAAAAGUUAUUAUGCACUUUUUUUUUAGUGGUAAGAUAGAGGAGAAAACGGUGCAUGCAUAAUGGCCUUUUGCUCUUCAAAAUUAUGGUACUGCUGUUAAAAUUAAGCAAAAAACAAUAAAGUUGUAUAAAUGUUAAGUUAAAAAUGUAUUACGAUUUAGUGAUAUUCAUCUUCACUUGUAAGUGAGAGGUUUUAGGUUCGAUUCUCGUUAAAGGCAAAUUUGAACACAUUAUCACAAGCUCAUUGUGAGGCUGAGCCACUUCCUCCCCUUUAGUAUAGAUAAUAUCGUUUGCUUAAAAAAGAAGAAGACAUUGAAUGGGUUGACAAUGGUGGAUUAGAUUGAAAGAGAACACUGAGGGGAAGGGUUACAAUAUAUUGUUAUCAAAAUCAGAGUACUCUUCUGCUUGAGUUCCAAUCAUCUUCCUUAAACUAAAUUCAAAAAGAAAAUGUGAGACCUAAAUUUGAUGGUUGAUGAUUGUUGUUCAAAUUCGUCACAUACCUAACACAAAACUGUAAAGUGCUGCAUCAGCACAGGGCCUACUGAGACAGCCUAAUAAACUUCAGUUUAUAAGCCUCGUAGGAUAAGAGACAUACUGAUUAAGGCACAUCCUUCUUAGCUUUUUUUAGGCCAAUAAAGCUUAUUCUUACCCUACUCGAUUUCGUUUUCAUGUCUAAGAGCCAAUAUAGGUUUUCCUUUACUUAGGAAACCUUUUAUAGAACCACCAUAGGGCACAGCUUGAGCAAUACAUCCACCUAACUUUUUGGACGCUCUAAUCAUAUAGUUUUCUCAAUAUAUAUGUGUUUCAUCUGCAUUAUUCUCUUAGUAAUACCUAAUAGUGCUAAAGAAAUAACAUUUUUGUGUCAAAUUUAAAUACUACGUACAUGAUGUUGUAAGUAAUACAUACAGCCAAUAUUCAAGGAAUCAAAUUAUUAAUCAUGGCAUGUACAUAUUUCUACUGUGUCCAUCAUAUGGCAUUAUUUUCUUUUUUAUUUAUUUAUUGAAAUUCGGCUAAUUAAUCAAGUGAGGGCAGAGCUAAAACUGUGCCAUAAAUUUCCUCAAAUUGGAGAAAUUCGGUUAAGAGAAAAGACCACACCACACUUUGAUAAAAGUACAAUGCUAAUUAUCCAAAUUGUACAUCAAUGUUAAGAAAAGGGCUUAAUCAAUCUGGUUCCUCUAUGAUUCACGUAACGAAGUUUGUAAUCUUGAGCACAACCUUAUUAUUCUGCAAGCCAAUGUAGUAUUCAAAUAUGGUACAAAAAAAGUGGUCUCCCUUGUUAUUAUUAUUGUUUCUUUAUUUUUAGUUAACCAAUUUAAUUGACAAGUCAACAUUAAUUCAACACAAAAGUACAUAAUUUGUAAAAGAAUUUAGUGAUGCUCGCUUACUCAGUUUCCAUCUUGUACAUGAAUUUUCAGUUCAAAUCUGAAAUUAAUAAUUAACACAAAAAGCCGAGCCAACAAAAUUAAUGUUAUAUUUCCUUGCACCGAAUAUCGACCAAGUAGGGUUUUGAUUCUGAAAAAAAAAACAAGCAAACCAAAGACGAGGUACAAGUGACACCAUUACAAAGGGCCCUCUAAAACUGUAAUUUGAGGCCACAAAAAGAGAAAGACCGUUGUUGGCAUCUAGAAAAGACAAAGGGGCUAAACAUGGAGACAAAGUUUCCACACACAACUUGAGAGGUAGAGAGGGCUUUCGCAGACUUUAAGAAAAGGGGGAAGCUAUCAGAAUCAGAUGGCCUCUUUUCCAUAAGGUCACUGUCCUCUAUUCCAAUUCCUAAUUCCCUCCCUCCUCUUUUUCUUUCCCGUAUGAGUAAAUUUUUUGCAUGAAAGUAAGGGAAAUCGCGGAUCCAAAAGACCAUCAAUCUAUACAUAGAUAUAGAUAUUAGAUCAGACAAGACCAAUGUGUAGUCAUUGUAUUGAUCAUCACUCACCCCAUAGUCUCUUUGUGCUUUUGUGCUUUUUUAGGGUUUUAUCAUUUGAAAGUGAUGAGAUUGAGGGAUCCAAGGAGAAGGGUACUUUCGUUCAUGUGCUCUGUUGCUGUUAUGCUGAAGAAAGGAAGGGGGGCUACCACUCCCAGUCUCCCACCAUGGUACCAUGACCAAUUGACCAUGCAUAUUGCUUUGUAGUUUUAUCUAGGGUUUUUUGUUUGUUUGGUUUUAUUUUUGUUUUUGGUGUGAUGAUCUUUCAUGGAAGACUUGGUCAAAAAGUGAAGGCCAAGCACACGCGAAUAAACCAGAGAAUGCGGGUGCAUGAUGAUUAGAUUUUGGAGACGAUGAAUGAUGAUGCUUUCGAUGAUUGUUGGGUCGUUUUCCAAAAGCAUAUAGUUCUUACAAAUGUUAGAAGAUUCUUUCAAAGUGAGACUUUUCAUAGGUUCUCCGUUAACUCAUGUUUUUUAUUCAAUAUUUUAUAAUAUUGGCAUGGAAUUUGUGCCAAAAACAUGAGGGGUCAAUGAGUUCAUAGAGAGUACCACUUUUGAGAGAAUCUCCUUAGCAUUUCUUAUAGUUCAUACACAUACUCCAUCUCUACGCAUGCUUCUGUAAGAGUACUAUUGUUUGAAUGCACGUAUAGCACACACUGAUUUUGAAAAGUAAAAUUAAUAAUAAUUUAAAUGAUAUUGUUCUUCCAUCGAUCAAGAAUUCAGAUUUUUGGAAAGUAUCAUGAUCGUCCAAUGAGAAUGGUUUCAAUUUUUUCAAAUGACCGAUUAGAAGAUAACAUAAUAUACUGAGUUUCACAUUAGUCAACAAGUUACACGUUAACAUACGCAUGCACAAUUGUACCUAACAAAAAAUAAUGUACUAAGUUUCACAUUAGUCAACAACUUACGCGUUAACCUACGCAUGCACAAUUGUACCUAAUAAAAAGUUAUUGGACCUAAGGUCCAUGGCACAAUUUCAAGGCCACGGACAAAUAACUCUAUCAUUAAUACUAAUCAGUAUAAGACAAAUCUCAUUCUUGUGUUGAGUCAUUGCUUCCAAAAUACUUAGUACAAGAGAGCGUUAUAAUGAAGAACCAAGGAAAAUGGGGUGGUUGUUUUCUUGGAGUCAUCCCACUUGCCACUGGCCCAUAAAUUCAUCCUGGCAUUGAAAAUCAGGUUGCGCUUCGUUGUCUGGUUCAACCUGCUUCACCCAGCCCAAAUGUAGCUCAUGUCAAUUUAAUUAAAGGAAAACUAAUGAAAAAGGUUUGAAAACUUUGAGUUUUAAUGAUAAGGACAAAAUAAAGGGUAAAGUGAAUAGUACCAGGAUUGACUUUUUAGUGUAAAAAUGUGGUUUUUCGUUAAAGUAAACAGUACCGGGUGCUUUUCGUUAAAGUUCCCUUUAAUUAAUGCCUAAUCAUGGACAUGACUAUUUGAUGAACUCUUUUGAAAAUGCUUUUAAAAUCACUAAAACAUUUCUGGUGAAAUUGAUUUGGGUUUCAAAAGCAAUUUAAAUGUUUUUUGGAAGAAGUGCCAGAUAUGUAGCUUCUUGCAUGAAGAAAUUAAAGUACUUUUCCAGGAUAUACUUGAAUUUUUACCGAGGAUUGGUUUUAAAAACAUUUUUACCAAAAGUGGUUUCAGUCAUUUUGAAAACACUUAUAAACGAGCUCAUAAUCAUUGCAACAAAAAAACGUGGUGUAGUUAUUAUUUUUUUGGUCGAAAAAUUAACAUUCAUUAAAUUGAAAGAAGGAUUACACGAAGCCAAUCCAAAGGAAGUAAAAACCCAACACAUAUUGGGAAAUCCAAAUAUAUAAAGAGCCCAACCCAAUAAGCACAAAUACUAAAAAUUGAAAGAACCCUAAUUCUUAUCCCCAAAACACAAAAUUCAAUUACCGUUGCCACCACAAAUGCCUUGCCAGCAUCCACCAAGGUAGCCACACUGGAGAAAAUGAUCGAGUGAUCACUUCAACCAAGACAUCGUAGCACAAAAGUUACAAACCCGCAACCAAAAGUACACCACAACCAAAAUUCAUCACUAGGAAUGUUGAUCUAAGAGAUAGCCACCAGAUCCAAAUCACCUUCAUCAACCCUUACAAAUAUAUACAAAUGUAGUAACAAAUGGACAAGGGGUAAGGCUAACAGGAAGGGGCGACACAUAGAAAAGGGACGACGCAUAGAAGAGAAUGGUGGAAAACUAAAGACAAUAAAAUAGCAAAAGUCGACAAUAAAUACCAAGGAAGAGGCGAAGAACGCCGAGGGUUCAUGCCACCGACUCUCAAAACAGCAACGGGAGGAGGCGAUUGAGGGUUGAGCAUGGGAGGGUGAUAACUAUUUAGAGAUAAAAGGGCUAGAGAAGGUAGCAGGGAAGGAAGUGCAGUAAAAGGAAGGGGCGGAUGAGAAUGCACUACAACAAAAUAGCUGCUUGGCAAGGACUUUUGUCCUCAUUGAAAGUUGUUGUUUUGUCACUGAAGGUUUUCAGCGAGGAAAAAAUUCCUCGCUCGUUCCUCAUAGUAGGCCCGUCGGGAAAUGUGUACAAUGAGGAAUUGUUUCCUCACAUAAAUGAUACAGCGAGAGUGGAACUUUUUCUAGUAGUUGAGUUGGAGCGGUGACAAAUUCCUCGCUAAAAGGGUUAGAAAGUGGUCGCCAAAACCUUUUGACAACCUAAAUAUUGAUAUUCCAUAACUUGUGCGAGGAUAAAAUUCCUCGCAAAAAUAAUCAAAUUCCUCGUAAAUAUCUUUUGGCGAGGAAUUUGUAGGUGAGUUUUCAGCGAUGAACAUAUUAUUUCUCGCUACAGAUCAUAUGUUGCAAGAAUGAAUUUCCUCAUUGAUAAGUAUCUAGGAGACACUCAUUUCUUCGCUGUAACAAGUCUAUAGCGAGAACUUUAACGAAGGUAAAAUUCCACGCUGUAAGUGGAAGAUAAUUAUUCUCAUAAGUAACCUAUUGCGAGAAGUUGGUUCUCCCUGUAACUGAAAUUUAGUGCCAAUAAUUAAUGAUCAAAAGUACUAUUAGUCCAAAACCAAAAUAGCUUCAAUGAUAAUUCAUAGUCUACAAAAUCAAUUAAUGUUAACUAUGAAAGCUCACAUUUUUUUCACAAAAAAUUCACAUAUUCCAGCAAAACAAAAGGACUACUUAUAGAGGUAGUUGCUGCCCUUCCAUUAUUUUGUGUAGGAGUUCCUCAAAUUUCUUUUGGUUCUCCUUCAAUGCUUGGAUAUCUUGUUUUGCUUCACCAAGCUCUUGUUUUGUUUCAACGAGCUCUUGUUUUGUUGUCACAAGCUCUUGUUGUUGAGUCUCAAGUUUUUCUUCUAAAUGUUUGUCCAACAUAGUGUCUUCAAGAGAGACAGACUUUGAAGGACCUUUGAAUUACCUAGACUUGUGACCAAGAACCCUUAGAACAAUUUCAUCAUUUGUCAACGUCACAGUACCAUUUGGAAGAGUUGUUUCGUUUUUAUACUUAGCAUCUCUUCCUACAAAUGAAAAAUAAACUAAUGAAAAUUAAACUAUCAUGCUUAGCUCUUUCAUGUACACAAACAUAAAAUCUAUCACAUUUGGUUCCUUCAUAUAUAUAUAUAUAUAUAUCAUAAACAGAAAAGCUUCAUAGAAAAUAUACACAACCAGCAUAUACAUAACUAACUUAACCACUUCAGUUUAGCUCCUUCAUCCCAACCAUUUUUGGUGUUUUAAUGUACAACCUCAAAGUAAUCAAUUGCACAUAGUUGCUCUCCGGCUUUAGCUUCCUAAUACAUGGAUCACAUUAAAGUUAAUAACUUAUUAUCCACCUAGAAUCUAGAUUAAAAUUAUGAAAAACACAUCUUACAAUAUCUUCUUCAUGGGCCUUAAAAGAGUUUGACCCUCAUUUAUGAUUGUAAGUCAAAUGAGACCUAUUAAUUGCAUUUUUAUUUGAGCGUUCCUACAUAGCAAAAUAAAUUUGGUGACAUGAAAAAGAUAAACAUCACAUAUGACAACCACAAUUCAGUUCAUUAAUAUACACGUGGACCUUGAAACAUAGUUUUUCUUUGCAGAAAACAUAAGUUCCCUGCGACUUAGAACACAAACUCUUCUAAUUAUAACUUCAUAAUACUUCCAUACAAUCCCAAAAUCAUAUCUAUAACUUUGAUUUCAAUUAUAGUCACAAUUAACAAAAAUUGACUUUUUAAGCCAAACCCUAAAACAUGAUGUUUUGAUCAACACACCCAAUGUAUAAAAUUAAAAGUAAUAAGAAAGAUUGAUACAAAGAAGCUAUGGAAAUAACAAAGAAAUCUGGGAAUUUUUACCCUUGUUGCAGGUCGACAAAGGGAACCAUCAUUUUGUGAUGACAUGCUGCAGCCUUGGCAACAUUCUUGUUAGAGUUUGAUUCCUUUUUCUCUCUGCCUUCUUUAUGUCCUCUCUGCUUUUCUUGAAAUUCCACUGAAAAGAAAGCUUCACAGAAAACUCCAACAAUUCCUGAAUAAGACUUACUAAGAAAAGCAUUGAUGUGAACAAUUAUAAUUAAAAACAAUAAUAAUCUAAACCAAAGAAAGCUUUAACCAGAAAACCAUUAAAACCAUGUACAUUAGUCCACCAAGCUUGUGCUAUUCGUGAUAUUAUAGGUAACCAAGCAAUCUUCCAAACCAACCCCAUUGCUACUCGGCUUUUGCUGAGUUUUCUUCUUUCUUGAAAAUGAUCUCUUCGUUGCAACUGGACUCAUAACGCAAUGCAGGAGUACUCGUCAUUCAUGCGAAUAAAAUCUGCAACUAAAACACGGUUCCCACGUGAAUCGUCCAUGGAAACCGACCUUCUAACUUCUUAAUGAUAUCCCUCAUGGUCUCUUCCAAUCUUAAUGAUGGUACUCUCUCUCCCUUAUGCAUUUUCCAAAUCACUGGAAGCACGUACCAAUGAUGUCUUCGGAAUAACAUGAUCUCCAUGAAUUACAUCCACAUUUUGAGAAUAACUCCUUUAUGAAUCUUGUGCCGUUACCACAUUUUCAUUUGCUCCGUGGCACCAAUUCCAAGACAAAGUUCAUGGAAGCAGCCCACGGAUAUAAGGCAGCUGAAGAAUUCACAUGUUGGUAAUAGCAAGCCAGCUUUGAUCACUCAAAGCUCCAUGAAUUCCAAAUCUAGAAACAAGAAACUUCUUCCUGAGAAGAAUUGUUAAUAAUCAUGCAUGUACGCAUGCCCUGUAUAUAUAGUUCCACAAUUGUCCAAUUCAUUAGCAAGCCAUUAAUUACCUAUACAUACAUGACGUUUUGGAAGGAGAGUUUAAUAACAAGUCUACUUGUAUAUGAAACUUGCCAGUAACACCACAAGAUAAAAAUUACCUAAACACUACAUGUAGAAGCCAUGGAUGACUUCACAAGUGAGAACUUCUAUAAAGAUCUUACCACCAAAUUUCUUCCUUUUCUUUUCCUUUGUUUUUUUAUAGAAUUUGCCUAAUUUUGUGUCUUUUCAACCAAGAUGCACGCCACAAGCAGGUUCUCUAAGUAGAUAUUGGGUUUCAUAAGUUUGGUGACCUAAUCAUCUUUUUACUUGUACUUGCAUAUAUAAACAAUCAAGAAACUUUACAGGAACUUGUAAUUAGGAAUUAGGCAACAAGAUAUCAAGGCAACCAUGAAUUAAAAUAACCGAAUCCAAUACUACAAUGAAUCAAUGCAUCGAGAUAAUAAACAGAGAAAGCCAUCACACGAGGCCAAAGUAUUUUGAGGCAUAAUGAUUUCAAGUAACAAAACUAAAGCAACCAAGAACCAAGAAAUCAAAAUAGUCAUAAACAAAUGCCUCAAAAUAAUCAAUGAAACCAUCAUUAACCAAGGCAGCCAUGAAUUAGGGAAUUAAGAUCUGUCAUGAAUCAAGACAACAAUCACUGAUGCUAAUAGUAGGGGCUAGGUUGAAGCAAUUUUCUUCCCCGUACAACAAAUAUUCCCAGUAAGUGAUAUAGGUAUAAAUCUUCACUUUUUGAACAUCGUUAGCAUCCGAAACCGAAUUAGACCCAUCAGUGUUAUCAAUGGAACCAUUUGAAUUAUCUGAUGUUAACGAAGUCUUGGGAUUUUUACCUUAUAGAAGAAGUUGCGGACUUCGGUGUGCAAUUGGUGUGGUUGUGGUGUGUAUCAGAAGAUUAGUGAAUUUUGAGGGGUUUGUUGCUACAGAUGAGGGGAGGACAUGUUCAAAACUCGCCGGGUUUGCUUCUAAUUUCGAAAAGGUGGAAUUGGGCUAGGGUUUGCAGAGGUGGAGGCGUGUGGAAAUUUUUGGAUGAAGUCUCAGAAAGAGAAAUUGAGAAGAUUUUGAUGAAUGCAACUCUGAGAUUUUGAGAACAAAAUUUAGGGUGGAGGUUAGGGUUUUGUUUCUGGAGAGGAAGGGCAGAGUUGUGAGAGCAAUUCCACCCCUACGGACUUUGCGCCAGCACCCAGCGCAUUUAUCCACUCAAGUGAACAGUAAUAGACUGGAGUGAAUAGUAAUAGACCAAGGCAUCUCCACCCCUAAAAAAAUGUGUUGGCACCCAGCGCAUUUAUUUGGUGUGUUUAUUUUUUUAAAGUUUAUUUCGGAUAAGAUUUUUAACCAAUUUCGGAUAAAAUUUCAAAUAAACUUAAAAAAAAUACACACUAAAAUAAAAUUACAUACUCAUCAAAUAAACUAUAAAAAACACACUAACUAAAAUGAAAUUACAUAAACUCAUCAAAUACACUUUAUUCUUCAACCACAAGCUUUUUGGUAUUUUUUUUCACACAAAAAGUAUAUGAAAGCUUUGGUAGAAAGUGUAGAAAAUAUUGAAAUGUGGUGUAAGGUGGAAGAUGAGGGUUAGGUAUAUUUAUAGAAUUUUUUUCUUUUUUUUUAACUUUUCUGUAUUUUUAAUAAUUUUUCUGUAUUUUUUUAAAAUUUUAAUUUAGUUAAUUAACGUGGACUGUUGAUCUGUGAUCGGACGGUCCAUUUUAAAAGUCAAAUUUAAAUUUUUUUACCGUUGGAAAUCAACGUCUUGGAAAUCCAACGGUCUACAAAAAUAGCCGUUGGAAAUCCAACGGCACUGAGGAGGGCCACGUAGCCCUAUUCCGAGUGAACACAAGUGGGCUAACAAGCGGGCCCUGCCGCCUGCAACCCUGUCUGCUACUCGCGCACAGGCGCGAUUCUGCUGCACGCGCCAGCCAAUAGGCCGGCCUCUGGGUCUGUCCGAAAUGGGCUGGCCUGUUGCCUGGCAUAGGCUGGGGGCUGGGACAUUUUGUGGGCUGGAGCAAAUUCACUGAGGGCUGGCUUGUUUUUUGGACUGAGGGCUGGGACAUUUUGUUCCCGGUGGAGUUGCUCUGAGAGACAUGAAAAUGAGGGGAGAGGGCUAAACGGCCUUGAGCGCUUUCUUUGGAAAUAGAGAGUUAAGUUAUCGGGCACCAUGCCAAAAUUUUGGCAGCCCUCCAAAAUUUUUGUCUCCCGCCUCCUCCAUUUUUUUUUUUACUUAUUAAUGAUUCUAUUCUAUUUUAUUUUUUGGUCAAAAUGUAUGACUCUAUUUGAAUCUAUCAUUUUAACGGGAUAUACAUUGUAUGAAAUAAAUCUCAACGAUCCAAUGGUUAAACUUGUUUGUAUAUGCUCCAAGAUCGCAUACAUAAAAAAUCACAAAAAACUAACAUUCAGACAUUAGGUAACGGGACGAAACCUUUCAACGAUUAUAAAAAAAACUAACGAGUUUAACAGUUAUUUUAAAUCUGAUUUUAAUGAUUUUUUACAAAUACACUCCUCAACCCUAUAAGAGUACAAUGAACGAAUUUGAUCUUCAAUUUAAAAUAUUUUCACUAGUGGAUACCACAAAUUAUUAUCUUCUACUUAAUGGAAGUAUAAAAUAAAUUCCAAGGGUUUGUUGAAUCUAUCAUUUUGAAGGGAUACACAUUCUACAAAACAAGUUUCAACGAUCCAACCGUCAAACUUGUUUGUAUAUCCUCCAAGAUUGCAUACGUAAAAAAUCGCAAAAAAACUGACAUUCAAAUAUUAGGUAACGGGACGAAACCUUUCAAUGGUUAUAAACAAAAACUAGUGAUUUAACGGUUAUUUUAUCUGAUUUUGAUGAUUUUUUACAAAUACACUCCUCAACUAUAUAAGAGUAUGAUGAAAGAAUUCGAUCUUCAAUUUAAAAUAUUUGCACUAGUGGAUACCACAAAUUAUUAUGUUCUACUUAAUGGAAGUAUAAAAUAAACUCCAAGGGUUUGUUGAAUCUGUCAUUUUGAAGGGAUACAAAUUCUACAAAACUAGUUUCAACUAUCCAACUAUCAAACUUGUUUGUAUAUGCUCCAAGAUCGCAUACGUAAAAAAUCGUAAAAAACUAACAUUUAGAUAUUAGGUAAUAGGAUGAAACCUUUCUAUGGUUAUAAACGAAAACUAAUGAUUUAACAAUUAUUUUAACUCUAAUUUUGAUAGAAUUGACAUGGUAAAUGAACUAUUUUGUUAUAGUGUAUUUGAAACUUUUGGAAAAUUAGUGGGAAUGCUACAGCGAGAACCUACUUUCCUCACUAAAAAUUAUGUUCAGCGAGAAAAACAAUAAUUUCCUCGCUAAUAUUUGGGCGGGAAGGGAAUAUAAUUCCCGCUAAACCUAGCGCGAGAUGAACAAUUUUUGCUCGCUAGCAUUAUGUAUAGCAACAAAACAAUUUUCUUGUCGAAAUAAUUUUUUCCUCGCUAUUUCUUAGAGAUGUAAGGAGACCAAAUGAGCUCACUUUUUGUGAGAACUCAAAAUUUUCCUUGCCGAAAGUAACUCUACAACGUGAAAGAUAAUGUUCUAGCUAAAACGUUUCUCGCUAAAGGACCAAUUUGUUGUAGUGAUGGAGGAGGGCUAAAGGGAGAGGUAGUGGACUGCCACUGACCCCAAGUAGAAGCAAGGGGUGGCGACUGUGUUGUUCUCAAAUAUAUUGUUAGAGCACUUCCAUUGUAGGAAGGGCACUUAUGGCAAUUGAAUCCCCUCCACUGAAUAGUAAUUGCCUUUUGUAUAUCCACCCCUAAAUUGAAUAGUCAUGACAAUAGACAAUAAACUAUUAGUAUUUUUUAUUUUAUAAUAUAAUAAAAAAUAGUUUUAUUUGUAAUUUUGGAUAGGAUUUUUAACCAGUCUCCUUACUCCACGUGUCAUUAUCCGAAAGUACAACUUUUGGUGAUAGAUUUUGAUAAGAUUGUUAUCCAAUUCCGUCGCGCCACGCGUAAUUACCUUUAUAGAAUCGUUGAAAAUAUUGAAAUAUGGUGUAAGGUGUGAGAAAAUGGUAAGGUAUUUAUAAAUAAAAAAAAAUCAUUUUUUUUAAAAUCUGAUUUUUAAUUGGUUUUAAAAAAAUUAUUAACUUAAUUAAUCUAGACCGUCGUCUAAAAAUUUGCCCGAGACCCACCCCAAGAGCCUGAUGUAAAAUUUUUUAUAACAUGGCUGACGUCAGCCCUUGCAUCACUCCCCCUUAGGCCAUCUCCAACCGAAGGCUGGCCAGAUGGCUCGUUUGAGCCCUCUAGCCCUCCAAGAUUCCCCAAGAUAUUAAUAUUUUAAUGAACAGUACAGGGCCAUAUUUGCCUCCGUCUCCAACCGAGGGCCAAAGGGCCAUAGGGCCAAACAUAAUUUAUUAUUUAAAAACUACAAUUUAAUGUUGUAUAAAUGGCCUAGGAAGUUAUACAAAAAAAAUAGAAUUGAAAAAAAAUAUGAAACAAAUUUUGUGAAAUAAAAGUUAUAGGAAAAAAAAUAUGAAACAAAAUUUGAUUCAUAUGAAACAAAAAAACAAUGAAAAGGAAAAAAAAGAAAGUUUACAUUCAUUAAAAAAAAAAAAAAAAAGGAGUUUAAAUUCAUUAAAAAAAAAAGAAAAAAAAAGAGGCCUAAUAAUACAACGGCUACUAGCCGUUAUAUUCAAAAACAUUUCAAACUAUUAGUGUCGGUUAUAACCGACACUAAUAGUAGAACUAUUAAAAAAAAAAGAAUAUCUUUAAUGUUGUCGGCUAUAACCGACAGCAAUAGGAAAUCAUUAAAAAAAAAAUAGCCAGCCCUCCAGCCCUCUCCGAUCCCGUGGGGCCCUCCCAGAUUCCAGAGCCCUCUGACCUAGCCCUCGGCUGGAUACGGUUUUAGGGCUAUUUUCGACCCUCUGGCCCUCUGGACCCUUCGGUUGGAGAUGGUCUUAGGCACUCUAGCCUUGGACUUCCACCUGCCCUCUCUCACGGACUCCCCCUUAGCCCAAUUGCCCGAAUGGGCUAGAGCUAGUUUGGGAGGGGAUUGGGUUGCAAAUGUUCCAUGUCCACCGGGCUAAAGAGCAUGUUGAAAGUGCUCUCAGAGGGGUGGCAAUGGCUUCUGAUUUUUUAAUUUUUUUUUUAGAGAGAGUUUUUGCUCUAGGAGUUUCAAGUAAGUGAGAGAGACUUUCAAACACAGGAUUAUGUGAUAUUUAAUCUUUACUUGAUUGGAGGACGUCUUGAGCAUCUUGAGUUGAAACCGGACCACUGAAAACAAAAUCGAACCAAAAGAUUUUGGUUUUUUUUUAUUUUUAAUUUGGUUCUUUUUUUUUAUUUUUCAGUUCAGUUUUUUCAAUUUUAAUCCGAUGUUCGGUUCGGUUUGAUUUUUCUUCAGUUUUUCGAUCCCAGCCCUGCUUUCAAAGUAUUCUUCAUAAUUUUGUGAAGUAGGCAACCUUUUAGGUUUUUUCACGUAACUAUAAAAUGGGAGCAAAUUACAAAACACCAGAUAAGCCCCCACUCCAACCGCCAACUUAAUUUCAAAUUUAAUGCAAAGUCCAAAUCCUCACUCCUUCGACUUCCUCGCCAUCACACACUCACUUCCUUUACAUUCUGGCCACAUUUCUUCUCGCCCCCCUCCACCCACAUUUCCAAGAAAAAACGUCAUUUUCCUUCUCAGCUAACAUAGUUUCUUCUUUAACCAAACCUAUAUGAUUUAUCCAUUCGUCCACCGGCAACUUUCUCAACCAAAACCUCCAUCCACCCAUCAAACAGUCAAAACCCCUUCCUCUUUCCCCACAUUUUCCCGGUACGCAGUCAACCAUCCGUUAGGUUAAAACAUUGAAAACGAAGAACCUACUGAGCCAUUUCCCCAAAGACCUUUCAGAGACAUACACACACACACGUACGGACACAUGAAUGGUCGUCUUAGCAAGCUCGGGACUGCGCUCACUGUAGUGUUUGCGGUCACUCUCGCUGCCCUCGUAGCGCAGCUCUUCUUCCUCCUCUGGCGGCGAAGGAAGUCCCGGUUUCCGACCCGCAUCGGACCCCACGAAGCUCAUCAUAGCAACCAACCACCUAGCUCACUGCACCGCAACAUCGACGUGGACGUGGACGAGGCGUUCAAGUGGCAGCAGGGACUGUACGGCGUGUCGUCGAGGGUGCUGUUCACGAUCGCGGAGGAGGAAGAGAGAGAGGGUCUGGACUCGGAGACGCCUACAACGACGUAUUCAUCUUGUGCGGAGAAAGAGGCGAUGACGGCGACGAAGGUGGUACUGGAUGUAGCUGUGACUGUGACAGUAGAGGUGGAGGAGGAAACGCCGCCGUUCACGACUCCUUGUGCUUCGCCUCCGUACUAUACUCCUUCGCCUUCUCCUAGUCGUGAUUUUGUAGUCUGAACUGUUAAGAAAGUUCUUUUCUCCAUGAUCCAUCAGUGAUCUGAAAUUGGAUUGUCGGGUCAAAGCAGGAUCGGGUUUGACAGUCCAAUAGUUCAUUAAUGUGGUUGCAACGGUAGCAUUGUAGUUGGGUGAUCAUUGAUGGCUGUUGCUUUUCGUAUAACAAUGGCUGGAAAGCAAAAGUGGGGAACUGCAUAUGCAGAUUUUAUAAAGACUUAGUACUAGACGUUGGAGUAAAUGUGUGUAGUUUUUGUAGCACGGUAGCACCUCAUUUCAACUCUACUCUUUUUUAUCUUUUUCUUCUAUUUUUAUGUGGAAACUGUUAACUACGCUUCAAAAAACAUCUUUCUUAGAGAAAGUUUGCAAUGUAUUCUAAAGACGAGCUGAUAUAUCACAUAUUUUAUUAUAAAUAAAAGGACACUGAAAAAAUCGUCCUCUCUUUGGUAAUAUUAUAGUAUAUGGAAGCUGUUAAUGAUCCUUAAAAAAUCUUUUUCAAUAAAUUUUUCAGUAUAUUCGAAUACAAACUAAUACAUUACAUGUCAUAACGUAAGUAAAAAAUCACUAUAUUUACACUCUGCUUAUAUAAUAGUACAUGUAAAAAUCCUCCUCUCUCUGCUAAAGUCAUAUUAGCAUAUGAAAAAAGUCCCGUUUGUUCCUCAUUCUCAUGUAUCAGGGUAAAAAAAUCCUAGUUACAUAUAAAAGAAAAAUCUUUUCACAACCUUUGCAGACUACCCAUUGGGCUUUGGAUCGGUGACCCUAACCUUUUUUUUUUUUUAGAGUGUCAAAAAUACAAUAUGGUAUACUAAGUGUUAUAAUACAAGUAAUUGAAAUAUUUUUUUUCAAGUAUUCAACCACUUGUAUUAUAACAUUUGGUGUACCGGGCCAUAUUCCUAGCACACUGAAAAUCUCUCCACCUUCCUGUCUUUCCCUCGACUAUAUACUCUUUCCCUUUCUUCAGGCUAUUUUUCAAGUUUCUAUAUGGUUUGGUUUGUGAUAGAGUAAAUUGUAGCAAUGGUCCCUCAACUAAAAAUUCAUUACCAUUGGUCCCUCAACUCAUCAAAAUGUGUAGCUAUGGUCUUUUUUGUCAAUUUCGUCAAAAUUUUGUCAAAAUGAGUUAUGUUGCAAAAACUAUUGCUACAAUUGGGGUCCCUUAACUCAUCAAAAAGUGUAGUUAUGGUCAUUUUCGUCAACUUCAUCAGAAUUUUGUUAAAACAAGUUAUGUUGAAAGGACCAUUGCUAUAAUUGAGUUAAAGUUGAAGAAUCAUUGUUCGAAUUGAGUUAAAGUAGAGGGACCAUUUCUUCAGUUGGAUUAAAGUUGAGGGACCAAUGGUAAUGAAUUUUUAGUUGAGGGACCAUAGUUGCACAUUUUGAUGAGUUGAGGGACCAAUGGUAAUGGAAUUUUAGUUGAUGGACCAUUGCUCUAAUUGAAUUAAAGUUAAAGGACCAUUACUACAAUUUACUGUUUGCAAUAUUGUGGUGCAUUAUGUUUAUACGAUAUUUAGGGCAUCCGUAUUUAGAUCUCGUACAAAUACUCAGGGGACUUAAAUGUAAUUAUGUAAUAAAGGAAGGGGCAAAUAUGUAAUAAGUGAGGAGCUCUUAUUCUAUAAAAUGACUCCUCACCUUCACAAUGAGAGGGGGCCAUUUCUGAAGCCUUCUCACCCCUCUUACAUCCCCUCUCAUAUUCAGAGGUUCUCUCCCUCACCUCUCAGAUAAAUAUAAUUAGUGUGGACGUAGCUCAAACCUUGGGGUGAACCACGAUACAUCUUGUGUUAUUUACAUUUCUUGCAGAUUCAUGGUCGGAUUUACGUUGUUCCAAGACCUCCGGUUUUGUGCAUCAACAUUUGGCGCCGUAUGUGGGAAUCGAUACGAAAAGUUGUGUCGGUUCUUUUUCAUUUUUUCACUUACGCCGUGAAUCUGCAAAAUCUGCAAAAUCCAAGAAACCAAACACCUACAGAAUGGCAGAGGAGGACCCGGAUAUUUAGGGGAUAUAAUGACCCAGAUUUGCAAAUCCACCGAGACAGAACCUCUCUAUCUGUCUCUCUCUCUCCCCCUCGUAUUAGCAUACUGCAGCCACAAACCAGGUACUUCCAUAAUCCUGGGCCGUGACUUCACAAUGGAGACCAAGUAUCAGACCACAGAGGCCGACUCGGGUUCGCUAUCUGCGCAAAGUGCUGCGACUCCAGCUUCACCACCGAGCUCACGAUCGCCGACUCCGCGACUUUGGUACCUGCAACUCACAAUCUCCAAGGGAACCUCCAUCAAGUCCAUUCAAGAAGCCUAAGCCUUCACCAAGAUCCACGACCUAACCGACGUCUCUGCGGUGCUCGAGUUCCUGAGAAAAACUUUUACUAUGCUUUGUUUCCUGUCACCCCACCAAUUCCAAUCAUCAAUUCUCAACUUUCUUCAACGUUUUCAGAUUUGGAAUCGAACCCACGUUCAAUUUUCCAUUUUCUUCGAUCCCCACUUGAAAUUUUCAGCUAAACAUAGAUUUCUCCGAUGAAUUUCAGAUAUCAGAGAGGGAGAGAUAGGGAUGGGAGUGAGAGCUAUGGGGGCACUGCCGAACUUCAUUCGGAGCCUCCAGAAGGAAGCCCACCCGAGACCCGCAAACCUGCAAUCGUUGCCAUUUCCGGAACUGGGUUCUCCAUUUUGUUGAAGAUUCUCAACUAGGUUGGUGUGUUUUGGUGCAAAGCUUGAAGCUUUGGAGGUUUCUACUUCAAUGGAUCCAAUUCAAGCAAGGAGAAGAAUGUCCAAAAGCAUAACACUUUUUCAUCUCUUCUUCCGCCACCUCCCUCCUCGAGACCAAUCUCUAUUCUAUUACCAAUCAGAUUCGCCCUAGCCGCAUAGUUAGAAGCGCUGCUUGAAGAGGAUAUCUCACUGGCUGAUUUUAGUGGCGGCGGGGGGUCGGGGGGGAUAUUUCUCUGCCCACAGCAGUUGCCGAAAGGAAAGAUGUAAGACUUAACCACACGGCUGGCAAUGCUCAUGUGACUCACAUCGUUGCAGACGGUUGGAUGUUAGCGUUCCCCAUGGAUGACGGUGUUUCUUUUCCAAUACCUACUUUAGUACAGGGUGCACAUGCAUGACAGCUCAGAGACAGAAAGAGGUGCAGUAAACGGAGAAAGCAAAACCAUGCUGCAGAGAAAAAGAAAAGGUGCAAAGCAAAAGUUAAAAGGAAAAGAGAAAAGAAGAAAAGCAAAAAUUUUCCGAUGACUACGAUUCAUUUUGUCUGCCAGGUGAAGAGACAGAGAGAAUGGUGGAAAAGCAAAAGCAAAACAGAAAACGAAAGAAAAAGCAAAGCAGAAAACAAAAGCAAAAGCAAAAGCAACGCACCAACGAUCUUUGUUUUUAUAUGAUGUAAUUUAUUUUUCUUGUCUUUCGGAAACAUCUGUAUAAACCCUAUCAGAGGUUAAUAAAAAAAAACAGCAAAGCCCAAGAAAAAAUGGGCUGGAAUGUUGUGUGGAGAGCGAAGGCCCAUAUGCCCAAAAGAGCCAGGCCCUUUUUUUAUCACCAACCAGGCAACCAAAUACGCCCAGUACUACAAAAAAUUAUUCGGCAACUUGCCGCUAUUACCACCAACCAGGUGAUCAAAAGUACGCCCAGUACUCCAAAAUUAUUUGGCAACCCGCCGCUAUUACCACCAACCAGGUGAUGAAAUGUACAACCCAUACUCUAAUAUCAUUUGGCAACUAGCCAUUCAUGCCACCAACCAGGUGAUGAAAUAUAUAACCCAUACUCUCUUUCAUGCCACCAACCAGGUGAUCAAAAGUACGCCCAGUACUCCAGAUUAUACAUGAGCAUUACUCAUGUCAUUCAUACAUAAACAUUUAUGAGCAUCACUCAUAUCAAUCAUACAUAAACAUUCAUGAGCAUCACUCAUGUCAACAUUCAUGUCAACAUCCAUGAGCAUCACUCAUGUCAAUCAACAUAAACAUUCAUGAGCAUCACUCAUGUCAAUCAGCUUCAAAAGCUUCAUUUACAAAAAGCUCUAGCUUCAAAAGCUUCAUUUACAGAGCUCUAGCUUCAAAAGCUUCAUUUAGCUUCAAAAAAGCUUCAUUUACAGAGCUCUAGCUUCAAAAGCUUCAUUUACAAAGCUCCAGCUUCAAAAACUUCACUUGCAAAGCUUCACCUACAAAGCUUCCGUUCAUGGUAUACAAAUAUCGCCUUCGAACAACCGCCACUUCGGCCCAUACAUGGAUUCAAUUUGAAGUGUUCGGCCAACAUACUCUAUUGACUGAAGACUUGGGGGACUACAUUAUGUACCAUAUAUUGGGCCUUAACUAGGCAUCAUGAAAAAAUACUUGGGGGACUUAGCCCAUUAUUUAUGUAUUGAGGAGCAAACCCUUAUUCUAUAAAAGGGACUCCCUCACUUUCAUUAGAGAGCACCCAUCACUUAUGUAUUGAGGAGCGAGCCCUUAUUCUAUAAAAGGGACUCCCUCACCACCAUUAGAGAGCAUCGCCGCCUACUGAGCAACUGCCUCGUUGCGAGUAUCAACUCUAGUUCAUCAUUCAUGUAUUAAGGAGUAGGGCUGGGUUCGGUUCUUAUCGGUUCGGUUUUUUGCCAAAACCGAAACCAAACCGAAAUUUCGGUUCGGUUCGGUUCGGCCCAAAUUUUUUUCGGUUUUUUUCGGUUCGGUUUUUUUUUCGGCUCGGUUUUUUCGGUUCGGUUUCGGUUUUUUUUUCGGUUUUUUUUUUUUUUUUUUUCCUCCAAAAAAUGCAAAACAACCACAACAUUACUUGAGUUAUAUGCCAAGCAUCCAUUUCUUUAUUUGGUUCACAGAGUGCCUAGUAUUUGGGUCAUUGUUCAAAGUAGCCUUUCCUCUAUGGAAAACAAAUACAAAGCCAUAAACAAAAUAAGAGACGCAAAAGAAUUUAAUUCCCUUUUUAAGACUACACAGAGGAAGAACCAUAUGAAAAUCCCAAUGGGUCUUUGCUAAAACUUUACAACAAACCGAAAAACUUGAACUCAGCAAUUUUAGGUACUAACCUUUCACCUUCAUGCAUUUUCUCACUAACCAAACAUAUACAUUUUCUCACCUCAAAAUCCCGAAUAUAUUCAAGUAAUUCAACUACUUAUGAUCAAGCAGAUCGAGUUCAAAUUUUCAAAACUUAAGCAAAUACAGAAACAUAUAUUCUUCAAGUACAUCGCCAGGAUUCAAAAUUCUAAAAAUUUAAAAUUUACAAAAUCAUGAAAUAAUUCAACAAAUUAAGAUGCAGAUCGAAACACAAAAAAAAAGCAAAUAAGUUCGUCUAAAUGUCAUAAUCGGACUCCAAUAUCGCAUGCCCAGUGCCCACAUUCAAAUUCAUAGUCAAGUCCACAAUAGAUCUAGAAAAUUCCGAAACAUAUUCAAAGAAAAAUACAAACUUUUUCACCUUAAAUUACAUAAAUUUCAAAUGGGUAACCAUAAAAUCGCCAUGAUCAUAAAAUUAAAAACCCAUGAACUGACAAAUAAAUAAAACCCACAACCUUUGCUGCAGCAAAAUCGCCAUGAUCAUCGCAAGCUCUAACAGUUCCUCUUUUCGUCGGGUCUCGAAAGGGGCGAGCGAAAAUCAUGAUUUGGAAGAAGGAAUCCGUGAGGAGGACAUGAGAAGACUAGAGAGAAAGUGAUUUGGAGGAAGAGAGGAAGGAGAGGGAGAGGGAGACAGAGAGACUGAGGAAGCAGCAGACGGAAGAAAGAAGUGUGAGAUCUGAAAUGAAAUGGGAGUGAGACGUCGGCUAGGGUUUGUAAAGUUAAGAAAUUUUAUAAAGCAUUAAACAUAAGAAACCUAUAAAUAUAUUACUGGUACAAUUACAACAACACAAAGCCUACAGUUAAGUUGGCUAGCAGCACCUUACCCCAACCCGCAGGUCAGGGGUUCAAACCUUGACGCGGCCAACAUAUUUUUUUUUUUUAUAAAUGAUUUUUUUUUUCGGUUCGGUUCGGUCCGGUUCGGUUUCCGGACCUCAAAAACCGAAACCGAACCAACUAGAUUCGGUUUGGUUCGGUUUGGCAGUUUCGGUUCGGUUUUUUUCGGCCUCGGUUCGGUUUGGUUUUCGGUUUUUUUCGGUUUUCGGUUUUUUGAACCCACCCCUAUUAAGGAGCAAGCCCUUAUUUUAUAAAAGGGACUCCCUCACCUUCAACGCCACAAGCCGAGCCAACAAAGGCAACAUAAGCCACGAGCCUCGCAGCAUGUGUUACUUCUAGUUGAGCAUCAUUUCAGAUUGAGCACCGCCUCAUAUCGAACAUCAGUUCAAGACAACAUCUAGUUACUUCGGCCUACACAUGGACUGAAUUUCAAGUCUCCAGCCAAAAGACUCUUUUGACUGAAGACUUGGGGGACUACUGUUUAUACCAUAUUUAGGGCCUCAUAUUUAGAUCUCGUACAAAUACUCAGGGGACUUAAAUGUAAUUAUGUGAUAAAGGAAUGGGCAAAUAUGUAAUAAGUGAGGAGUCCUUAUUCUAUAAAAGGACCAUUCACCCUCACAAUUAGGGAGGCCAAUUCCUAGGCCCUUUCACCCCCUCUCAAAGCCUCACUCACAUACACAGAGGCUCUCACAUUCUCUCCCUCAGAAAUACAAUAUCAGUGUGGACGUAGCCCAAACCUUGGGGUGAACCACGAUACAUCUUGUGUUAUUUACAUUUCUUGCAGAUUCACGGUCGAAUUUACGUUGUUCCAAGACCUCCGGUUUUGUGCAUCAACACAUUGUUUUCGGUUAUGGUGAUAAUUUCUACUUCAUUGGCGAUCUACCUGUUGUCGACAAUCGUGGUGGCUCCUUAUGGUAGCAACUACUGUUUUUUAUCUUAAACAGUGCUAAGGAUUUUCUUUGGGUGGCCCAUUUAUUUUUUUUUAUUUUAUCAAAGGUGGCCCAAGAAAACUAAUGAAAAUGGCUUGAAAACUUUGAGUUUUAAUGAUAAGGACAAAAUAAAGGAUAAAGUCAAAAGUACCAGGAUUGACUUUUUAGUGUAAAAAUAUGAUUUUUCGUUAAGGUAAACAGUAUCGGGUGUUUUUCAUUAAAGUUCUCUUAUUUGGGCCAUAUAUAUAUUUCAAAUCCUCUUUUACUUAAAAAACAAAUUAAUUGAUGCAGAAGGUGCUCUCCCUCUUUCCAGUUGAAAAAAAAAAUAUCACUCGUGACUAUUCUCUCUCCCUCGCCAAGGUCUUUACUCACAAACUCUGAUUGCCAACUGCCGGCCCCUUCUAUUGGUUGGGGUCGGUAGUAACCCUUAAAUUUACUUUUCAUGUAACUUUCGGUUUUCUUACUUUGCUUACUUUCCUUUUGAUCCUUGUUUUUUGGUGAUUUUGCAUCUGAGCUCAGUCUUUGUUUCUCCAAGCUAUGUCUCAAUCUCCCUAGGAGUUGUCUCAAUUUUCCCAAGUUUUGUCCUAGUUUAUGGCGAUUCUCAUCUCAGAUCCAGGAUUCAUGUUGUCUUCCACUCCAAUGGCUAUUCCUAGCCACAAGUCACCGUCCACCCAGCCUCGGCCACUCAACUCAUCUUGUGUUUCCUCCAUGGAUUUCAUUAGGAGACAUGUUUUCAGUUUGGGUGGCUCUUAAAGUGCUUUUAGCAUUAUUUAGUGGUUUUCCGCCCCCAUUUUCCGUUACAUCUAGUUGGUUCGUUGGGCCUCCUCCUCGGUGGCGACGGCUUCACGAUGGUGGUGUGGCUGCUUGGGUGGUGGCAACUGGUCCCUCCUUCCAGAUCUAGGGUUUUAUUUUUUAGUGGGCUCUUCUGUUGGCCAUUUCCCUUGUAUUUUAUUUGGUUGCAGUCUUACUUGUUUGGAUGUUUUGGAUUCUUUAUGGACUUUCCUAACCUUGUAUUAGUCUUUAUUUAAUGAAUUUCACUUCGUUUCACAAAAAAAAAAAAAAAACAGUCCAUCGAGUUGUAGAGUUCUAAUGAUAUUGCAACACAAUAGGUAUAUUAACCAAAUAUCAACGUUCUACGAUAGGCGCUAGUCUGGCAACAGACGCCUAGGCAGAUUUAAGUAAAUAUGCUAUAUUAUGUGUAAAUAAGUGUACGUUUAUACUUAGAAUAUACAUAAUUACAUCAUAAAUUACAAAAUAGAAUGACAUAUAUAUUAUAAAGUAUUGAAACAUAAUGAAAACAUGGGGACACAAGCAUAUAAUGUGUGUUCAUUUAAAUAUUCAACAAGUCUCUUACAAUGUAUUAAAAAAAAUAAUGCAAAAUGAAAGUUAUAUAUUUUCUGUCUAAGUGAGUCGCAACUUAGGCGGAUGUCUAGGCGGGUCUGGGCGAGCUAGGUAGGUGCUUAGGCUCUCUAUGAGAUCUAGGCGGUCUAGGUGGGCACCUCAGUAGGUCUAGGCGCAAUUUCUAAAUUUCAAACGCCUAGACAUUAAUCGGGGCGGUGGUGAACCGUCUAGCGCCGAACAGUGCCAAAUAUACAAAAUUAUCUUCACAAUUUUCUCCGCCAAAACUCACCACCACGGAGUUUUAUUUGAACUAGAAUUCUGCAUCUUUGAGUGAUGAAUUCAACCCUUAUCUAAAAACCAACCAUGAUCCAAGUAAUUUAAACCUCACCAAAAUCAAUUCUUGUCCUCAAACCAACUUUGCCUAGGACUCGGCCGCACCACCAGCAAAGCAUUACUAAGCCAAGACUCAACCCCCUUCUUGAGCUCACAUCUAGCAGCUCGGCCCAAACAUCAAAUUUAGAUUUCAAGCCCAAAGAGUACCAGACAUGCAUAUCAUUGGUCAUUCUUGUUUUUUUUUUUUUUGGGGUCAAAGGACACUUCAUUAACAAAACAAGUAUAUACAUAUUAGAGGUCCAAAUACAAUAUCCACAUAAGCAAAAUAAUGGACCUCAAAAGUAACCCAAAAGCCCAACCAAAGUUUGAGCCUGCAACAAAAGAAAUAGACACCUACCCCUAAAGGUCUUCUUCCAGCAACUUCGUCGAUAUCGCUGCAGCUCCUCCGACUAGCACCUCAGAGGUAGAAGGAACAAGGAUCUCGUCUUCCAGCAGAUAACAACACAUCGAACACGACCACCAAAUAGAAGAAUCUUGUGGGGAUACCACAAACAACAAUGCCAGAUUCGGCAGACAAAGAGAAGGAGGUGGCGUAGUCACCCGAGCCGGUAUAAACACGAGAAAAAAAUGGUCAUUCUUGAGCUAACAGUGUGACAGAGGCAAAUGACCAGGUGCAUCAAUGUGAACGUAGUAUCAGCAGAAAUUUGUUCCUCAAUAUUCAAUGAGCAGGCAAGAUUUCAAGCAUCUUUUCACAUUUUCCCCAGUUACUACGCUAGGAGUCGUUUGGCAAAAUAUUAUAUUAUAUGUCAUUUUCGUUGAAGGAGUCACUCACAACAAAAUAAAUUAAUUUCAAAUUUGCCUUCUUCCCACCUGUUGCACUAAUUAAAACAACGAAAGCUAGUCACCAAACUGCGUUUACAAAGUUGUUUUUUAUUAACAUGAAACAUGAGAGGGAAAUUGUAGUUUAAUUGUCAUGUCGACUCGAUCUACAGUACAUAACAUUAUGCGGAAGUUCUAGAACAUCUUUCUUAUUAGAUACAAACGAUACUUUACACUAUAUUAAUUUAAACUACGGAGGAAUGAGCUCAAAUUUAAGUGCUUAGAGGGGAAAACACUGUUUUGAAGGUUUCAGGAUUUAAAUCUUUAAUUAAGUUAUGGCCAAAUAAGCUAUUUCAUUUGGUUUAGAUAUAUAAGUUCUGUUCAUUACUUUGAUGUUUUAGGCUUAAAAAACGAUAAGAAAAAGCCCUUGUGACAAAUCUGAUUUCUAAUUGUAAGUAGUUACAGUCUGGGCGAAAAAGUUGAUUUAAUAGUAGAACACAGCAGGGACCAUCUGUUUUGGUACAAGCAGCAAGGAGUACUAAUAUAUUCCACCUACAACGUGUCGCCUUCUCUUUCAGCAAAAUUAGCCCAUGUGACAUAUACUAAGUGGCCGCAGAGACAGAGACAGGUAACAUGGGUUGCCAAUGCUCAAGAAAAUACUUCUCUACAUAUCCAUUUCAGUGUCAUUUUUACUCUCUCCUUAAGUGAUUGUUCAUAUAAAGAGAAUGAUUUAGAAAAGACACUGAAAUUGAAAUGUGUAAAUUUCUCUUUACAAUUGUAGUAGUACUGAUAACUUUUGAUUUAAGUGAACCUUGUAUAAUAUAUGUCUCACCAAUCAACCGUUUACAUUUCCAAUUAGAUUGCAAGCCGUUCGCAAUUGAUUUCAUCUUUUAUUAUUUGAAGUUUUCUUCCGAAGGACAAUAUUCAAUUGUUAAGAAUUAGGAAUGGCAUGAGACUUUAACGGUGGAUUUAUCUUUUUUGAAAGAAAAGAAACGUUG
rnacentral:lncRNA from 1 species